GAGGAGAGGGUUAGGCUUUCAGGAGCGCGGCCGUCGCGUACGUGGGACAAGAAGUCGGCGAAGGGGAGCGCGGCGCCGGCCCAGAAGAAGGGGUUGGUGUCGACGACCACCACGACGAGGCUGACGUCAUCUGCGAGGCGUGUUGCCCGUCAGCUAGAGCCACGCGGGGUUGUCGCGGAACACGGUGAGGGGAGAGGGGUGCGUACCGGAGUAGAGCUUGGAGUGCGCCGAGGUCAUCGCCGCCGGCGGAGGCAGAGCUGGCGCGCUCGGUGGUCAGCGGCGGCCGGUGGCUGGCUCUAACGGUCCUCCGGUUCGUGGAGCGGCGCUCGCGCUUGUUCGUAGGCGCGGCUGGGGGACGGGGAGCUGGGCGGCGCCGGCGGCGGCGGAGGAGGGAGGGGGUAUGCCGUGGCUGUAGGCUGUUGAGAGGGGCUUCGACUUAGAAACAGGCCUUGCUAGUGCGUAAUUAGGGCCAUAGAUACUCACCGGCCCAGUCUAGGGUCACGUGUUGCUGAGGCCCGCUACACACUAAUAGACUGGGCCUGUGUACUGUGUGCUGGUGAGUAUGCAUGGCCCUGAUUACGCACUAGUAAGGCCGAAAAGAAGUUAUUUUGACUUGUCUAAAAAAACAGUUAUUUUGACAGCUUAAAAGAUAAACCGUGUCCUCCUAUUUUUUCAUAAACAGUUAUUUUGAAAGUUACUUUAACAGCUUAAAAGAUAAAAUAGUUAUUAAAUAACUAACUUAGAAGUCUCAAUAAAUUUGAAGGUCCAUUUAUUUUUUAACCGGGAAAAAAACUUAUUUUUGAGCCGCUGAAAAGAACUAGUCCUAAAUGUAUUUAGCUAGUGAAAUCACUGUUUUGCUUAGACUGUCGCUAGCAGAUCUCGCAAAUUGGGCUAUACGGUAUAAAAUCGUUGGGAUCCCGAAUCCGCGAGCUCAUUUCCUUCAUAUGUAUGGGAUUACGUCUCGUUUUGAAGGAUCCCCUUUUCUUUGGCGGAAGAGAAAUUUCAGUCCUACCAUUUUUCUCGUAGCCGGUGCCAUGGCUUUCCGAGCUCAAUUCCAGCCAAAUUCACCACCGCAGCUGCACGCGAGCUAUCGCACGGUGCCGCCAUCAGAGAGCUGUCGCCGUUGUUGCCUACUAUCGUCCGCAACCACUCGGGACUGCUAGCUAGCUAUUAGCAGCCGUUGUAUCGCUCGCUGGCUAGCUAGCUAGCAGCCGUUGCAUCGCUCGCUGGCUAACUAGCUAGCACCAAUUGCAUCGCUCGCUCGCUAGAUAGCUGCCACCAUAGCCGCCGGGGCGAGCUAGUUGAUGCUUGCUCGUCGCAUACAUCCCUAUUGUCCUCGUCUUGCUCCACGGUGUCACCGUCAUCGGUAAGACAUGCACUUCUCUUCAAUCCCUGACGAGAUCCUCACGAGGGAAGCGGUUGAGACAGAUUCAAUUAUAAUUUAACGAACGUUUUAAUGGGUUUGUGAUUCAAUUAUAAUUUAACGAACGUUUUAAUGGGUUUGUGCAAUUUUACUGGGACAAUGAAAUAUUUUAUGGGAUCUGUUCUACCACAACAAAAGUCACGUCGUAAAAUUGUGAAAAAACAUUUUAUAGUAUCACUUAAACCGAUUUUAAUGGAUAGGGUAUACGGGAUCUGUUAGAGAUUAUCUUAGCGAUACGACUAGUUCUAUCUAGCGACCUAGCGCCUAACCCCUCCCGCUGUGUACAAUUUGGGCCGGCCCAACUAGGAAAGGUUUGAGAGCCUUCCUAGACUGGGUUUCUUCCCAUUUUGUGCGUGUCUUUUUAGAAUUUUUCAACUUAUUUUUAUAUGUUUUCUUCAUUUUCCUUUUUCCUUUUUUAUCAUUUUUUUUGAAUUUUCCUUUUAAGUAUAAUUUACACGUUCUUUUAUUUUUAUUUUUUUGUGAACAUCUUUUCAUAUUUAUGAACAUACUUUUGAAAAUAUGGACAAUUUUGAUACUUUUUUUAUAAAAAUUUUGAUAAUUUUCAUAUUUUGAUUGUUCGAAAAAUUCACAAAUUUUUUGUAACUGGUGAUUUGUUAUUGAAUCUAUGAGCAUUUUUUGGAAAUUCACUAUCUUUUUUGUUUUUGGUGGACCUUCUUUUAUUUCAUGAUUGUUUUUGGAAUAAGAAAAUAGUUUUUGAAUUGAUGAAUUGUUUUAUAGUUGACAAACUAUUUUUGAAUUUUUCUGAACAGUUUUUAACAUUCAUGAACAUUUUUUGAAUGCACUAUUUUUUUGAAUAUGAGAAAUGUUAUCAUGUACGUAUUUUUUCCCGAAUAUACUUUCAAUAAGCGAGCAUUUUUUUGAAUCCUUGAAGAUUUUCUGAUUUAUUGAACAUUUUAUUUGAAAAUUAACAACAUUUUCAUAGUUGUAAUUGUUUUGUAAUCCCAAAUUAUUAAAGAAUAAAAACAAAAGGCAAAAAAGAAACAAAAAAAGGCACAGAAAAUCGGUUCCAAACUUCUAAUGAAUAAAACCCGAGAAUGAAAAAGAAAAACACAAAAAAACAAAAAAAGGGAUACCCGAGAAUGAAAAAGAAAAAACACAAAAGAAGCUAAAAAAUGAAGAGAACAUAGAAAAAUAGGUUCCAAUGAAGUAAUCAUGGUUUUGCCGAGCGUGAAACCCUCCUACUAGUACCCAUCUCGCUCGUGGUGUGCAAUGCCUCCACAUGUUGCUUUGUGGGCCUUUCACAUGUCGCAUUUCUUGCCCUCGUGCGCCUCUUGGAAGUGUCCGUUGGUUGUGUUAGCCAGGGGUAAUCCCUAGUUAGUUUCCCCUUGAGUAGUUAGUUGCUUUGGCGAUAGUGCUGGUUUCACAAAAAAGGCAAUGGGCUCAAACAAAAAGGCGAUAGUUGUGGCACACAGUAAACUAUAAGCUAUGUCAAAAAGGUGAGGAAGAUAAGGAAGCUCCUUCUUCUAGCUAGUAUUUGAUUUGGUUUCCUUGUUAUCUAGAUUUGGUGGGUCAUUGUCCGCCACUUCAGCCAAGGUGGUGAUGUAAAGAAUGAGUGUGAGGUCAAAUUCGACUUGGUUAGUGGUUCUCUCGUUUCAUAGUUUUGUGUCACUGAUCUUCUUCCUUGGCAGUACGUCAUUGAAACGAUGGUUUCAUAAACAACCUUGCACGGGGGUGUCUUUGGCCAUAGCGCGUUCAACGAUCUUAGGCUCUCACCUAUUGGGAUAUGCGACUAUGUGACUUUGAACCUACAACUUUAGUCUAGCUUGUGUAGGUUUGGUCUUAUGCAACUUUUUUCACCAGAGUCUAAAGGAAAAGUGACGAUACAAAAGAUCAUACUAGAGGCAACAACAUCAAACAACUUUGAUGUACUUUAGGUGGUAUCAGAAAUCCUUCUUGUAUGAUCCUGCGUAAUUUGUUUAGUUGAUGAAUAAAGUCGGCUCGCUCCAGUGAUUACAGUCGUCGACUCCUUACUCAUCGAGUCAGACAAACCUUUUUAUAGUAGAUAGUCAAGAAGUCAUGGUACUAAGGCCCUAAAGAACCAACACGCCAGAACAAAAAACAUCAACGAUAAAAAGAAUCAUUGAUCGAAAGGAUCGAGCCUAUAGACAAAUGAAAAGAACAGAGAUGAAGAAACACUUAAUCCAAACAUAUUCACCAAAAACAAACACCGACCGAAUAGUCAAGAGAUUUUUCUUAUUAUUACAUGCUGCUUUAGAUAAAAGCAUGGUUGAAAUAUUUUCUUGCAUUAUUAUUUUUAUUUCCUUGGAAACAUUGAAAGGGUGACAAAAUCUCGCUGGACAAAUGCUACCCACCAAGUUCAGAAGGCAGGUGAAGUAGAGCAGACUGUAAUUGAUGAAUUUUAAUCGACGCACAAGCAUCAACUGUGUGCAGCCUUGUUUUAGUUUUAACGGAUGUAAACAUAGUUGAAGAAGUUUGAAUAAGGUGGCAUGAUGCCAUGGGUGUAUAUUUACUUUGCGACCGAACCAUGUCACGAAAUAGAAGGUAAUCUGUAUUACGUCGAUAGUAUGCGCAAAACAACCAUAUUUUGUAGCAAAACCAUGCCACAAGAUAACAAUAUGUUAUAGUGUAAGAAUGCAAGAAAACAAGAUGUAAACCACAUGAUGGAUGAAAUCAGUACAUGUUGCAUUGAAGUGAAACUAUGCCACAACAUAAAAGUAUACGGGAAAGCUAUUUUCGAGUCGAUUCGAACGCAUUGGAUCUCGUCCAUUCUAGAUCCUAUGGCCGUGCGCGAUCCCGUGUUUCAUUUUUUUUGCUCGGUCCCGAUAAUUUCGCUUGCAUUUUAGAGAUCGUGAACGUGAUAGGCGGGGCUGGUUUCCUGAUUUUUUUGGCGGGGGUUUGAUCCCAAUCUUUUCUCGUAAGUGGACAAUAGCGAUUUUUUUGGCGGAGGUUGAUCCUGAUUUUUUCUAUUCCCUCCUAUUUUAAAAGACUUGUAUUUAGGAACGGAGGGAGUAAUAGGUGUGUACGGAUAUCGAUCUUCUGAUGUGCAUGUCCCGUACUCGUUUUAAAGUUGUUUUUAAUUGAAAAAGUAAGUGCUAUAUGGGAAUCAAUCUACCAUCGUUUUGGUAAAGAAAUUUGGAAAUUAACCGACUCACCUAGGUCUUGUUUUGUGGUGACUAAAGGAUAAUCCUAAUAUUUUAACUUGAUUCAUCUUUUCUUCGUAAAAAAUAUAUCUUGGUUCAUCUCUUAUAUAAUAGCUAGCUUUCGUUCAAUGUAAAUAAAAUCAGGUGGUUUCUCUGACUCGUCCAAUGCAGGUAAUUUUGUAGUUAAGUAGUAGCCCGCGGAAUAGUUAUCACCAUGUUCAUGGAAUAGUUACCAAACAAUUCAUGUUCAAGUUAUCAAGGUGCUCAUCUUGUGGCUACCAGACUUAUGUGCAAACAACAUGGUAAUAUACGCACCACCGUAGAGAUGAUAACUCACAUACAAAACACCUUAGAGAACAUUUGUUCAAUAAAAGAGUGGUUAAAAAACAUACUCCUAGUAAAUUCUCAUUAAAUUAGCAUGGUAAUACACGCACAUCAGAGUUGAUAACUUAUUUAGCCCAAACAUGGUUAUUUUUUACCUAGGAAAAAGUUUGAAACAAACCCGGUAACUCAUAUGUAAAUAACAUGGUAGUAUAUGCAUAACAGACACUAGUAGGAAAAACCUUAUAGGUCGGAGCCUAGUAGUAGCGCUGGAAAACAUCAAGUGCUGCUGCUACUUAGCAAUAGCAUUGGAAAAACUAUCUGCUACUGCUAACGUCCGUAGUAGUAGCGCUGGAUGCAUUUAUAGCGCUAUUGCUAAACGGAGCCCAACGAGGCCAUCCACAGUAUCUGUAGUAGUAGCGUUGGACUCUAAAAAGCGCUACUUCUAAGUUCCAUAGCAGUAGCGCUUCCCUGGAACCAGCGCUAUUGCUAAAAGGAGCCCAACGAGGCCACCAACACCAGCUGUAGUAGCAGCGCUAGCUAGGGAAAAGCGCUACUGCUAAGUGCAAUAGCAGUAGCGCGCCUCUGGAACCAGCGCUACUGCUACACGUGGCUGUGGGCAGCUUUUCACCCACACACACCCCAUCUACCCCUUCCUCCCCAUUUGCCCUCCUUUAUCCUUUCCUCCUCCAUUGUUACUUCUCCACCAUUCUUGCCCUUCUUCUCUCUUCCUUCUACCUAUCACCCACACACACCCUCCUCCCCUUCCUUCCCCUUYGCCCUAYYCCCUCCUACCUCCAUUCCUCCDACCAUUGUUGGCCUCAUUUCACCCACACACACCCUCUCCCCCUUCAUCCCCCUUUGCCCUUGUUGGAAUUAUGCCCUAGAGGCAAUAAUAAAUGUAUAGUUAUUAUUAUAAUUCCUGUAUCAAGAUAAUAGUUUAUUAUCCAUGCUAUAAUUGUAUUGAAUGAAGACUCAUUUACAUGUGUGGAUACAUAGACAAAAAACACCGUCCCUAGCAUGCCUCUAGUUGGCUGGCCAGUUGAUCAAUGAUAGUCAGUGUCUUCUGAUUAUGAACAAGGUGUUGUUGCUUGAUAACUGGAUCACGUCAUUGGGAGAAUCACGUGAUGGACUAGACCCAAACUAAUAGACGUAGCAUGUUGAUCGUGUCAUUUUGUUGCUACUGUUUUCUGCGUGUCAAGUAUUUAUUCCUAUGACCAUGAGAUCAUAUAACUCACUGACACCGGAGGAAUGCUUUGUGUGUAUCAAACGUCGCAACGUAACUGGGUGACUAUAAAGAUGCUCUACAGGUAUCUCCGAAGGUGUUAGUUGAGUUAGUAUGGAUCAAGACUGGGAUUUGUCACUCCGUGUGACGGAGAGGUAUCUCGGGGCCCACUCGGUAAUACAACAUCACACACAAGCCUUGCAAGCAAUGUAACUUAGUGUAAGUUGCGGGAUCUUGUAUUACGGAACGAGUAAAGAGACUUGACCGGUAAAACGAGAUUGAAAUAGGUAUGCGGAUACUGACGAUCAAAUCUCGGGCAAGUAACAUACCGAAGGACAAAGGGAAUGACAUACGGGAUUAUACGAAUCCUUGGCACUGAGGUUCAAACGAUAAGAUCUUCGUAGAAUAUGUAGGAUCCAAUAUGGGCAUCCAGGUCCCGCUAUUGGAUAUUGACCGAGGAGUCUCUCGGGUCAUGUCUACAUAGUUCUCGAACCCGCAGGGUCUGCACACUUAAGGUUCGACGUUGUUUUAUGCGUAUUUGAGUUAUAUGGUUGGUUACCGAAUGUUGUUCGGAGUCCCGGAUGAGAUCACGGACGUCACGAGGGUUUCCGGAAUGGUCCGGAAACGAAGAUUGAUAUAUAGGAUGACCUCAUUUGAUUACCGGAAGGUUUUCGGAGUUACCGGGAAUGUAUCGGGAAUGACGAAUGGGUUCCGGGAGUUCACCGGGGGGGGGGGGGCAACCCAACCCGGGGAAGCCCAUAGGCAUUGGGGGAGCCACACCAGCCCUUAGUGGGCUGGUGGGACAGCCCACAAGUGCCCAAUGCGCCAAGAGAAGAAAAAUCAAGAGGAAAGGAAAAAAAAAGGAAGGAGGUGGGAAGGAAGGGGGACUCCUCCCACCAAACCAAGUCCAACUCGGUUUGGGGGGGGAGUCCUCCCCCCCUUGGCUCGGCCGACUCCUUGGGGGUCCUUGGACCCCAAGGCAAGGCCCCCCUCCCUCCUCCUAUAUAUAUGGCGCAAUUAGGGCUGAUUUGAGACGACUUUCUCAUGGGUGCCCGACCACAUACCUCCACGGUUUUUCCUCUAGAUCGCGAUUCUGCGGAGCUCGGGCGGAGCCCUGCUGAGACAAGGUCAUCACCAACCUCCGGAGCGCCGUGACGCUGCCGGAGAACUCUUCUACCUCUCCGUCUCUCUUGCUGGAUCAAGAAGGCCGAGAUCAUCGUCGAGUUGUGCGUGUGCUGAACGCGGAGGUGCCGUCCGUUCGGUACUAGAUCGUGGGACUGAUCGCGGGAUUGUUCGCGGGGCGGAUCGAGGGACGUGAGGACGUUCCACUACAUCAACCGCGUUCUCUAACGCUUCUGCUGUACGAUCUACAAGGGUACGUAGAUCACUCAUCCCCUCUCGUAGAUGGACAUCACCAUGAUAGGUCUUCGUGCGCGUAGGAAAAUUUUUGUUUCCCAUGCGACGUUCCCCAACACUUCUUGUGUCGGUUCUUUUAUGAAGAAGGAUAUUGAUCACAAGUGGAAUUUAUAGGAGAGAAUCAAAAGCAACUCUGAAGAUUGGGAGCUGGAGGAAGGUAAGGAGUCAGGUAUGAAUUUCCAGUUUGAUUGCGUUAAAUCUUUUGUUGAGACAAACACUUCUAGAGAUUUUAGCGCUAAGUAUGGACUUGACUCUGAGAUAGUAGCUUCUCUAUGUGAAUCUUUUGCUGCUCAUGUUGAUCUUCCCAAAGAGAAUUGGUUUAAAUAUCAUCCUCCUGUAGAAAGCAACAUAGCCAAAACCAAUCUAGUUGACGAGAAAGUCAUUGCUUUUAGUGAUCCUAUUGUUCCUUGUGCUUACACUGAGAAACCACCAUACCCUGCUAGGAUAAAGAAUUAUUCUAAAGCUCCAACUGUGAUACAUAGGGGUUACAUUAGACCACUUGCACCCCUGAAGAGAUUAGAGUUGAACCUAGUGUUGCUAUUAUCAAAGAUCUCUUAGCCAAAGACAUAGAUGGGCAUGUUAUCAAAUUCUGUGAGGACCCCGCUAGAAUUGCUAAACCUCACACGAAAGACAAACACAUACCUGUAGUUGGCCUGCCCGUUGUUUCUAUUAAGAUAGGAGAUCACUGUUACCAUGGUUUAUGAGAUAUGGGAGCUAGUGUUAGUGCAAUACCCCGUUCUCUAUAUGAUGAAAUCAAAGAUGAGAUUGCACCUGCUGAGUUAGAACCCAUUGAUGUCACUAUCACGUUAGCUAAUAGAGACACUAUCUUCCCUUUGGGAAUUGUGAGAGACGUAGAAGUCCUGUGUGGUAAGACGAAGUAUCCUACUGAUUUCCUCGUCCUUGGUACUCCACAAGAUAGCUUUUGUCCCAUCAUAUUUGGUAGACCCUUCCUCAACAUUGUCAAUGCUCACAUUGAUUGCAUUGAGCAGACCGUCACUGUUAGUUUCGAGGGUGUGUCUCAUGAAUUUAACUUCUCCAAGUUUGGAAGACAACCCCAUGAAAGAGAGUCGUCUGGUAGGGAUUAAAUCAUUGCUCUUGCCUCUAUUGUCGUACCUCCUACGGAUCCUUUAGAGCAAUAUCUUCUUGAGCAUGAAAAUGAUAUGCGUAUGGAGGAGAGAGAUGAGAUAGAUAAAAUUGUCUUAGAACAAUUUCCUAUUCUCAAGAAUCGUCUGCCUGUUGAACUGCUUGGGGAUCCCCCCCCCCCACCAAAGGGUGAUCCUGUGUUCGAGCUUAAACAGUUGCCUGAUACUCUUAAGUAUGCCUAUCUUGAUGAGAAGGAGAUAUAUCCUGUCAUUAUUAGUGCUCUCCUCUCAAAUCACGAAGAGAAGAAGUUAUUAAAAACUCUGAAGAAGCACCGCGCUGCUAUUGGAUAUACUCUUGAUGAUCUUAAGGGUAUUAGUCCUACUCUAUGUCAGCACAAGAUUAAAACCGAUCCUGACUUUAAACCAGUUGUUGAUCAUCAAAGGAGAUUAAAUCCUAAGAUGAAAGAGGUCGUUAGAAAAGAAAUAUUGAAGCUUCUGGAAGCAGGAAUCAUUUAUCCUGUUGCUCAUAGUGAUUGGGUAAGUCCAGUACAUUGCGUACCUAAGAAGGGAGGUAUCACCGUCGUUCCUAAUGAUAAGGAUGAACUAAUCCCACAAAGGAUUAUUACCGGCUAUAGAAUGGUGAUAGACUUCCGGAAACUAAACAAGGCAACCAGGAAAGAUCAUUAUCCUUUGUCGUUCAUCGACCAAAUGCUAGAAAGGCUAUCAAAACACACACACUUCUGCUUUCUAGACGGUUAUUCAGGUUUCUCGCAAAUACCUGUUGCACAAUCUGAUCAAGAGAAAAACCACUUUCACCUGCCCUUUCGGUACCUUUGCCUAUAGACGUAUGCGUUUUGGCUUAUGCAAUGCACGUGCCACCUUUCAAAGAUGUAUGAUGGCUAUAUUCUCUGACUUUUGUGAAAAGAUUGUCGAGGUUUUCAUGGAUGACUUCUCCGUUUACGGGUCUUCCUUUGAUGAUUGCCUCAGCAACCUUGAUCGAGUCUUACAGAGAUGCGAAGAAACCAAUCUCGUCUUGAAUUGGGAGAAGUGUCACUUUAUGGUUAAUGAAGGUAUCGUCUUAGGACACAAAAUCUGUGAAAGAGGCAUUGAAGUUGAUAAGGCUAAGGUUGAUGCAAUUGAGAAGAUGCCUUGCCCCACAGAUAUCAGAGGUAUACGAAGUUUCCUAGGUCAUGUUGGUUUCUAUAGAAGGUUCACUAAAGACUUCUCUAAGAUUUCUAGGCCUCUUACCAACCUCUUGUAGAAGGAUGUUCCUUUUGUUUUUGAUGAGGAUUGUGAGUAAGCCUUCGAAAUACUUAAGAAGGCUUUGAUAACCGCACCUAUUGUUCAACCACCUGGCUGGAACUUGCCCUUUGAAAUCAUGUGUGACGCUAGUGAUUAUGAUGUUGGUGUUGUUCUAGGACAAAGAGUUGACAAGAAGUUGAAUGUCAUUCACUACCCUAGUAAAACUCUAGACAGUGCCCAAAUAAACUAUGCCACUAGGAAGAAGGAAUUUUUAGCAGUCGUGUUUGCAUGUGAAAAGUUCAGAUCUUACAUAGUUGACUCCAAGGUCAUUAUUCACUCUGAUCAUGCUGCUAUUAAGUACCUCAUGGAGAAGAAGGACGCUAAGCCUAGGCUGAUCAGAUGGGUUCUCCUGCUACAGGAAUUUGAUUUGCACGUCGUUGACCGAAAGGGUGCUGAUAACCCUGUAGCAGAUAACUUGUCUAGGCUAGAGAAUGUCCUUGAUGACCCACUACCUAUUGUUGAUAGCUUUCCUAAUGAGCAAUUAAGUGUCAUUCGCACUUCACAUAGUGCACCGUGGUAUGCAGAUUAUGCAAACUACAUCGUAGCCAAAUACAUACCACCCAGUUUCACCUAUCAGCAAAAGAAGAAAUUCUUCUUUGAUUUGAGACAUUACUUUUGGGAUGAUCCUCACCUUUAUAAGGAAGGAUUAGAUGGUGUUAUUAGACGUUGUGUGCCUGAACAUGAACAGGGACAGAUCUUGUAGAAGUGUCAUUCCAAAGCCUACGGAGGACACCACGCUGGAGAUAGAACUGCCCAUAAGGUAUUGCAAUCAGGUUUCUAUGGGCCCACUCUCUUCAAGGAUGCCCGUAAGUUUGUCUUAUCUUGUGACGAAUGCCAAAGAAUAGGGAACAUCAGUAAGCAUCAAGAGAUGCCUAUGAACUAUUCACUUGCCAUUGAACCAUUUGAUGUCUUGGGCUUUGAUUAUAUGGGACCCUUCCCAAGUUCCAAUGGGUAUACUCACAUCUUAGUUGCUCUGGAUUACGUUACUAAGUGGGUAGAAGCUAUCUCCACUAAAAAUGUUGAUCACCACACCUCUAUUAGAUGCUUAAAGAAGUCAUAUUCCCAAGAUUUGGAGUCCCUAGAUACUUGAUGACUGAUGGCGGUUCACACUUCAUUCAUGGUGUUUUCCGCAAGAUGCUAGCUAAGUAUGAUGUCAACCAUAGAGUUGCAUCUCCUUAUAAUCCUAAGUCUAGUGGUCAAGUUGAGUUGAGUAAUAGGGAGAUCAAAUUGAUCCUACAAAAGACCGUCAAUAGAUCUCGAAAGAACUGGUCUAGCAAACUUGACGAUGCAUUAUGGGCUUAUAGGACUGCUUAUAAGAAUCCCAUGGGCAUGUCACCGUAUAAAAUGGUUUAUGGUAAGGCUGUCAUUUACCUCUUGAGCUAGAACACAAAGCUUAUUGGGCAAUCAAAGAGCUCAACUUUGAUUUCGAACUUGCCGGUGAGAAGCGGUUGUUUGAUAUCAGCUCGUUAGAUGAAUGGAGAACCCAGGCAUACGAGAAUGCCAAGUUGUUCAAGGAAAAGGUUAAGAGAUGGCACGACAAACGAAUACAGAAACGAGAGUUCAAUGUAGGUGAUUAUGUCUUGCUAUACAAUUCUCGUUUGAGAUUCUUUGCAGGCAAACUUCUCUCUAAAUGGGAAGGUCCCUAUGUUAUCGAGGAAGUAUAUCAUUCCGGUGCCAUCAAAAUCAAUAACACGGAAGGAAAUUUUCCUAGAGUGGUAAAUGGGCAAAGAACCAAGCAUUACAUCUCUGGUACUCCCAUAAAUGUUGAGACCAAUAUCAUCAAUGUCAUAACUCCAGAGGAGUACAUAAGGGAUGUUUAUCAGCCUGUUUCAGACCUUGAAAACGAAGAUGUGUCUGUUUCGGUAAGAAAUUGAACUCCGAUGCUUUUCCAAUAGGAAAUUUCUUCCAUUUUGGAAUUUUUGGAAAAUUAGAAAAUAAAAAGCAGUCCAGAGAGCGAACGAGGUGGCCACAAGCCCUGCCACCGCCCCCUACCCCUGGUGGCGGAGGGCAAGCUUGUGGGCACCUCGUGUGCCUCCCGGACUCCGUUUUCUUGCGGAGGACUCCUUCUGGCCCAAAAAAAAAUCAAUAUAUAGUCGCCCGAAGGAUUUGAUCUCCGUAUCGUGCAGUUUUCCUCUGUUUUCGUUUCGAGCCCGUUUCUGUGACAGCUCUAGAUCAUCAUGACUUCCCCAAACGCUCCUAAGGACAAGAUCUUUGAGAAGGUCAUCAAUCCCUACCUCACGGAAGUGCUGAAACACCCUCAAUCUAUCAAGAUGAGCGAGGAGAUGUUGCACAUCCGUGAUGUUGAGGGGCCUAAGAAGACCGGAAGUGUGGAGACGAGGCUCGAAGUAAUGGAGCAACAAGUCCUCAAGUGUCAAGCGAUGGUGGAGCGUGGACUCAACGCCAACCACACGAUGAUCACGGAGUUCACUAGCAAUCACAAGAUGGAUGCCAUUGAUAUUGGGAAACACCUCUCCAGGCUCUAUGACAGGGUUGAUCAACUUCAGGGCCAGAUCUAUGACCUACAGAACCAAAACUGUGAGUAUGAGUAUAGAUUUAAAUCAAUAAGGUUGGCUGCAGAUUUGAGGAUUUCGGCGACUCGUUCAUCCUGCCAUGAUGGAGCACCUAUGCCUUGGAAGAUGGAGGAUCAGUCUACUCCAACAACAACACCACCAUCACCACCGAAGGAAGGCAACUAAGCAUUGGUAUGGGCAAUCCCCUUGGCUUCUGCCAAGCUUGGGGGAGUUGCCCUGGUAUCGUAUCACCUUUAUAUCUUUUGCUUUAACCUUUCUUUUAGUUCUUUCCUUUUCAGUUUUUAUUUCUUCUCUUAGAGGAAUAAGUCUUUAGUGUUUAGUUUGAGUCUUUUGCUUUUGUCUCUCUCCCGAUGUAUUCGAGCUUACGAGCUAUAUAAUAAAGAGUAUCUUAGUCAAGGGCUUUGCUUUGUGCCAUGAUCAAUACUAUGAAAAGAACGAUAGCAUGAAAGAUCAUGAGAUGAUUUUAUAGAAAGUGAUAGCUUCACAUAUGACAAGUAUGAUGAUUGAAACUUGUUGAGAAUAAAUCAACAUAGACCUCAGUCAUUGCUGCAAUUAAUAAGAAGUAAUAAGGAAAGAGAGGUUCACAUAUAAAUAUAUCAUCUUAGACACUUUUUACAAUUGUGAGCACUCACCAAACUAUUACAUGCCUAGGAGUAGAUGUUGGACAAGGAAGACAACAUAAUGAAUUGUUUUUGCUUGGUUCCAAAUAAUGUUAUAUGAUUAGAGAUCCCUUAGCAUGUGACGAUUGCUUCCACCUCAUAUUAGCCAAAACUCCCGCACCAAGUAGAGAUACUAUUUGUGCAUCCAUAAACCUCCAACCAGUUUUUCCAUGAGAGUCCACCAUACCUACCUAUGGAUUGAAUAAGAUCCUUCAAGUAAGUUGUCAUCGGUGCUAGCAAUAAAAAUUGCUCUCUAAUAUGUAUGAUCUAUUAGUGUGUGGAAAAUAAGCUUUGUAUGAACCUGUGAUGAGGAAGACAUAAAAGCGACAGACUGCAUAAUAAAGUUCUUUAUCUCAGGAGGCAAUAUAAAGUGACGUUCCUCCGCACUAAGAGGACACGCAUUCAAACCUCAAAAGCACAUGACAACCUCUGCUUCCCUCUGCGAAGGGCCUAUCUUGUACCUUUACUUUUUGCCCUUGUAAGAGUCAUGGUGAUCAUCACCAAUUCCCUAUUUUUGCCUUUGUCUUGGCUACCGUCACAUGCUUGGGAAAGAUCUAUAUUCAUAUAUCAACUUGGAGUUGAGUACUUAUGCUUUAUUGUUGUUGACUUCACCUUUGAGGUAAAUGGUUGGGAGGCAAAACUAUAAGCCCCUAUCUUCCUCUUUGUCCAGCUGAAACUUUGACACCAUGAGUACCACGUGAGUUGUAACAAUUGUGGAAAACAAAAGAGAUGAUUGAGUAUGUGGGUUUGCCUUACAAGCUCUUAUUUGACUCUUUCUGAUGUUGUGAUAAAUUGCAAUUGCUUCAAUGACUAUGGUUUAUUGUUGGUUACUUCUCGGUAAGGUUUUUGCUUCAUGCUUUGCUUUGUGAAGGAAUUGUUACUUUCCCAUAAGAAUCUUUAUGAUGUAUUGUUGUCCUAUGUGUGAUCAUGAUGCCCUCAUGUCCGUAUUUUGUUUUAUCGACACCUUCGUCCCUCAACAUGUGGACAUGUUUAUGGGACUUGGUUUUCGCUUGAGGACAAGCGAGGUCUAAGCUUGGGGGAGUUGAUACGUCCAUUUUGCAUCAUGCUUUCAUGUUAAUAUUUAUUACUUUUUGGGCUGUUAUAUUACUUGUGGUACCAUAUUUAUGCCUUUUCUCUCUUAUUUUGCAAGGUUUAUUUGAAGAGGGGAAUUCAGGCAGCUGGAAUUCUGGACUGGAAAAGGAGCAAAUCCUAGUCCACUAUUCUGCACAUCUCCAAAUGCCCUGAAAAGUUACGUGGAUUUUUUUGGGAUUAUAUAAAAAAUACUGGGCGAAAGAACUACCGGAGGGGGCUGACACCGCCACCCCCCUCUUUUGCUAUAUGAAGCAUCUUGGUCCAGAAAAAAAUCAGACGGGAGCUUUUUCGUGGUUUCGCCGCCGCCACGAGGCGGAACUUGAGCAGAUCCAAUUUAGAGCUCCGGCAGGACGAUCCUGACGGGGAAACUUCCCUCCCGGAGGGGGAGAUCGUCACCAUCGUCAUCAACAACACUCCUCUCGUCGAAGGGGAGGCAUCUUCAUCAACAUCUUCAUCAGCACCAUCUCCUCUCCAAUCCCUAGUUCAUCUCUUGUAACCAAUCUUCGUCUCGCGACUCCGAUUGGUACUUGUAAGGUUGCUAGUAGUGUUGAUUACUCUUUGUAGUUGAUGCUAGUUGGAUUACUUGGUGGAAGAUUUUAUGUUGAGAUCCUUGAUGCUAUUCAUUACACCUCUGAUCAUGAUUAUGAUUAUUUUUUGUGAGUAGUUACUUUUGUUCCUCAGGACAUGGGAUAAGUCAUGUUAAUAAUAGUCAUGUGAAUUUGAUAUUCGUCCGGUAUUUUGAUAUGUUGUAUAUUGUCUUUUCCUCUAGUGGUGUUUGAUGUCAGCUAUGCUAAUGCACAAAAGUCCUUCCAAUGGCGCCAGAAACAGGUGUGUCGACGGCACCAGGAAUCCUUCAGUUGCGGCUACGCCUUAAGGGACUUCCUAGGCAAGUAUGCAAAGGAYCUAUCCCCYGUGUGCCUUGGAGCCUUGCGUUGGUGUUCCCUUGAAGCGGAAAGGGUGAUGUAGCACAACGACGGUAAGUAUUUCCCUCAGUUUGAGAACCAAGGUAUCAAUCCGGUGGAGGAGUAUCACAAGAUCCUGCACAAACACAAAAGCUUGCUCCCAACGCUAUGAAGGGGUUGUCAAUCCCUUAUAGAUUGUUUGCCAAGUGAGAACUGAAAGCAACAAAGUAACAAAGCAAAGUAAAAGCAGAGGUGUAAACGAUGGAUGUGAAUAGACCCAGGGGGCGUAGUGUUUACUAGUGGCUUCUCUCAUGAAAGCAGGUAGACGGUGGGUGAACAAAUUACUGUCGAGCAAUUAAUAGAACCAUAGAAAGUCGUGACGAUAUCUAUGCAAUGAUUAUAUAUAUAGGCAUCACGUCCAAAACAAGUAGACCGAUACUUUCUGCAUCUACUACUAUUACUCCACACGUCGACCGCUAUCCAGCAUGCAUCUAGUGUAUUAAGUCCAUAAGAACAGAGUAAUGCCUUAAGCAAGAUGACAUGAUGUAGAGGGAUAAUCUCAAACCAAUGAUAAAAACCCCAUAUUUUUACCCUUGAUGGCACCUACCCCCUGUGUGCCUUGCUGCCCCUACUAUCAUUGGGAAAGGUCACCACAUGGUAGAACCCAAAACCAAGCACUUCUCCCAUUGCAAGAAUCAUAGAUCUAGUUGGCCAAACAAAACACAAGACUCAGAGAGACUUACAAGGAUAUCAAAUCAUGCAUAUAAGAAAUGAGAAAAGACUCAAAUAUAUAUCGUAGAUAAUCUAAUCACAAAUCCACAAUUCAUCGGAUCUCGACAAACACACCGCCAAAGAACAUUACAUCGGAUAGAUCUCCAUGAAGAUCAUGAAGAACUUUGUAUUGAAGAUCCAAGAGAGAGAAGAAGCCAUCUAGCUACUAACUACGGACCCGUAGGUCGGAAGUGAACUACUCACGAGUCAUUGGAGGGGUGAUGAUGAUGAUGAAGAAGCCCUCCAAACUCCCAAAGUCCCCUCCGGUAGGGCGCCGGGAAAGGUCUCCAGAUGAGAUCUCGCGGAAACGUAAGCUUGCGGUGGCGAAAAAGUAUUUUCGAGGCUCCCCUGAUUUUUUACGGAAUAUUUGGGAAUAUAUAGGCCAAGGAUCUAGGUCAGGGGGCGGCCAGGGAGGCCACAAGCCUGCCCAACGCCGCCUCCCCCUGGUGGCGGAGUGGGGGCUUGUGGGCUCCCUGGAGCCCACCUAGCUUGGCCCAAAGGCCCCCUGAUCUUCUUUCGUUCGGGGAAAAAUCAUUUCGGGGUUUUUCUUCCGUUUGGACUCCGUUCCAAAAUCAGAUCUGAAAAGAGUCAAAAAACACGGAAAAAAACAGGAACUGGCACUUGGCACUGAUUAAUAAGUUAGUCCCAAAAAAUAUAUAAAAGGUACAUAAAACAACCAAAGAAGACAAGAUAACAGCGUGAAACCAUAAAAAAUUAUAGAUACGUUUGAGACGUAUCAAGUAUCCCCAUGCUUAACUCCUGCUCGUCCUCGAGUAGAGAAGUGAUAAAGAAUGAUUUUUUGAUGCUUUCAUGUUGCCUAGCAUAGUUGUCCUUUGUAAUUCCUCUUAUGUGACGUGAAUGUUCAGAUCCAUUAGAUUCAAAACAAUAGUUUGCUAUUGACGUGGAAACAAUAAUAAUUCAAGCAAACUAGCAAGGUAAUCAUGAACUUUCAAAAUAACAAGGCCAAAAGAAAGUUAUCCCUACAAAAGCAUAUAGUGUGGCUAUGCUCUAUCAUCAUUGCACAACGAAUUUAAAUCAUGCACAACCCCGGUAUUGUCCAAGUAAUUGUUUCACACCUUUACUUUCUCAAACCUUUUCAACUCUCACGCAAUACAUGAGCGUGAGCCAUGGUUAUAGCACUAUAGAUGGUGUGGAAUGUGGUGGAGGUUGCAAGACAAAAAAGGAGAAGAUAAUCACAUUAACUAGGCAUAUCAAUGAGCUGUGGAGAUGCUCAUCAAUAGAUAUCAAUGUGAAUGAGUAGGGAUUGCCAUACAAAUGAUGCACUAGAGCUAUGAAAAUGUGAAAGCUCUUAAAGAAAACUAGUGGGUGUGCAUCCAACUUGCUUGCUCACGAAGACCUAAGGCAAUUUUGAGGAAGCCUGUCAUUGGAAUAUACAAGCCAAGUUAUAUAAUGAGAAUUUCCCACUAGCUAUAUGGUGGUGACAAAACGAGAGACUCUCAAUCAUGAAGAUCAUGGUGCUUAAUAUGCACAAGUGUGGAAAAAGUGGUAGCAUUGUCCCUUCUCUCUUUUUCUCUCAUUUUUUUAUUUUUUUAAUUUAUUGGUGGGCUCUUUGGCCUCUUUUUUAAUUUUUGUGGGCUUCUUUGGCCUCUUUUAAUUCCUCACAUGGGACAAUGCUCCAUUAAUGAUGAUCAUCACACUUUCAACUCAAAACUUAGAGCAACUAUGACUCUAUAUGGAAUGCCUUCGGUAGUGUACCGUGGCAAUGAUCUAGCAUGGCAUAGACAUCAAUGGAAACAUCAUGUUAGAUAUCUUACGAUCAUGAAAUGGCAAUGUAGACGUGGUGGCACAUGUCAUGGUGGUAGUUGCAUGGCAAUAUAUCUCGGAAUGACUUUGAAAAAACCAUAAUAGGUAGGUAUGGUGGCUGUUUGAGGAAGGCUAAUGGUGGGUUUUGUGCACCGGCCAAAGUUGCACGGCACUAAGAAGAUAGUGAUGGUGGAAGGUGAAAGUGCAUCUAAACCAUGGACUCAACAUUAGUCAUGAAGAACUCAUAUACUUGUUGCAAAAGUUUUAUUAGUAAUCGAAACAAAGCAUUCAACGCAUACUCCUAGGGGAAGGGUUGGUAGGUAUAAACCAUCGCACGAUCCCGACCGCCACGCAAAGGAUGACAAUCAAUAUACUAAUCGUGCUCAGAUUUCAUCACAUAGCGGUUCACCAUACGUGCAUGCUACGGGAAUCACUAACUUCAACACAAGUAUUUCUAGAUCCACAACACCUUACUAGCAUGACUUCAAUAUUACCAUAACCACAACUCAAAACUAAUUGAGAUUAAUCAAACUUCUCUAACUAUUCAAUGCACAUGAAGGUGGAAGUUUUCGUAUCCCUUUGGAUAACUACCCCUUUCGAGACUACUUUCAAAGCAUAGAUCAACUACCAAGCCACACACCGCUGUGCUCUAAAAGAUAUAAGUGAAGCACAUAGAGCAAAAGUAUCUAGCUCAAAAGAUAUAAGUGAAGCACAUGUGAGCUAAAUUGUCUAUCAAAAGAUAUAAGUGAAGCUUGACAAAAUCACGGUGUGUGCAUGUCUCUCUCCCUAGGUGUGCAGCAAGGAUGAUUGUGACACAACAAAAAUAAAAGACUCCUACGGUACAAGACGCUCCAAGCAAAAACACAUAACAUGUGGUGAAUAAAAAUAUAGCCCCAAGUAACGUUACCGAUGGAUUGAAGACGAGAGAGGGGAUGCCUUCCCGGGGCAUCCCCAAGCUUAGGCUUUUACGACAUCCUUGAAUAUCUUGGGGUGCCUUGGGCAUCCCCAAGCUUGAGCUCUUUCCACUCUUUAUCUUUUUGUCCAUAAGAACUUCACCCAAAACUUGAAAACUUCACAACACGAAACUUAAACAGAAACUCGUGAUAACAUUAGUACAAGAAAGCAAACCACCACUUCCUUAGGUACUGUAGCAAACUUCAAUUCUACUUGUGCUGAUGUUGGGUUAGUGUAUUUUCAAUCUUCCAUGGCUAAUACCCCCCGAUACUAUCCAUAGUUUCAUCAAAAUAAGCAACCAACACAACAAAAACAGAAUAUGUUAACAGCAGACCAGUCUGUACCAAUCUGUAUAUUUCGUAUACCUCUGGUACUUCAAAAAUUCUGAAAAAGUAUGACAGUGUGACGAAUUUGCGUAGGAAUCAGCAGAAAAAGAAUCAACUCAAAAGCUCUUACAGAAAAAAAUGAAAAUUCUUUUCGUGAGCAGAAAGUUUCUGUCUUUUCCAGCAUGACCAAGCGAUCAUCCCCAAGACUAAUCAUAACGGUUUUGCUUGGCACAAACGCAAAAAGAAACACAAAAACACAAUCAUAACAGAAUUAUGAAAGUGUGGGAAACACAAAACAGAAAGAAAAAGGAUAGAUUCGUUGGGUUGCCUCCCAACAAGCGCUUUUGUUUAACGCCCUUAGCUAGGCAAAACUGAUGGAAUCACGUAUAGUCAUCUUUGGUGCUCAAACCAUAGGUAGCCCUCAUCAUAGAUUCAUAAGGAAAUCUUAUUUUCUUUCUAGGAAAGUGCUCCAUGCCCUUCUUUAAAGUAAAUUGAAAUCUAAUAUUCCCUUCCUUCAUAUCGAUGAUAGCACCAAUAGUCCUUAGGAAAGGUCUACCAAGAAUAAUGGGACAUGAAGGAUUGCAAUCUAUGUCAAGUACAAUGAAAUCCACGGUACAUAGUUCUUAUUUGCAACAAUAAGAACAUCAUCGAUCCUCCCCAUGGGUUUCUUGACAGUAGAAUCCGCAAGAUGCAAAUUAAGAGAACACUCUUCAAUUUGAUGAAAACCAAGAAUAUCACAUAAAGACUUUGGAAUCGCGGAAACACUAGCACCCAAAUCACACAAAGCAUUGCACUCAUAGUUUUUGAUCUUGAUUUUGAUAGUAGGUUCCCACUCAUCAUGAAGUUUUCUAGGUAUAGAGACUUCUAGUUCGAGCUUCUCUUUAAGAGAUUUCAUCAUAGCAUCUACGAUAUGCGCGGUAAAGGCUUUGCUUUGGCUAUAAGCGUGUGGAGAGUUUGCAAUGGAUUGCAUCAAAGAAAUGCAUUCAAACAAGGAGCAAUUAUCAUAACUUGAAUUCCUUGAAAUCCAAAGUGGGAGUUUCAUUACUACCCAAAAUUUUGACUUCUUCUACUCCACUCUCCACACCUUUAUCAUCAAGAUAGGUGGACUCUGAAUCAUUGGGGCGUUUUUCAACCAAAGUGGAUUCAUAUCUAGCCCCUCCAUAAGUAGGUUUGACACGCGAAAACAAAGAUUCAAGAGGAGACACACCAAGCACUUUAAGAUCUUCGUGAUUUGCAUCAGAAAUUUCAGGUUUAGCUGCCAUCUUAUUGACUAAGGUAGCCUGCUUGUCAGAAAUUUGGCCCACCAAUUUUUCAAGGUGAGCAAACUGAGAACUAAGUGCAAGGAAAUCAUUGGCCAUAUCAUCAACCUCUUUAUUCAAACAGACCAAAAAGGAAUUUUGCUCUUUUAAUUCCCUACGGAAGUAACUAUUUUGGUCAAACCGAGAAGACAUGAAACUUUUGACAUUAGUUUCAAUCUCUUCCAAUUUUCUGAAAUAGUUUGGUUUGGCCAUGAGGAAAGGUUUCUCACGAACAAACCUAAGAGCAGAUGGGCGAAAGGGAACGACAAAGGCAAAAGAAAACGGCGAAGGAGAAAAGCAAAUGAAAACAACAAAUGUGAAGUGGGCGAGAGGAAAACGAGAGGCAACUGGCAACAAAAGUAAAUGCAAGAGAAGAGUUUGUGAGACCUACUUAGAUAGAUCUUGAUUUCUCCUGCCUGACAAUGGUGCCAGAAAUGCUUCUGAUGUCAGCUAUGCUAAUGCACAAAAGUCCUUCCAAUGGCACCAGAAACAGGUGUGUCGACGGCACCAGGAAUCCUUCAGCUGCGGCCACGCCUUAAGGGACUUCCUAGGCAAGUAUGCAAAGGAUUUCCCCCGUGGCCUUGGAGCCUUGCGUUGGUGUUCCCUUGAAGCGGAAAGGGUGAUGUAGCACAGCGACGGUAAGUAUUUCCCUCAGUUUGAGAACCAAGGUAUCAAUCCGGUGGAGGAGUAUCACAAGAUCCUCCACAAACACAAAAGCUUGCUCCCAACGAUAUGAAGGGGUUGUCAAUCCCUUAUAGAUUGUUUGCCAAGUGAGAACUGAAAGCAACAAAGUAACAAAGCAAAGUAAAAGCAGAGGUGUAAACGAUGGAUGUGAAUAGACCCGGGGGCCGUAGUGUUUACUAGUGGCUUCUCUCAUGAAAGCAGGUAGACAGUGGGUGAACAAAUUACUGUCGAGCAAUAGAUAGAAUCGCGCAAAGUCGUGACGAUAUCUAUGCAAUGAUUAUAUCUAUAGGCAUCACGUCCAAAACAAGUAGAACGAUACUUUCUGACAUCUACUACUAUUACUCCACACGUCGACCGCUAUCCAGCAUGCAUCUAGUGUAUUAAGUCCAUAAGAACAGAGUAAUGCCUUAAGCAAGAUGACAUGAUGUAGAGGGAUAAUCUCAAACCAAUGAUAAAAACCCCAUCUUUUUACCCUUGAUGGCACCUAUCCCCUGUGUGCCUUGCUUCCCCUACUGUCACUGGGAAAGGUCACCACAUGGUAGAACCCAAAACCAAGCACUUCUCCCAUUGCAAGAAUCAUAGAUCUAGUUGGCCAAAUAAAACCCAAGACUCGGAGAGACUUACAAGGAUAUCAAAUCAUGCAUAUAAGAAAUCAGCAAAGACUCAAAUAUAUAUCAUAGAUAAUCUGAUCACAAAUCCACAAUUCAUCGGAUCUCGACAAACACACUGCCAAAGAAGAUUACAUCGGAUAGAUCUCCAUGAAGAUCAUGGAGAACUUUGUAUUGAAGAUCCAAGAGAGAGAAGAAGCCAUCUAGCUACUAACUACGGACCCGUAGGUCUGAAGUGAACAACUCACGAGUCAUUGGAGGGGCGAUGAUGAUGAUGAAGAAGCCCUCCAACUUCAAAGUCCCCUCCGGCAGGGCGCCGGGAAAGGUCUCCAGAUGAGAUCUCGCGGAAACGGAAGCUUGCGGCGACAGAAAAGUAUUUUCGAGGAUCCCCUGAUUUUUUGCGGAAUAUUUGGGAAUAUAUAGGCCAAGGAUAUAGGUCAGGGGGUGGCCAGGGAGGCCACAAGCCUGCCCACCGCCGCCUCCCCCCUGGUGGCGGAGUGGGGCUUGUGGGCUCCCUGGAGCCCACCUGGCUUGGCCCGAAGGGCCCCUGAUCUUCUUCCGUUCGGGAAAAAAUCAUUUCGGGGUUUUUCUUCCGUUUGGACUCCGUUCCAAAAUUAGAUCUGAAAAGAGUCAAAAACAUGGAAAAAACAGGAACUGGCACUUGGCACUGAGUUAAUAAGUUAGUCCCAAAAAAGAUAUAAAAGGUACAUAAAACAACCAAAGAAGACAAGAUAAGAGCGUGAAACCAUAAAAAAUUAUAGAUACGUUUGAGACGUAUCAGAGUUAUGUGAACGUCGACUACAUAACACUUCACCAUAUUUGGGCCUAGAGGAAGGCAUUGGGAAGUAGUAAGUAGAUGUUGGGUUGCUGUUGUGACAGAAGCUUAAACCCCAGUCUAUGCGUUGCUUCGUGAGGGGCUGAUUUGGAUCCACUAGUUUAAUGCUAUGGUUAGACUUUGUCUUAAUUCUUCUUUGUAGUUGCGGAUGCUUGCGAGAGAGGUUAAUCAUAAGUGGGAUGCUUGUCCAAGUAAGGGCAGUACCCAAGCACCGAUCCACCCACAUAUCAAACUAUCAAAGUAACGAACGCGAAUCAUAUGAACAUGAUUAAACUAGCAUGACAGAAAUUCCCGUGUGUCCUCGGGAGCGUUUUCCCUCCUAUAAGACUUUGUUCAGGCUUGUCCCUUGCUACAAAAGGGAUUGGGCCACUUGUUGCACCGUUGCUACUACUUGUUACUUUUCGCUUGCUACGUUUCACCUCACUAUACCAUCACUUGUUACCGCUACUUUCAGUGCUUGCAGUUAUUACCUUGCUGAAAUCCGUUUAUCACAGCCUUCUGCUCCUCGUUGGGUUCGACACUCUUACUUAUCGAAAGGACUACGAUUGAUCCCCUAUACUUGUGGGUCAUCGGCGGCCAUAGUCGAUGGCUCCGCGUCGGCGUGGGUUGGGGCGGCUUCGGUGGAGGAACGGGAAAUGGAUCGGGGGGACGGAGAUCGGGGAGAGGGCUAGGGUUCCUGUGCGCGAGGGAGAGGGAUGGAUGGAUGGGGAUGGAGAGAUGGGUGGAUGGAUGAACGCCAUGUCAUCGAUCCAUGCCAUAACCAAUUCCACCAAUUAGAAUAAAGCAUAUGUAAUUGUAUUUUUCCUAUUGUUUUGCUUCUACUUUUUCACAUGAUAAAAUCUAAAUAUAAUCUCUUGGAAUAGACAAGCUUGCAUCUUGCAAUUACAAACAAUGUUGCCAAAGGGAUUUUUCAUUUUCUUUGCACAAAAAAUCCAUUUUCCAUUUUUCAAGUGCCCAAAGUGAGUUUUUUUAUAAAGGACCUACCAAAUAUUUGUUGCAAAAUUGGACCAAAUCAUUUUUCUAAAAUUUUAAGUCUUAUUAAAUGUACAAUUGACCAAAUGGUUUGGUGCCAAAAGCUUUUGAUCCACCUCUCGUGAAAAAGACAAAUUUCCUUUGAUUCAAAUGGAAGCAUGUUAAAUUUGAACUACAACUGUUUGAUAGAUUGCUCUUUAAUUUUCCCAAAAAUCAUUUCUAAGUACAUAAUUAUCUAUUUAAUCAUAGAAACACCACAAAAUUUGCAAGAGUCAAGCCCUAGCUACGAACGGUCAUACCCGCCGUUUGGACCGCAUUUUGAAACAGGCAUGAAAAAAUCAAAAAAUUGAAAAACCUUCGCAUUAUGUCAUUAUAUGUGACCAAGUUACCAGGAAAAAUAAUAAAGUUGUAAUAUGGCAAUUAUUUAAAAAAAAGUGUUCUCAGAAAUAGGCUAUCAUGUGUAAAGAUUCAUGGCUUUCAAGCCAAAUGAUCAAUCUUAUGGCCACAUUCAUGGCAUAGUUUGUUCAAAUGAUCUAAUAUUGUGCACAAGGGUGUGUAUUGGAAUGGCAAACAAUGUUGCUUAAGGAAGUUUUCAUUUUCCUUGUAUGAAAAAUUCAUUUUCCAUUUUUCAAGUGUCCAAAAUGAGUUUUUUUGUGAAGGACCUACCAUAUAUUUGUAGCAAAAUUGGACCAAAUCAUUUUUCUAACAUACUAGGACAUAUUUAAUGUACAAUUGACAAAAUGGUUGGGUGUUAAAGGAUUUUAUCGAUUUCUCGUGAAAAAGACAAAUUUUCGUUGAAUUAGUUGAAAGCGGGUCAAAUUUGAACUGCAGCUACAUUAUAGUUUGCUCUUUAUUUUACCUAAAAAUCAUUUCUAGAUACACAAGUAUCUAUUUAAUCAUAGAAACACCAAAAUAUUUUCAAGAUUCAACCACUAGGUAGGAACGGUCAUACCCGUUGUUUUGACCGCGUUUUGAAAUGGCCAUGAAAAAUUCAAAACAAAUUCAAAAAAUGGAAAACAAUUGCAUUGUGUCAUUAUAUGCGACAAAGUUACCAGGAAAAAUAAUAAACUAGUAAUGCGACAAUUAUUUUAAAUAAGUGUUCUUAGAAAUGGGCUAUCAUGUGUGAAGAUUCAUGGCUUUCAAGCCAAAUGAUCAAUCUUAUGGCCACAUUCAUGACAUAGUUUGUUGAAAUGAUAUAAUAUUAUGCACAAGGGUGCAUAUUGGAAUGGCAAACAAAAUUGAUUAAGGAAGUUUUCAUUUUCCUUGUAUGAAAAAAUCAUUUUCCAUUUUUCAAGUGACCAAAAUGAGUUUUUUUGUGAAGGACCUACCAUAUAUUUGUUUCAAAAUUGGACCAAAUCAUUUUUAUAAAAUACUAGUCCAUAUUUAAUGUACAAUUGAUAAAAUGGUUGGGUGUUAAAAGCUUUUAUCCACCUCUCGUGAAAAAGAAAAAUUUAUAUCGAUUCAGUUGGAAGCGGGUUAAAUUUGAACUGCAGUUGCAUUAUAGUUUGCUCUUUAUUUUUCCCAAAAAUAAUUUAUAGGUAUAUAAGUAUCUAUUUAAUCAUAAAUACAUGGUGUGGUGCCUUGACGUCGAGGUUUAGAUGGUGGUCGAUGGCCCCAACUCCACAGCGCGUGAACUUGCAUGCCAGCCGCAUGGUCACCGCCUGACCGUUGUGUUGCCACGCGUUCUAGGUGGAAUAGGCAUGUCUGGUGGGUUGGACAAUGCCUCGGUAGGUGUUAGCAAGAAGAAUACAAUAGAAGAAUCGCACGAGGAGACUGAACUAACCUCAAACAUGAAUUAGCAGCCAAGUGUUUGAUUAGCGGUGCGGUAAUUCACAUAGACAAUGGGACUAAAUUUUGGCUGUGGAUGAUCAUCUACUAAGGGGAAUCUCUUGGAAUUUUUUAGCUCAAAUGGAUGAAUCUAGGUGGCACUUGCUUUACAAAGUAACACACUGUGCAGAAAUAUGGAUGUUGAAGCUGGGGUCAAAUGAAUGAAUGGAUUGAGCUGAAAUUUGGUGUAUGAUGUUAAUUUGGGCAUAUGAAGGCACUGUAUAAAAAUUAUACUAUUUGGACAUGCCAAAGUGACACUUCCUUCACAAUGUGCCAAUCUGGACAGAAAAUAGUAAUUGAAACUCGGCUCACAUAGAUGAUUGGAUUGAGCUGAAAUUUGGAGGAGGAUGAUAAUUUGGGCACAUUAAGGUACUGUAAAAAUUUCAUAAAAUUUGGAUAAACAAAAAUUGUACUUCCUUCACAAUGCUCUCUACUGAACAGAAUAUUGAGAAAAAUAUUGAGGGAAACUGGCUUAAUUAAAAUGAGCUAAAAUUUGGUGGAGUGAGGUUAUAUGGUCAGUGUCAUCCCAUGGUAAAUUUUCAUAAACUAUAAAUCAAUAGAAAAUCUAGUUGCUUCACAAAAUGAAAAUAUUACCAAAAAUAAAGAAGGGAUGAUGAGCUCACAUCGAUUGUUAGAUGUGGCUAAAAUUUUAUGGAGAGCUAUGUUUUGGGCACAUAGAUGAUGUGGAAAAAUUCAACUCAUCAGGAUAUUCCUAUCUAGUACUUCCUUCACAAAGUUGUUAGCUGAACACAAACUUUGGAAAUUUCCUGAGAAAGAUUUACUAGCCAAAUCGUUAUGAAAGUUUUCAUGAGGCAAUGAUUUGGAUAGGAAAGAGUGCCCAAAUACGAGGGUAAUCAAAUAAAUAGAAAUAGCACUUCCUUCACAAAGUGCUAUUUUGAACAGAAUAGGAAAAUGAAUAUUGCUGAAUUAUUUUUGAACUAUGGAAGGAAGGGUUUUCGCAUAUUUGAGAAAUAUAUGAUCCAAAGUAUUUAUGAGAAUUUUUCGAGAAUUUUUGGAAUGACAGAAUAGUAGGUUGCUUCACAAACUAGGAUGAGGUGGGAUAGAAUGGACCCACGAGUGACAUGUCAACAUAGUUAGAACGUGUUACGACAUUUUUACAAUCGUCGUAAAAGUUAUGACGAUCUCAUCUUAUGCGGUUACGACGUUUUUGACUCACAUCGUCGUAAUUUAUAUGUAGAUCUGGUCCCCUCAAACGGUUUACAACGAUCUCAGAUGAAAUCGUCAUAGAUUUAUGACGAAUUCAUCAACGACAUCUUAAAAAACGUCAUGUAUGAGCAUAUUUCUUGUAGUGGACCACCUUCCAUUCCGGGUCGGACCAUAGUUGUACUCCAUGAUACUCCGACCAUUGUGAUUGGUCAAAGUAUGGUUCAAACCUAGGAGCCCAAGUAUUCUUCAUGGUCAUGGUAGAGGACUCGGACUCCCUCACAGUUAGGGGAUGGUUGACGUCCACAUUCCUAGUGCGAGCUGUCGUGUACAAGUGCGAGCAUGUGAUAUGAAUCAACCUUGGCCUCCCGCAAGACCAAUCACACAACGAUAAAGAUACCUUGAACGCCCUAUUUCCGUGUUGCUGGCCAUUGUUUGUCGUUCCUCCGGGCUCAUUCACUUGGUACGUCCAAUCCUCGUUGUUGUACAAUGUAGCUAUUUGGGAGCCAGCCUUCCGUGAUUGAAAUUCCAUCCAUUUGUAAACCUUUGUUGGGAACUUGUACUUGUACUUUUUCUUGUUCACUCCCGCAAUCUGAUCAUCCGUUUUAGUUGAGUACUUUAGAAAGUAUGCUCUCAACUUGUCAAAUGUGUAUUGAACUAUUGUCGUCACCGGCAACACACGGACACCCUUCAACACCCGGUUGAAGCAUUCUGCCAUGUUACUUGUCAUUUGACCAUAUCUUCGUCCAUCUUCAUCAUAAGCUCAUGCCCACUUUGGCCGAAGUUGAAUGUGCCUGUUGAGAAACUCAAGACCACCUGCAUCAAGUUUUUUGUUUGCAACCAAAGCGUUGUACAUUCUUGCAAAUCGUUUGUCCAAAAAAGAUUGACAACAAUCUUGAAGAUCAUCCGUCAACUCCUUGCUACCACAUGUCCGGUAGAAGUUUGCACAAAAAUGCAUCAUGCACCAUCGAUGGUGCAAAGGAGCAUGGCCCGGAAUGACAAUGUCAACUACGUUAAGUAUUCCUUGAUGGCGAUCCUAUAUGACACAAAUUUCCCUUUCACACGUUAAUACCUUGGUUCUCAAAAUAUGCAAGAACCAUUCCCAGUUAACAUUGUUCUCCGCCUCAACCAAAGCAAAAGCCAAAGGCAUCAACCGGUUAUUGGCAUCACUUCCUAUUGCAACCAACAUAGUGCCCUUGAAUUGUUCGGUCAAGAACAUGCAUCGAUGGAGCUGACCGGCCGACAGUGCUGAAAAGCCCUCACACAUUGCUCAAAUGCCCGAAAUGCACGGCCAAAUACGCGGACUGUCUUUCCAUUGUGAAUUCUUGUUUUCUCCCCGUACGGCUCGACCACAUGAACCAUGCCCGGGUUAGUGGCGGCAAUAGCUCCCAACAACCUAGCUAGUCGGUUGUAUGCUUGCUCCCAAUCACCAUACAACAUCUUGAAUGCGGAUUGCUUUGCUUUACAUGCCUUCCCGUAUUUCACCUUGUAGUGAAAAAGGGCUUUCACAAGGUCUUGUACGCUUUUUAUGCUCAUUGUAGGAAGAGAGGAGAUGGAGUUGGAAAGUCUAUAAGCGAUGAACUCGGAGGUGAGUUGUCUAUGGUUUUGCGACGAAAGCUUGCCAUCAACCCUCUUGCCUCGACACAGGUGAGGCAUACAACUGACAAUGUUCCAUCCGGGCCCUCCUUUCCAUGGUCUUGCACGGAAAAUCCAUGGACAUCCUGAAUCCUCACAUGCAACCGUGUAAUGCAUCUUCAUGUUUGAAUGAACAACUUUGUGUGGCCGAUAAUGCGUAACGGAAUAUUCAUCCAACCACAUCUUCAGUUCAAGGAAUGUUUCGAACUUUGACCCCGGCAAAAUAAUAUUCUUCACAUGUUUGUACCGGUGAGAAGGUGGCCUAACUCCAAACAAUAUGCCUUCGCCUCCGUCAACCACGACUUCAUCCGCAAGACUAAGAUCCUCGAACAAUGGUGUCUGGUGAUCCCGCCCUAAUACCUUCGUGAAAGCUUCAGCCUCCUUUGUCGUGAACCCUUCCCCAUCAACUUCUUCAUCGGGACUGUCAUCGUCCAACUUGGAUGCAUAGCCACGUGAGUACGGAAUAGAAUGGUCCAUUGUCUCUUGCAAAUUAUAUUUGUCCAAAUCACCAAGGUUGUUGUCAUGGAGAGCAGUAUCAUCAUUCUCAUCAUCAUCAUGCUCAUCAUUCUCCUCUAGCAAUGGUUCAUGUUGGAUACUCGAUUGUUGUGUCAAAAGAGGUUUAAUGUUGGCCUCUUUGUUGAUGCGUGGAGGGCUUGCUUCACCAAUCUAAGAGGCAACCUCGUUGAAAUCCAAGUGCAAGUUAGGAUCAUUUAUUUUUAUGGAAAAUAACUCUAGAGCCUUGUCUAGUGAUUCGGCCACCGUAUCCUUGUAUGCAAGCCAAUGUUGCUCGGAGUUGACAUGCAUGGUCUUCCAACGAACGUGCAUUCCGAAUCCCACAUUAUGCCUACCAUCAAACUCAACAACAUCACUUGGGUCCAUCCAAUUCAAAUCCUUUCGGACUUGUUCCAACAAUUCAGCAUAGCUAGGACAGAAAUUGAACACCAUGUCAAGCUCAUACGGGUCCGGAUCAAUAUUGCCUUUUAAAAAGGCAUCCUUGUCCACAUGAUGAACAUAAACACAUGUUCUUCCCAUCCCUAAACAACACAACAUACAAUAUUUUCUAUAAGCAAUCAUCCAAAUACUACAAAAUCUGCUUAAUAAAAAUAAAACAUAUUCCUAACAUCCAAACAUCCAUAAUCCUAACCCCAUCUUACCCCUAACCCUAACACAACCAUAAUCCAAACUUCCAAACAACCCUAAUCCUAACCCCAUCAUACCCCUUAUCCUAACAUACAAACAAAUGCAACAAUAUCAUAUACAUCCAAAAUUUCAUGAAGAACUAGGGUUUCCUCACAUUUGCAAAAAAGUGACCAAAUGAGUUUUUUUUGGGGGGAUGAGAAGGAGGGGAUUGGGGGAGGGGGGGUUACCUUAAGGGAGGGAUUGGACACGAAAUGCCCGAACCAAACCUUCAAAUCUGUUAAUUUGGAGAGGGAUUUGAGGAAGGGGCGACUUGAACUCGAGCUGUGAACACUCUGUGGUGAAGGGGGUGAAUGAGGAGGGGGGAGGAGGCCGACUCGUGGCUGGAUAACUGAAGGUGUGGCGCCUAAGAGCUCGGUGCCACACUACCGCAAGUGCAACGCCUGAGUCUUAGGUGUCACACAGCCGGAGAUGGGGCCUGCAGCGCCAGCGUGGACGCGGGUGUGACGCCAACGGUUUAGGCGUCACACACUGUAGUGUGGCGCCUACGCGUCGGACGCCACAUAAAUGGUCAGCUCGAUGAAUUUUUUCCGGGGGAGUGCUCUGCGCCGGCGCGCCGGCCGAAACUUUUGGCCGGCCGCGCGCGGAUCGCACGAUCCACCAACUCCCGCGCGUCCGCACUGUUGGAUCUUCAUGCAACAUUUUUUCUUCGAUGCAGCAAAAUUUCGAUGCGAUGCAACAAUUUUUUCAACGGUUGCAACAAAAAACAAAAAAAUGUAGCAAAAAAAAUAUCUACGUGAUCGUAGCAAAAAAACGAAGCUGAUGGUACAUGAUAGCAAAAGUCAAACGCCGGUUGUAACAAAUAUUUACGUGACGUGUAUGCAACUUUUUUAGUGAACAGUUGCAGCAAAAAAUGAUGCCGGUUGUAGCAAAAAUUAACACGGUUGUAGCAAAACUAAAAACAUUGAUUGUAACGAAAAAUUCGAAAAACUGGAGUUGCAACCAAGCGUAUAUGCAGCAAAUAUGACGCUGGUUGCAACAAAUUUACACGAGAAAAAAAGCUGCAUGGAAAACGUUUGUAUAAAAAAACACGGUUGCAGCAAAUUUGACGGAAAAAUGUUGCGAGCAUCUGCCAACGAGGCGCGCCGGGUGGAAACGAUUCCCAUUUUCCGUGGGGGAUUCGGUUCGUGAGUUCUUUUAGCUCAGGGUCAGAAUUGUUCAUUUUGCUUUGGACGUACCUUCAGCCCUACGCAAACCUGGCCAAACGGGUCGUGCCACGCGGGCUGGCACGACUGCCCGUAGGCCAGGCACGACACGUGCCGGGCCCGACACGUGCUAAUCGUUCUCGGGCCAGGCACGAGCACGCCGUGGGCCGUGCUCGGGCUGCCACUCCAAGCCCGCGUGCCGGCCCGGCACGACAUGAUUAGGCAGCGAAGGAAAUGAGGGGACUGGGGAGCAGGCCGUGCGGGAUUGCGGGCGUUGGGCGGGGCGUCGGGACUCGGGCAAAAAAAAGGGCGCCAGUCGCGGCACGGAAUCAAGGCGGGCACACAUGGGCGGGAAUGCGGGAUUCGCGGGAAAGGGCCAAACAUAUGGAAAGGGCUGCGCGCGGGAAAGGCGUCGGGCGGGAAAGGGGGAGCGGGCGGGAAACGGGGAGCAGGCAGGAAUCUAGGCAGGAUCUGUGGCGGGCUGCCGUGCUAGAGAGGGCCAGAUGAAAAAAAAACAGCAAAUCUGUGGCGGGCCGCCGUGCCUUAACGUACCGCGGGCCGACCCGAUUAGGCCAUGUGUCGUGCUUGGGCCUAGGAGGCUGGCACGCGGGCCGGCACGGCUCGGCCCGUAUAUUAAUCGGGCCCAAGCGGGCCGUGCCGUGCCUGGCACGAUUAUGACGGGCCGGGCUGUGCGGUGCCGGGCCGGCCCGUUUGGCCAGGUAUGACCCUACGGGCCACCCAAACGAAAAAAGACCGGUGGGUGUCCGUUUGGGUCGGCCCGGAGUUGCCCUCACUCGCUUAGUCCACGGUCGUGUCCCUCCCCAAAACCCUCGUCCAUGGCGACCGCGGCACCGCCGCCCGAGGAGUUCGCCCGCCAAGCUAUGGCCUACGUAGCCGAGGAGGAAGAGGAGGACCCGGAGGAGGUGGAGGCGUGGGUUUCCUCCGACUCGGAGCCGGACGAGCACCCGGCGCUCAAGCGGCUGGACCCUUACCCCGACUCGGAGCCGGAGCAACCGCACCAGCCGCCGCCGCCGCCGCCUGCGCCGACGAAUUCGGCGUUCGAGGUGGCGGAGGAGGGGAAGAAGGCGACGCCUUGGCCUGGGUUUCCCGGCGCGAGCGUGUUCCGGCUGGUCGUGGCCGGGGACAAGGUGGGCGGCCUCAUCGGCCGCCGGGGCGAGGUCAUCAAGCGCCUCUGCGAGGUGACGCGCGCCCGUGUCCGCGUCCUCGACCCCACGGACGGCGUCUCCAGCCGGAUUGUAUGGCUCCUCCCUCGGAAUUUUGGUUGGUUCAUGCUAGGGUUUAUUGCUCGAUGGUGGUGGUUAGGACAUUGGGAAUUGGGAAUUGAGUCGCUUGUGCCAUCCUUAGUAUGCGCUUGGGCGCGUGGAGCCUGAAUUUCUAUGGUCUCGUCUGGUCACAGUCAGGUUGAUGGAUUAGCAACAUAAGCUAGUAGCUAAACUCGAAAUUGCUUUGGGAUCUGUGCAUGCUCAUUGUAAUUUGGGCCGUGGCGUAAGCGUGGGUCUGCCACAAGCAACUCUCGGCAUGUAGAUCAGCAAUUGCGUGCCAGCAUUGCCCUGGUUUGGGUUAGUCAAUUCCAGGUUUUCUUGGGAAUUGCGCAUUUUGGCUGUCGGCACAUUGAUACUGUCAUCUUGCAACACUAUCCUAGAUGGAAUUGUGUUGUUUCUUGCAUAAGGACAGUGAUGCGUUCUCACAAGGUCAAAUAAUUAAACAAUCCCCAUGCUCUUUCAAGUUCCAACUCACACGGAGGCGGCUAAUCGUCAUUAGAGAAAAUGAGUAGACAACUGUAAGACCAUAGAAACCAGGCUGGUCCAUCAUAUAUGACAGUUCUGGGACCUAAUUUGGUUAUGAAAUGGACGAAACAAUGGCAUCAAUGUUAGCUUUAUAGUUCUAGUUGUUCCAUGAGCUUUUUUUCGUUAGUAUUUAAUAGAUAAGUGACUUAUUGUUUAAUUUAAUUGCUCUACAAGAUGUCUCCAUUUUGGUAAGUCUUGGCCAUGUUAUCUCUUGGGUUCUUGUUCUAGUUUAAUAGUUUCUUGCAAUCAUAGGAACAAAGGCAUUACUAAGGCUAUUUGUAGGGGAAGUUGAAAUGACUUGACAAAGUGAACAAUUACUCUCAGUCUCAUAAGCAUAAACUUUUUAAAAUGGGAGGAUUCUAAUGCGACACAUUGAGGUGGUACUUAUUGUGAGUACAUAAACAACAACAAAAAAGGUUAAACUGAGUUCAUUUGUUUGUACUUUAUUCAUCGUGUUAAAUUUUACAUCCCCUCUUUAGGUCUUGAUAUCCGCAACAGAAGAAACACAGGCAGAACUGGCACCUGCUAUGGAUGCUGCAGUUAGGAUCUUCAAACACGUAAAUGACAUAGAAGGGAUCAACCCUGAUUUCACAUUACCUGUUUCUGGACCAGAAAUUUGUUCUGCUAGAUUACUGGUUCCUAAAGCACAAGGGAGGCACUUAAUUGGCAAGCAAGGAACCACGAUCCAGUUAAUGCAAGAAUCUACUGGUACUACCAUAAGGAUUAUAGAUAAAGGUGCAUGGUUAUACAUUUUCAUGUCAAUUAUUAUGUGAUACAUUUCCAGUUUGAUCCAUAGAAUUACCAGUCAUUUUUACCACCUAUGAGUUAAUGAUAUUGAUUUAACUUGUGGAUGUAUAACUUUAACUUGAAAAGGUACAUGGUCCUACAUUUUCAUGCCAACUAUCAUGCGAUGUAUUUUCAGUUUGAUUCAUAGAAUCCCUCGUCAUUUUUGUUACCUAUAUAAAUUAACGACAAUGGUUUCAUUCUUGGAUGUAUAACUUGAAUGAAGCAAGGGACUAUGCUUGGGCACUGUAAAGCAAACAUGGUGUCCCUAACUUCUAUGACCCGUUCUUGUACAAGAGUCCACCCGUAUUUGAAUGUCUAGUUCUUCUUGCCAAGGAAAAUCCAGAAAAAACUAUUGGACUGUUUUCCCAACAUUGUGUUGUAGCACCACUUCUCUGGAAAGUAGCACCUGCCAUCUCCCAGAAAUUAGUAGCACCGGCCCUGUUCACUAGAAUAGUGGAAUGCACCCUGCAGUUUCACCACUGACAAUGGAAUGGAAUUGAUAGGAUUCUUGUUCUUGUGUUAUCUAACUUGUUAGCACAAGAAUACUUGGUUUCGUUGUUAGGCUCCAAUUUGACAACCAAAUGGUAUUUUGUGACCCUUGUAGAAAAUGGUGGUUGCUUAAGGGAUUUACACCAAUUAGUUAACCAGAUGGUUUGUCGUCACCAUAUCACUUGAAAAUUCAGACUCAUUUAAUUUUUUCAUAAAAUAUUGAGAUGGAAGUCACAUAAGUUUUCAGAUUGGAUUGCAUCCCUAUAUGUACCAGUGGUAUAAUCCAAAUAGAUUGGAUUCUUCCUUCAUGCUGCAUAAAGCACUGAGAUAUUCAUUACGGCAGAGAAGCAACUUGAUUUUGAUCUGGUAUUCGUAGCUACUAAUAUCGUGGAGAUCCUUUUGCACACUGUAAAGAGUCUGCCUGGUAGGUUGCUAUUUUGAAAAGCCAAACAAAAUACAUUUCAUUUCGUUCGAGCUUAUUUCUUUCUGCCAGCUUUUCUAUUUUGGUCUCGUUUAGGUGGUUGUGAAUUCAAUGCAGACCACUGGAUAUAACACAUGAUACUUGAUCUACCUUUCUAGACGAGCUUUUGAGUAAUCAGAUGGUGGAAGAAAGAAUUGUGGAGAUACGUGGUGCUUCCCUCAAGGUCCUCAAUGCCCUAAAAUCAGUACUUGGACUUCUCCGGAGGUUCCUAGUUGAUCAUAGUGUCCUUCAUCUAUUUGAAAGAAAGGUAAUCCUUGUUACAGUAGUUGCUGCAUGCUUUAUUAUAAGGAUGAGAGCAGCUUGUAACGUUCUCAUGGAAUUGAUAUUUCUGUUGCUUAUCUGCAGAACGAAGAAGUAGCCGAAGUUCAGAAUAGUUCUAAAGAAAAUCAGGUUACCAAUGAUUAUGCUCUUGUAGUGAACCAGGACCUUUUGUUAUCUGACAGUCGAAGCCAUCAUAACCCGAAUGGCGGCAGAUAUUUGUCAUAUGGACAUGACCCAUCUGUUUGUGAUCCAUAUUCACGAGAUAUCAGACGCCCAACUGUCUCCUUGAUAUCAAAGGUCUAAUGCUAUAACUAUUACCCCUUAGCUUAAAACCUAUACUAUAUCAGUUAUUAGCUUGUAAAAAAUGUGAUCGGGUUUCACCUGGUACGGGCAGAUUUCUUCUGUUCAUUUUCCCUUUUGAGUUUUGACCCUCGAAACCUGACUUGGUGCAGUCAUCUUACAUCAGGCUGCUACAGUCGUUGUUCUUACAGAAUGUUUUGGCUUCCAGAUUACGCAGACAAUGCGGAUCCCUUUGCCGCAAGCAGAAGAGAUAAUUGGUGUCAGGGGACAGACCAUUGCUCAUAUACGUUCUGUCAGUGGGGCGAUGGUUGUCCUCGAGGAAACUGGAAAUUAUCUGGACGAGGUUCUGGUUUCGAUUGAAGGCACUUCGUCACAGGUUCAGACCGCACAUCAACUCAUACAGGUUCAUUACCUAUGUCCUGAUGAAUCCUACUCUUUUAUUCAGUCGCUGAAUUAAAUUCGGACGUUGUCACACCACGCAACACAACCCUUGCUACUCCGGUUGUCACAGCGUGGAGACCAGCCAUCGACGCCUCUUAAUCAAAUGAAACGUCCAUUACAAAACACAGGAUUCAUUGUACUGCCUUGCACGGUUGAUUUAUCGAUAACAGUCAUGAAUCGCACGCCGGGCGUCUGUUUUUUGACCUGUCGCCAUUUUUGCACGCAGGAGGUCCUACUGGGCAACGGAGAACCUCUACCGCCCUGGAGCAGACGGUACGGCAACCCUGACGCUGGCCCAGUUCGGCUGCCGUUCGCCCUGCACGGUUCUCCAGCGAGUCCGGAGUGCGCCCUGCCUCUGUAUCGCGAGUAUCGGUCGUCGUCAGCUGCUUACCACGGGUACAGGCUGUAGCGCACUGUGCCGAGCAACGGACCGCGCGCCUAACCCCGUCGCCUCGCCUAACCUGGACCAUGGCUGAUUGAGGGGAAAUUGAGUGGGACGGCUUAGUUGUGAUAAGACACUACGCUCCGGCAGUUCCUUGCCUAUGGUAGCUCUAUUAUAUUCGCCCUUGCCUGAAGAAAGCACAGGGGUGCUUGCUGCUGGUUCUGAAGAUUGUGGCACCUGGUUUGGGUGGUUUCCAUGCUGGAAGGACCCUGAUUGUGAUGGAGAAAUGCUGUAGAUUGCACAUGAUCUGCCAAACACUGCUUCCGCCCUUACCCUUCGACCUAGCUGGUGCAUUCCUCCCUUGACCCAUGCAUGUCUCCUCUGCGAUGAAGUUCUUGGCUGUCCCUGUGGCUGUGAGAGUGGAGCGGCGAUGACGCUGCCCCCACCCCCUCCUCUUGGUUGAUUACAUUGUGUUCAGUUUUCGUACAAAGGGCGUGGACUCGACGUUUCAAGGCAUGGCAGUGAUCGAACAUUUAAAUUCUGGGCUCCCAAAUAAAAAUUCGAGCAUUACACCGCACUAUUAAUUAAUUGUAAUAACCUAGAGUCAGGAUGACGAACUAGGGCAGGUACAGCUUGGGGAAGAAGAACUCUGAAGAAGAGAGAUGUGGAAGUGAUUCAUUCACUAAUUCUUAAUUGUCGCUUAUACCACCGUGGUUACAUGUGCCUCACCCCAACUCACUCAAGCGCACUCACUUAAUUCAAGCACCCCUAAAAAACACACAAAAAAAUUAUCCAAGCCCCAUUCCUCUUCCCACGUCUCUACUCUUUCAGCUUCCUCUUCCUUGGUGUCUUUUUCGUCAGUGUCGAUGCCAUGGCAAUGACAACUAUCUAAGGUAUUGUAAUUAAAAAAAACAAAAUAGAAACUACUCGUGUGCGGAGACAACUAAAUUAACAGACCUACAAAAGCCUUGGCUUCAUUGAACCCUACAAAAAGCCUUAAAACCCGGGUAUUCAAUUUGGCUCUAGGGAGCAUAUGCUCCUGCGUGUUAAAAUUGUAUUUUACAAAAUUCAAAAAGAAUUAAAAAAAAAUAUGUUCAUUGUCACACUUAAAUGGCACAUGCAAAUCUAUAGGUCAAAAACUUAAGUAUUUUGGCAUGUGCCAAAUGAACAAGUCGAACGUCAAAUGUUAUCUCCAAAUAUUAUACUCCCUCCGUUCCAAAAUAAAUGACUCAAAAGUGGCUCAAUGUUCCACUACUUUAGUGUAAAAUUGAGUCACUUUUGAGUCACUUAUUUUGGGACGGAGGGAGUACUUAAUUUUGUUUUUUCACCAACGAAGCACCGCUAUCCCAUAUGGCAUAAAAAUUGGCAAGCACAUUUCCGAUCAGACCCCGCAAACGCGUCUGACCCGUAAUUUUUUUGAGGGGCGCGGUAAAAUCCCCUCUCUGACCUGUGAAAACACAGGUUUCCGCCUCGCGUAUACGGUGUCCUGUAUCCCACGGAAGCGGUUGGCGGGACAAACAUUUCAGCCCGUGCCCUUUCCCCACCCCCUUCGGUCGCCGCCCCGCCAUUGGUUCCGCCAGUCCGCCAAAUCUGCAGGGUGAAUCGCGUUGCUCGGGCGCCCCUGCCCACUUCACCGAGCCGCUGCACCGGCUCCCCCGGAUCCGCCAAUCCACCACGGCCGGAGAGCCACCGCUGGAGAUGGAGUUGAGCCUGUGCGAGAAGUUUCUGCUCGAGGAUUCAACCGAUUCGGAUGACUCAGAUGUUGAGACGAUGCUUCUCACAUUUCGCCAACAGAGUUUGAUGAUGUUCCUUGCCGUGAAGGAGCACGAAGACAAGAACUGAAAGAGGCGGCGAGGAUCGACCGUCGGUCGUCUUUGCGUUCGAAAUCGCCAUCUCGGGAACGAGGUGCUUAUGCAAGACUACUUCGCCGCUAAUCCAACAUACCCGCCACACCUCUUGCAGAGAAGGUACCGUAUGCGUAGAUCCCUCUUUGUAAAAAUUGUUCAAGCUUGCGAGGUCAAUUGUCGAUAUUUUACUCAAAGAAGGAAUGUCGCGGGCUUGAAGGGAUUUAGUGCAUAUCAAAAAAUCUCGGCAGCUAUGCGGAUAAUUUCAUACGGCGUUCCAGCUGACUAUACCGAUGAGUACCUUUGCAUCGGAAAAGAUAGUACAAUUGAGUCAAUGCAUAUGUUUGCCAAAGUGAUCGUCCAUGUCUUUGGUCCUGAAUAUCUUCGGACACCGAACAAGGAAGACACAAAAAAAUUGAUGGCAUUUAAUGAAAGAAGAGGUUGGUUUGGCAUGCUAGGAAGCAUAGAUUGUGUGCAUUGGACUUGGAAAAAUUGCCCAAAAGCAUGACAUAGAAUGUACUGUGGUCAAGUCUCGUGAUGCAACAAUUGUGCUAGAGGCAGCCCGAAAAGACAAUGAAAGACCAUUUGGGGUUUUGCAAUCUAGGUUUGCCAUUGUUCGUGGUCCUGCUCGGUUUUGGAACAAGCGGUCCUUGAAAACAGGGCCGACCCACAGGCCGGGGCAAUGGGGCGCCCGCCCUGGGCCCUUCGGAGGUAGGGGGCCCGGCCCAGCACCGUGGCACCUAGCGACUAGCGAGCCUGUUAGCACUCUCGUCGCCUCGCCUCCUACGGUCGCCUCGCCUCCAGAGUCCAGAUGAGGAACAAUGUCGCGGCUCCUGCAGUCCCGUGCCUGAUUCGAGGCGACGAGGCCGUCGAUCCCGUGCCGCCAUUAAUGGAGACCAAUGGUGAUUUCCCUUCCCCAAUCUUCUCCCUCCUUUCUCAAUCCCGCAGUCCUGCAGAUUUGAUGUUAAAUAGCUGAGAGACUCCUCCUUCAGAUUCGGAAUUUCAGAGCAGGGGAACUGGGGAAGGACAUCGCCUUCUCUACACGCCGGUGCAUGGCCUGUGGCGGUGGAGAGCCCCUUCUCUACUCGCCGGUGGAGAGCCCCUCCUCCAGAGUCCAGAUACGAAGCAGGGCCCCUUCUCUACUCGCCGGUGCAGGGGCAGGGCCUGCGCAGGUGCAUCUCUGGAGGCUGGAGCAAGCAGGUUGCCAUUUCUCAUUUUCUCUGCUACUUGGUCCUCUACUCCUCUAUGAAAACUGAUUUAUUCUUGAUACAGAGAGAGUGUAGGGAGCACAGGGAAGAUUUCACAUCGAGCCCAUAUCUAGAGAGAGUGUAGGGAGCACAGGGAAGAUUUCACAUCGAGCCCAUAUCUAGGUGCUUUUGUUCCCUGUAUUGACUCUCUUUUUUUGCAAAUUGAUUGGUGACAUGUCUUUUAGAAAAUGUGUAUCUGGUAGUGAGAAAAGGAAGAGAAAAAAACAGAAAUAUGAACUAAUAGGAUCCGAUAAAUUUCAUGUGGCGUGUGUUUCAUUGUCCCUGUUCAAAGACCAUUGAUCUAUACUAUGUACUGAUUACUGAAUUGUUGUUGAAAUACGAUAAAUUUCAAAUUUUUAUCUGUCUACAAGGGCCCAGUUUUGUUGUCUCGCCCGAGGGCCUCUGAAAUGUAUGGACCGGCCCUGCUUGAAAAAUAUCAUGACAUGUUGUGUUAUUCUUCACAAUAUGAUUCUCGAAGAUGAGAGAGGCAUGAACUUGGAGUUCUUCUAUGACAAUGUGGGUAGCCAUGUCAAACCGGCUAGAGACCCUAACCGAAUUAGAGAUUUUCUUCAGACCUAUAGGUAGAUUGAAAAUGCAAACACCCACUGUCAACUUCAGAAGAAUCUCAUUAAGCACCAUUGGCAAAGAGCUGGGCAGUAACACAUUUCAUUUUUCCAUUCAUUUUCAUUUCAUUCAUGUGUGAUUUGUAUACGGGACAAGUUUUUUAUUGAAUUAUUUAGUUUGCUACAGUGAUUUAAAUAAUUAUUGUACUUUGGAUGAUUAUUGUAUUUGUAAUGUUGACAUUUUACUUAUAUUGCACAUUAGUAAUUCUGAUUUAUGGGGUCUUCGGUUUGCGGGGUCGACGCGGUGUCGCCCCCACAUUGCCGACCUGUAAAAAGCAUCUUCUGCGAAUAUCCUUUUUUACGUAUCCAAUUUGCGGGAUCUGACUCUGUCCGCACCCGCGUCGACCCGCAAAAACCUUUUUCCGCGAACUGUAAAUGAAUUUUGCGGGUUGGUUUUAUACGGGGUCUGCUAGAGAUGCUCAAAUCCUUCUCUCUUCUCCCCGUAUCUUCCUAAGAGCAAUGACAACCAAAGCCCCAUACCCCUUCCUCUCAAACGUUCGGGCGGCUUGCCUAGUCUGCCCUGACAGAAAAUUGCCACCCAACCAGACCUGUUAAACGCAACCAUGUCUGGCUUGACCGACAGCCCUCAUAUUUAGCUCAUAUGUGUGUGGAUAUAGGGACACCAAGACACGCUUGGAUGCAUCCGCAAGUAUAGACUGACGUAUGGGCCCGCGCUAAAAUCGUUGGUCCGAUGGGCGCUUGAAAGCACAACUUCUUCCUAGGUGGUUUUGGUAAUUAAUAACAACAUACAUUUCAUUGGACUAAUGACUCUAUCAAGUAUAUUUCAGGAAAAGUUUAAUGAAUGGAUUGGCAAAUCCACUAGAUGCAAGGAACAUCAAUUGGCAACAAACUUCAGGACUCUACAUUUUGCAUUUUGUGAGAAAUCACAUUUGAGUCCAUAUAAAAUCCAAUACUAUUAAAAGGGGAUGAGGUAUCUAUGAUGAUUUGGUUGCUCAAGUGCUAAUAGUUAGCCACCAAAAACCCUCAUGAAUUCUCCCACAAAAAUAUUAUGUCCAAACCCCAAAACCUAAAUUUGCUGCCACCAAGCUUACAAAUUCAACCCUACGGAGUUUUACCCUAGACAUAAUCCAGAGCCAACCCUAAACCUUCGGGGACACCAAGUCCCAUUUUAGUGCAAACAAAAACAAUGACCAAUCACUUAUGUCCAUUUGCUAAAAAUCGGAAUUUUCGAUUUUUGCGAAUUGGUGCCACCGUGUUUGUGUAACUUCCUAGGCCUGCCAAAAUUAGACUCACCGGGAUUUAUAUAUCGGUCUCACCGAAAUGCCAAAAUUUGCCACAUUUUGCACUAGUCGCUGCAACCUAAUUUUUGCUUCGGUUUCACCGAGGGCAGUAAUGUUGUAACCAUUGGAUUUUUGGAGAAGCCUAUAUAUACACCUCCACCUCCCUCUCAUUCGUAGUGAGAGCACUCAGAACAAGCCAAUACUUGUCCCAUGCAUUUUUUUGAGAGAGAACCACCUACUUAUGUGUUGAGAUCAAGAUAUUCCACUCCAACUAUAGGAAUCUUGAUUUCUAGGCUCCCCAAAUUGCUUUCCACCCAUUCAAUCUCUUAUACCAAGCCAAAUUCCGUGAGAGAGUGAUUGAGCGUCGAGGAGACUAUCUUUUGAAGCACAAGAGCAAGGAGUUCAUCGUCCAUACCACAUCUAUUACCUUUUGAAGAGUGGUAUUUUCUAGAUUGGUUAGGUGUCGCUUGGGAGCCUCCGACUUUGUGUGGAGUUUAACCAAGAAGUUUGUAAGGACAAGGAGAUUUCCUACUUCGUGAAGAUCUACCCUGACUGAGGCUAGUCCUUCGUGAACGUACGCCGUGAUGGAAUAGACGAGGUUACUACUUUUUGGACCCAUUAUGGGUGGAGAUCUUCAUGGACUCUCACGACCGCUACCCUUCGUGGGUUGAAGUCUCUAUAGCAUGGAAGUAAGAUAGCACCACCUAUCGGAACCACGGGAAAAAAUCUUCGAGUCCCUGUUCGUUUGAUCUUCCUAUCUCUAUCCUCUACUUAUAUGUGCAAGUCUUUACUUUCCGCUGCUAUACUCUUAGACUUGCAUGCGUAGGAUGUGCGGACUUGAUAUAAUUACUAAAACUUGUCAACCUUUAAAAUUGAGAAAAUGCUAAUUUUUUUAUUUUGGUCAAGUAGUAUAAUUACCCCCCUAUAGACAUACUUCAGAUCCUACAACGCCUUGUCCGGCUUGGUGAGGAUGCAUUCAUGUUGCUGCUUCAGAGCAUCGCCUCGCUCUCGUCUAUACGACUAUACAAGCCAAUUUCGUAUUGGUGGUGACGAAAGUAUAGGAGAGGAAGACGUCGCAAACACAUCGGAACAAAGAAAGAAGAGAUCUGGAGGGGAAAGACUUCGCUUAGAUCCGUUCUAGCUUCCUCUGCAUCAUUCUUCGACAUCAUCCAUCAGAGAUAGAGAGAGGGAGGGAGGGAGGGAGGGACGGAGGGAGAGAGAGAUUACAACUUGUAAAGCUAGGGUUGUAACUCUAUUCAUACUUCAUCCGCGUCGAAGAGUGGUUUAAACAUUUGUUUUAUUGUGAAAAACCACGAUAUCGAUAUAACAUUCAUUUGUAUAAUAUAUGUGAUUGAUUGUUAUUCUUAUUUCAUGGGCAAGUAAUUCUCCAUAAGCAUGAGAGAUAUAUGGGAUUAACGGGAUUCAUAUAUGUAUAUUCUCUAUGUCCUUAUUUGUAAAACUACAUGAGUAGUUAAUUAUUAGCUAGGUUGAUUAUCUGUGAUGGGCGUAAUGCUUGUUAAUUAUCCAAUUUAAAGGCUCAAACAACAGGAUCAGAAGGCAUAUUGUAACGACCAAGAUGCGGUCCUUUCCGAUCUGGGGGUCGAGGCCCCGAAUAGGAAAGAAGCGCAUCUAAGCGUUUCGCAAGCAAGUAAACAUAGCACAGAAAUAUAAUUACAAGUAGACAAUUUGGGAUUCAACUGUCUUCUUAUUAAUAAUACAGAGUACAACGCAGAUACAAACAAGGUAGUUCUGGUACGGACUACAAAACAAGGAAAAUGCUAUGCUACCCGCUGCAGGCCCACGAUCACGACCACGCCUCAGUCCUCGGGAUAGUUCACGUAAAGGCGGUCUGUCUCCUCGUCGUACUGCCACGCCAGCUGGGUGCCGUCGGGAUCAUCUGCCUCUGGGGGACCUGUACCUGCUGGGAGUUUCGGAGGAAUCCGUGAGCCACGGGGACUCAGCAAUCUAAGACCUUGGUGCCAGAACUAGUUAUGUUAUUGGGUAAGGAAGGGAUGAAGUGUAUCAGGCUGUUGCAUCCUAUGUUUGAAUAAGUGGCUAACUUACGCAAAAGAGAAGUGAAGGUGGACUACGCUAACGGUCGGGAUUACUUGAUCAGAAAGUGAUCCUGAACACCUACCUACGGCAUUCAUAACCCCACCGUGUUCCCGAUCGAAGAGAGAUCUUCGAAGGGACAGUCACGGUUACGCACACAGUUGGCAUUUUUAUUAGUUUAUGUUUAAGUUCUCUAAUACCGGAUGUUAACAAAAUAUUCCAAGUUGCCACAUAACCGCGGGCACGGCUUUCCGAAAGAUUCAACCCUGCAGGGGUGCUCCAACUAGUCCAUCACAAACGAACACAGGCCGCAAAGGCAUCCUCUAUCACGAAUCUCGUGAUCUCGUCGGAUUCCUUAGAGGACAACCUCAACUCUGGGGAAAACCAAAGCUUCACUGGGAUUCCUAUACGCAAGAUAUACCGCUAAGGUAAGACAAGGCUAGCAGGACCUCCCGACGUGUCGACGACCCCGAUAAGAGCCGCGUAUCUCAAUCUCAGGACACACCGGAUGGAACUAGCUACAGGUACCAAACCUCAAGUUUCCUUGUGGUGGCCCCGCAGGCAGACCAGUUUGGACCAACACUCAUGAGGAGCACUGGCCCGGAUUGUUGAUUAAGAAACCUCGGGGUAGCUACUCCCUAUGCAGAUUAUUAUUAAGUGAUUAGCAAAUUAACACCAAAGUUGGGUCCUGCCGAACAAGCCUUAACACUACGCGAUUUAUCAAGGGGGUCCCCAUAACAACCCCGAACGUGUUAGGAGCGAUCAUUAUGGAAUCAAACACCGGUAACCGGUAACUAAAGCGGCAAUAACGGAACAAAGCACCCGGCAAAAGGCUAGGCCUCCCAUCAUUUACCAAAUAUAUAGGUGCAUUAAAUAAUAACAUAAUUUUAAUAUAAUGAUAUCAAGCUCAUGUCAUCACAUGAGUUUAAAACACCUGCAACUAACAAUGCUAACAUUAGUAGCUGAGCAAGCCUACCUAGCCAUACAAGUUUGCUAGGAAAGAGAACGGUGUUUAGGCUCAUGGCAUUUGAAGAUGCAAUUUAAUUUCAGUGGUAGGCAGCGAGCAAUAUGACAUGGAAUCGAAACUAACAUAACAAGUCUAGAGAUGGAAUCAAGGUCAUAUCAUCUUGCCUGUGAUAUCCUCAGCUUGGAAUGGUUCUGGAUCGUUCUGCACGUACUCUCCUGACUCCACGUAUUCGUUCUCCGCUCUCGGUGCUACCCAACAUAAGAAUAACAGCCAAUGAACAGCAGCACCACAAAAUGCAACAAUCACAUGAUGCAUGAGAUGAAAGUUGAGCAUGCACCACUAUUUCUAUCAAUAGCACAAGUAAAAUAAACUACAACAAAUUUCUGAACAGAACUUUGCACUAAACUAUUUUGACAGGUAUGAGAAUGACAUGAACAGAUGCAGCUCGUAAAAACGGUGCAAAACUAUAUAAAGAACAUUGCAAACAGAGCUACGGAUCAAUGGGAAUCAACGAAACAAGAUAUGAAGCCCUACGUGAAAUAUUCAACACCACACACACAAUUGGCACAAAUCUGGUAUUCCCAGGUAGCCAAGACAUGUAAUAACCCAACAUGAAUGAAAUGGAGCAAGGUAAAACACCACAACAUCAAUUAAGCUCAAACUUUGAACAAAAUGGCAAAACUACAUAAUCUGCCAGAAUCUGCAUCUUAGCUGUUUGGGAGCAACAUGCAACAUAGCUACAGGUCUUCAAACAUGACAAAUAAUAUAUGUGGUUGUUGCCAACCAAGAACAAUACAAUCCCCAGCAAGAAUCACAGCAAAAGGAAUUAAACUCUAGAAGAUACAAGGCCACAAACUUUCCCAAAACCAUAAGAUCUCAGGGACUUAGUGAAAAUUCCUGCACCUGAGUUUCUGUUUCUGUUCUGAAUCCUUUUGACAGCAAUCAAAACAUAAUCUACUGGACUCCAAAUGAGUUGAAAAUUGACAGGAAGCUUCACAAACAUACCCGGUUCAAAAUACUAGCACUGAACCAAGGCCAGUUCUCAACAGAAUGACCAGCACAUCCUCAUCUACAGGGGAAGAAAAUGCUUCCAGCAUCCCAGACUUAGUGAAAUUUUCAGAGUUCAAAAAUCUGGAAUUUUCCAGCCACAUGCCCACUAUUUCUAGGCAUAGUUUGCACACACAUGUCACCAAGAGGUAGUUGACACCACUAUGGUGUUGAGCACAAACCCCUACUAUUAACACACAAAAAUCCAUGCCCUUGGGCUCCUCCUAUACCAUGGAAUCAAGGACCAAACUUUCAACAAAAUGUAAAUGCAACUCCAUAAGGUAUUCUUCUAAGAUGACAUCUACAUAGGGUGAGUUUCAUGUGCACAAUGACAAAGUGACAUGGGGGUUUGAACCCCAUGUUUGUGUCAUGCACAUCAACAACACCAACACACACAAUACCUCACUAGCACUAGCAUCAAACACAACACAAUGUAACUCUAUGCUAACAAGAGAGUAUGCACACCCCCACAUAUGGGCAUGUGAUGGUACACACUCUCACAUGCACCACAAGGAUCACCCUUGGAGUCAUGUCACCCUCAAGGUGCACCCCCACAAGAAUCUACCCAUGCUUAACUAGUAAGCUUCAUCUACACAUGCUUAUCAUAGCUAGCCACCUAGUGCAUCACAUACACCACAAUACAUGAGGUGAGGGGGAGGCAUCCACACCCCACUAAAUCUAUACAAGCAAAUAAAACUACAAGAACAACUUAGUCCACCUAAAGCUCAAAAGAUGUGACCAAACAUGCUCAACUAGUGCAAUCUCUCACACCUUAAGGCACACCACUUACAAGAAACCACAUCAACAUGCACAAACUCCUACCAAGUGUAACUUCACACCACAAGAUGCAAUCAUCAUAGGUUUACAAGGCUAGCAAUACAUCAUCUAUCACUCUCUAGUGUGCAACACACACCACACAAAGAAUUUUGCACCUAACUACACUCGCAGGGAAAAGGAUUAAAAUGCCACCUUGCUGCCCAAGCAUAAGGAAGAGGAAGAGCAAAAUAAAAGACAGCAAGAAUAGCAAAAAAAACACAUGCAUCAGGGGUCCUGGGAAUCGAACCCAGUACCUCCUGGUACACAGGAGCACCACCUAGCCACUACACCAUCCUCACCAAGUCGACAGGUUAAGUGAAGGGAACAGGGUAUCAUAUCCCUGAUGCUCUUGCGCCGGAAAUACAGUAAAACAAACAAAACAAACAGCGCCGAGGGGGGGGGAAUCGAACCCACACCCUUCUCAUCAGACACACAACACCCCUACCGCUUUGUCUACAGCACAGCAUCUGUUCGUUUAACACGCAACGAAACAGAAGUGGACUCUCCUCGCAACCUGCUGCCCUGAUCAACCAAGCACGCCUGAGACAGAGAAACCGCCGGGGUAGUCUACUACGGCUCAGCAACAGCGAGGGGCCAGCCCAGCCACGGCGCGGCUACCACGAGGGGAGGAAGCCCCUCUGCGUAAACACGCCCCCACGCACUGUCUCCUGCAGAUCCUUCCCCUACUGAUGCACCCUACUGCAGUUCUACUCGAACAGAGGUAAGCCGCACCACGGGCAGAUCCGAGCCGAGCUACGGAGGAGGAAGGAAGGGGGAGGCGCAACCUCACCUUGGGAAGGAAGGGGGGUUCCGAUCUGACGGAGAGGAAGCCGGACCGGAGGGAAGAAGGCGAGCCGAGGUAGUUCUGCCGUAGACCGAAGUAGAGGUAGCAGUACGCCCGGUUUGCGCCAUUGACGAGGACGAGCUCGACGGGAGGGUCGCUCCCCGGGGCUUCUAGCGCCGGGAAUGGGUCGCGGGGAACCACCCCGAGCCCCCCGGACAUGGCGGCCUUGCCGCUCGACGGAGCACACAAGGGGUAGACGCGAUGAGGCACUGCUCUGUUCUCUCUGCUAUCCCUACAGGAAGCUUACCUUGGGAAGAAAGGAAGAGAUGGAGGGGGAGGAAGGAGAUGGCGGCGGCAGGAGGGAGSCCCUAGGCGAGGGGAGGGCUCGGACGCCCAGCUAAAUAGGGGCCCUCGACGUUUGUGCCACGGCACCGUCAACUCCCCUCUCUCUCUCUCUCUCGUUCUGANNNNNNNNNNNNNNNNNNNNNNNNNNNNNNNNNNNNNNNNNNNNNNNNNNNNNNNNNNNNNNNNNNNNNNNNNNNNNNNNNNNNNNNNNNNNNNNNNNNNAAAGGGGAUUACCCCCCCCCCCCUUGUGUGUUUAGCUGUUUUGGGCAAUUGGCCCCUUCCGUGAGACUGACAGAGGGCCCCAGGACACCCUCUGUAAAUACAUAAUAAAAAAAUGAAUAAUUAAAUAAUUAGUUAAGUAAUUAAUUAAUUAGAUGAUUAAAGUUAAUUAGUUAGUACUCAUGUUAAUUAAUCAGUUAACUUAAUUAAGGAUAAUGAUGUUAAUUAACUAAUUUGUUAAUUAAUUGACAUGAUUAGUAUUAAUUAAACUUUAAUUAACCACGUGUCGAUGACAGACGGCCCCACCCGUCAGUUUGACCGAGUCAACAAACCUAUUGGCUGCUGACAUCAUGAUGGUGUCAUAACUGCAUUUAUUGAAUUAAAAUAAUCUAUUUUAUCUUCUGAAUAUUGAAUAAAACUUAAAAAAUUAAUAUUAAUUAAUUCUUAAGUCAGAUGAAAAUAUUUUGAACAUGAAAGUUGAUCGGGAGAAUGAGACGAACCCAGAUACGCUAUCCGUUCGUGUGUCGUGCAUCCCUAGCAUAGCCAACAUGAAACCUUUCCAUCUGUUUCGCCUGACCGCUAGUAACGAGAGACCUGGGAAAUAUCAUCCGAUAUUUUCCUGAUCCGUCUAUGACGGAUGUCACUGCGUUAGCUCAUGCCUAGACCUGCAUAUUGCAUGGCAUGCUUAGUGAUUGCAUCUGUGUUAUAUUUAUUGUUUCUUCCCCCCCCUCUUCUUACCGGUAGACCCCGAGACAGAUGCUGCUGCCGGGUACGACUACCCUCCUGACGACCAGCCCUUUGCCACAGAGCAACAAGGCAAGCAAACCCCCCUUGAUCAUCCCUAUAUCGCCUAUUUCUUUCUCCCUCAUGCUUGCAUUAGAAUUUUGCUACUGUUGUAGUUAGCUCCUAUAUCUGAUGCAUAGCCUAAUUUUGAUGAACUACUACUUUCCAGUACCACACUUUAAACUGCUUAGCAUAGGUGGCUCAGUCAUCCCCUCUGACCCUUAGUCCAGUUGUCUGGUUAUAUCAUUCGGAAUCCAACGAGGGUGAUACCUCGGAUCCCCCUGAUGUUACAACCACACAAUUACUUGACCGUGUUACUGGAAACAUUGAUGAAUAAUGUUUGGCGGGUGGGUUCCCGCGUGGAUGUGUCAAUUAGUUAAUUAAAAUGUUAAUGAAUUUGGGUAUUUGAUCUGGGUUGGUCGGAGACCUUAUUCGCACUAACCGUCUACGUGGGAGAAUUUAUGGGUACUCAACGUCGUGGUAUCAGCCGAAUCUCUUCAGACGUUAGCAAUGGAGCGACGCGCGCCCGAGUAGUCCGGAUAGGCAUCGCGCUUGUAAUAAGGGGUGCUAGGACUGAUCUCGGCCGCCCACACAUCGUGCAGGAGUGCAAAGGAUGAUGGGCGCAUGACCCCUGCGCACUUAGGAUUUAGACCGGUGGCUGGCCUCUGUGUUGAGUCUAGGUGGGACUACGACGUGUCGAUGUUUCGAGGUCGGGCAUGACCUAGGAAAGUGUCAUAGGUGCUAAUAUAGUAUGAAACAAUGGUCAAAUAAAAUAAUUUUUGUGUAGUGGACAACAAAGUAGCACAUCCGAGUUGGUUAUUGGACCGUGGACAGGCGCCACGUACUGCUCGCAUGACCUGGGAUUGAAUCACACUUCUCCCAAUUUCUAUUAAAAUGUUUUCUUGGUUUAUUCCGGUUCAGUAUCCUGGUUUUUUCACUGGUUUUCUAGAAAACCGGCCCGGUUCAACCGGUUUUCUUCGGUCCGAUUGCAGAACAGUCUUAUUAGCUUAAAAAGAUCGAUGAGACCGCCGGUUCUGGUUUUUUCGGUUCGACCGUCGGUCUGGUCUAUUUUUUUUAACUAGGGCUCCACUGUGAUAUCCCCGCUUAAUAGGCAUGAUAGACUACUCAUAUCAAUAAGGAAAUUUCUUCUUUUCGAGGAGCUCAUUCUAAAAGAACUCCAAAGUUAAGUGUGCUUAACUUGGAGCAAUUUUAGGAUGGAUGAUCAAUUCGGAAGUUGCUCCCUGGUGCGCACGAGUGAGAAUAAAGUAUGGAGGAAAGACUAGAGUUGAUCUAUGAGACCAGUCUAGAUGCCACCAGGAGUAAAUGGCCAGUAACCGGCGGAUGUGUACGGAACACUACAAUUUGGAAUCAGAGCCGACCCUCACGGUUACACAGAUGUUUGCGGGUCAGGUGCGUGGUCAUGUUGUGCAUGACGUUUGUGACCCGUCGUGACACAUUACAUGGCACAUGUGUCGGAUUGGACGCACAUACGUGUGCCUAGCGGGAACGUUCUUGUGGCCCUAUAAAGACGUUGGUUUCUUUGAGUGGGGGUGUAUGUGAUAGCCUGACUUAAUAGAGAUGAUAGACUACUCAUGUUAGUACUUAUCCGUGUGGCCAUUCUGAAAGAUCUCUAAAGUUAAGUGUGCUCAAUUUGGAGUAAUUUUAGGAUGGGUAAUUGACUAGGAAGUUGCUCCCAAGUACGCACGAGUGAGGACAAAGUGUCCAGAAAACACCAGUGUCAAUCUUUUGAGCCAGUAUAGAUCCCGUUAGGAGUAACAGACCUACAAGUGUUUCCAGAGCAUUACAUCCAAUCUUGUUGGACUAUUGUUCAGCAUCAUGCGAGAAGAUAGAGGGCUGACACUAUAUAGGAGAUGAUAACUGCAUGUGUGGUCAUGCACAAUAUUAUCGUAAAGGAUGAGCGUGAUGAAUACAUCUAUGACCAAGAUUAGUAUUACCAAGGUUAUUUGGUUUAGCUCGAGGGUGGAGAUAAUGUUUGCAUAAUUCAAACGACUCACACCCAAUUUCAAAAUGAUUUGAUUGAACAUAUGCAAACUCACAUAGAAAUUAAUAGUUCCAUCUUCUAAAACCAUUCUAUCCUAUUUUGGCCUUAUAACUUUUUUAAACUUUACUUUUGGGCCUUCUAAGCUAUGUGCUUAUUGUUUAUCAUGUGCUACUAUUUUUUUAAAUCUAAAUCAAGUUGUAUAGAAUGGUCAAAUGACAAUUCAUAAAACUAAUAGACAAGGCGGAUCAAUGGGUCACCCNNNNNNNNNNNNNNNNNNNNNNNNNNNNNNNNNNNNNNNNNNNNNNNNNNNNNNNNNNNNNNNNNNNNNNNNNNNNNNNNNNNNNNNNNNNNNNNNNNNNUCCGCCCGAGCUCCGCAGAAUCGCGAUCUAGARGRAAAACCGUGGAGGUAUGUGGUCGGGCACCCAUGAGAAAGUCGUCUCAAAUCAGCCCUAAUUGCGCCAUAUAGUAUAGGAGGAGGGAGGGGGGCCCUUGCCUUGGGGUCCAAGGACCCCCAAGGAGUCGGCCGAGCCAAGGGGGGGAGGACUCCCCCCCCCAAACGAGUUGGACUUGGUUUGGUGGGAGGAGUCCCCCUUCCUUCCCACCUCCUUCCUUUUUUUUCCUUUCCUCUUGAUUUUUCUUCUCUUGGCGCAUUGGGCACUUGUGGGCUGUCCCACCAGCCCACUAAGGGCUGGUGUGGCUCCCCCAAUGCCUAUAGGCUUCCCCGGGGUGGGUUGCCCCCCCGGUGAACUCCCGGAACCCAUUCGUCAUUCCCGGUACAUUCCCGGUAACUCCGAAAACCUUCCGGUAAUCAAAUGAGGUCAUCCUAUAUAUCAAUCUUCGUUUCCGGACCAUUCCGUAAACCCUCGUGACAUCCGUGAUCUCAUCCGGGACUCCGAACAACAUUCGGUAACCAACCAUAUAACUCAAAUACGCAUAAAACAACGUCGAACCUUAAGUGUGCAGACCCUGCGGGUUCGAGAACUAUGUAGACAUGACCCGAGAGACUCCUCGGUCAAUAUCCAAUAGCGGGACCUGGAUGCCCAUAUUGGAUCCUACAUAUUCUACGAAGAUCUUAUCGUUUGAACCUCAGUGCCAAGGAUUCGUAUAAUCCCGUAUGUCAUUCCCUUUGUCCUUCGGUAUGUUACUUGCCCGAGAUUUGAUCGUCAGUAUCCGCAUACCUAUUUCAAUCUCGUUUUACCGGCAAGUCUCUUUACUCGUUCCAUAAUACAAGAUCCCGCAACUUACACUAAGUUACAUUGCUUGCAAGGCUUGUGUGUGAUGUUGUAUUACCGAGUGGGCCCCGAGAUACCUCUCUGUCACACGGAGUGACAAAUCCCAGUCUUGAUCCAUACUAACUCAACUAACACCUUCGGAGAUACCUGUAUAGCAUCUUUAUAGUCACCCAGUUACGUUGCGACGUUUGAUACACACAAAGCAUUCCUCCGGUGUCAGUGAGUUAUAUGAUCUCAUGGUCAUAGGAAUAAAUACUUGACACGCAGAAAACAGUAGCAACAAAAUGACACGAUCAACAUGCUACGUCUAUUAGUUUGGGUCUAGUCCAUCACGUGAUUCUCCCAAUGACGUGAUCCAGUUAUCAAGCAACAACACCUUGUUCAUAAUUAGAAGACACUGACUAUCAUUGAUCAACUGGCCAGCCAACUAGAGGCAUGCUAGGGACGGUGUUUUUUGUCUAUGUAUCCACACAUGUAAAUGAGUCUUCAUUCAAUACAAUUAUAGCAUGGAUAAUAAACUAUUAUCUUGAUACAUGAAUUAUAAUAAUAACUAUACAUUUAUUAUUGCCUCUAGGGCAUAAUUCCAACAGUCUCCCACUUUCACUAGAGUCAAUAAUCUAGCCCUCACAUCACCAUGUGAAUUACAUUGUAAUAAAUCUAACACCCAUACAGUUCUGGUGUCGAUCAUGUUUUGGCCGUGGAAGAGGUUUAGUCAGCGGGUCUGCUACAUUCAGAUCCGUGUGCACUUUGCAUAUAUUUACGUCCUCCUCCUCGACGUAGUCGCGGAUGAGGUUGAAGCGUCGUUUGAUGUGUCUGGUCUUCUUGUGAAACCUUGGUUCCUUUGCUAAGGCAAUGGCACCAGUGUUGUCACAGAACAAGGUUAUUGGAUCCAGUGCACUUGGCACCACUCCAAGAUCCGUCAUGAACUGCUUCAUCCAGACACCCUCCUUAGCCGCCUCCGAGGCAGCCAUGUACUCUGCUUCACAUGUAGAAUCUGCUACGACGCUUUGCUUGGAACUGCACCAGCUUACUGCACCCCCAUUAAGAAUAAAUACGUAUCCGGUUUGCGACUUAGAGUCGUCCGGAUCUGUGUCAAAGCUUGCAUCGACGUAACCUUUUAUGGCGAGCUCUUCGUCACCUCCAUACACGAGAAACAUAUCCUUAGUCCUUUUCAGGUACUUCAGGAUAUUCUUGACCGCUGUCCAGUGAUCCACUCCUGGAUUACUCUGGAACCUACCUGCCAUACUUAUGGCCAGGCUAACAUCCGGUCUAGUGCACAGCAUCGCAUACAUGAUAGAACCUAUGGCUGAAGCAUAGGGGACGGAGCGCAUAUGCUCUCUAUCUUCAUCAGUUGCUGGGCACUGAGUCUUACUCAAUCUCGUACCUUGUAAAACUGGCAAGAACCCUUUCUUGGACUGUUCCAUUUUGAACCUCUUCAAAACUUUAUCAAGGUAUGUGCUUUGCGAAAGUCCUAUCAGGCGUUUUGAUCUAUCCCUAUAGAUCUUAAUGCCUAGAAUGUAAGCAGCUUCUCCUAGGUCCUUCAUAGAGAAACUUUUAUUCAAGUAACCUUUUAUGCUCUCCAAAAGCUCUACGUUAUUUCCAAUCAGUAAUAUGUCAUCCACAUAUAAUAUUAGAAACGCCACAGAGCUCCCACUCACUUUCUUCUAAAUACAAGAUUCUCCAACCACUUGUAUAAACCCAAAUGCUUUGAUCACCUCAUCAAAGCGUUUGUUCCAACUCCGAGAUGCUUGCACCAGUCCAUAAAUGGAUCGCUGGAGCUUGCACACCUUGUCAACAUUUUUAGGAUCGACGAAACCUUCGGGUUGCAUCAUAUACAACUCUUCCUUAAGGAAACCGUUAAGGAACGCCGUUUUGACAUCCACCUGCCAGAUUUCAUAAUCGAAAAAUGCAGCUAUUGCUAACAUGAUUCUGACGGACUUAAGCAUCGCUACGGGUGAGAAAGUCUCAUCGUAGUCAACUCCUGGAACUUGUGAAAAACCCUUUGCCACAAGUCGAGCUUUAUAAACGGUCACAUUACCGUCAGCGUCCGUCUUCUUCUUAAAGAUCCAUUUGUUCUGAAUAGCCUUGCGGCCCUCAGGUAGUAUCUCCAAAGUCCACACUUUGUUCUCAUACAUGGAUCCUAUCUCGGAUUUCAUGGCUUCUAGCCAUUUGUUGGAAUCUAGGCCCACCAUUGCUUCUUCAUAAUUCGUAGGUUCAUUGUUGUCUAACAACAUGAUUGAUAAGACGGGAUUACCGUACCACUCAGGAGCAGCGCGUGAUCUCGUCGACCUGCGUGGUUCAACAGAAACUUGAACUGGAGUUUCAUGAUCAUCAUCAUUAACUUCCUCCUCAACCGGCGUCGCAACGACAGAGGUUUCCCCUUGCCCUGUGCCACCAUCCAGAGGGAUGAGAGGUUCGACAACCUCGUCAAGUUCUAUCCUCCUCCCACUCAAUUCUCUCAAGAGAAACUCCUUCUCGAGUAAAGCUCCGUUUUUAGCAACAAACACUUUGCCCUCGGAUUUGAGAUAGAAGGUGUACCCAACUGUCUCUUUUGGGUAACCUAUGAAGACGCACCUUUCCGCUUUGGGUUCCAGCUUUUCAGGCUGAAGCUUUUUGACAUAAGCAUCACAUCCCCAAACUUUAAGAAACGACAACUUUGGCCUCUUGCCAUACCACAGUUCGUAUGGUGUCGUCUCAACGGAUUUUGAUGGUGCCCUAUUUAAAGUGAAUGCAGCUGUUUCUAAUGCAUAACCCCAAAAUGAUAACGGCAAAUCAGUAAGAGACAUCAUAGAUCGCACCAUCUCUAACAAAGUACGAUUACGAUGUUCGGACACACCAUUACGCUGUGGUGUUCCAGGCGGUGUCAACUGUGAAAUAAUUCCACAUUGUCUUAAGUGAGUACCAAACUCAAAACUCAGAUAUUCACCCCCACGAUCAGACAGUAGGAACUUGAUCUUCUUGUUACGAUGAUUUUCAACUUCACUCUGAAAUUGCUUGAUAUUUUCAAAUGUUUCAGACUUGUGCUUCAUCAAGUAGACAUAACCAUAUCUACUUAAAUCGUCAGUGAAGGUGAGAAAAUAACGAUAUCCGCCGCGUGCCUCUACACUCAUUGGACCACACACAUCGGUAUGUAUGAUUUCCAACAAGUCACUUGCACGCUCCAUUGUUCCGGAGAACGGAGUUUUAGUCAUCUUGCCCAUGAGGCAUGGUUCGCACGUGUCAAGUGAAUCAAAGUCAAGUGACUCCAAAAGUCCAUCAGCAUGGAGUUUCUUCAUGCGCUUUACACCAAUAUGACCCAAGCGGCAGUGCCACAAAAAUAUGGCGCUAUCAUUGUUUACUCUAACUCUUUUGGCCUCAAUGUUAUGUAUGUGUCUAUUGCUAUCAAGAUUCAAUAUGAACAAUCCUCUCACAUUGGGUGCAUGACCAUAAAAGAUGUUACUCAUAGAAAUAGAACAACCAUUAUUCUCUGACUUAAAAGAGUAACCGUCUCGCAAUAAACAAGAUCCAGAUAUAAUGUUCAUGCUCAACGCAAGCACUAAAUAACAAUGUUUUAAGUUCAUCACUAAUCCUGAUGGUAACUUAAGUGAAACUGUGCCGACGGCGAUUGCAUCAACCUUGGAACCAUUUCCUACGCGCAUCGUCACUUCAUCUUUCGCCAGCCUUCGUCUAUUCCGUAGUUCCUGUUUCGAGUUGCAAAUAUGAGCAACAGAACCGGUAUCAAAUACCCAGGCACUACUACGAGAGCCGGUUAAGUACACACCAAUAACUUGUAUAUCAAAUAUACCUGAUUUUUCGUUGGCCGCCUUCUUAUCUGCCAGAUACUUGGGGCAAUUGCGCUUCCAGUGACCCAUACCCUUGCAAUAGAAGCACUCUGUUUCAGGCUUAGGUCCAGCCUUGGGUUUCUUCGGCGGAUUGGCAACAGGCUUGCCGCUAUUCUUCGAGUUGCCCUUCUUGCCUUUGCCGUUUCUCUUGAAACUAGUGGUCUUGCUCACCAUCAACACUUGAUGCUCUUUACGGAGUUCAGACUCUGCGACUUUCAGCAUUGCAAACAACUCGCCGGGAGACUUGUUCAUCCCUUGCAUGUUGUAGUUCAACACAAAGCCUUUAUAGCUUGGCGGCAGUGAUUGAAGGAUUCUGUCAGUGAUAGCCUCUUGCGGGAGUUCAAUCCCCAGCUCAGCUAGACGGUUUGAGUACCUAGACAUUUAGAGCACAUGUUCACUGACAGAUGAGUUUUCCUCCAUCUUGCAAGCAUAGAAUUUAUCGAAGGUCUCAUACCUCUCGAUCCGGGCGUUCUUCUGAAAGAUAAACUUCAACUCCUGGAACAUCUCAAAUGCUCCAUGACGCUCAAAGCGACGUUGAAGUCCCGGUUCUAAGCCAUACAAGACUACACAUUGAACUAUUGAGUAGUCCUCCUUACGUGCUAACCAAGCGUUCUUAACAUCCUGAUCAGCCGUAGCGGGUGGUUCAUCUCCUAGCGCAGCAUUAAGGACAUAAUCCUUCUUCCCAGCUUGUAAGAUUAGCUUAAGAUUACGAGCCCAGUCUACAAAGUUGCUUCCAUCAUCUUUCAACUUAGCUUUCUCUAGGAACGUAUUAAAAUUCAGGAUGACACUCGCGUGAGCCAUGAUCUACAACACAAAUAUAUUCAAAGUGGACUUAGACUAUGUUCAAGAUAAUUAGAGUUCAACUUAAUCAAAUUAUAUGCUAAACUCCCACUCAAAAAAUACAUCUCUCUAGUCAUUUGAGUGGUUCAUGAUUCACUUACACUAUCCCAAGUCCGAUCAUCACGUGAGUUGAGCUUAGUUUCAGUGGUAAGCAUCCCUAUGCUAAUCAUAUCAACUAUAUGAUUCAUGAUCGACCUUUCGGUCUCAUGUGUUCCGAGGCCAUGUCUGCACAUGCUAGGCUCGUCAAGCUUAACCCGAGUGUUCUGCGUGCGCAACUGUUUUGCACCCGUUGUAUGUGAACGUUGAGUCUAUCACACCCGAUCAUCACGAGGUGUCUCGAAACGACGAACUGUAGCAACGGUGCACAGUCGGGGAGAACACAAUUUCGUCUUGAAAUUUUAGUGAGAGAUCACCUCAUAAUGCUACCGUCGUUCUAAGCAAAAUAAGGUGCAUAAAAGGAUUAACAUCACAUGCAAUUCAUAAGUGACAUGAUAUGGCCAUCAUCACGUGCUUCUUGAUCUCCAUCACCAAAGCAUCGGCACGAUCUUCUUGUCACCGGCGCCACACCAUGAUCAUCCAUCAACGUGUUGCCAUCGGGGUUGUCGUGCUAAUUAUGCUAUUACUACUAAAGCUACAUCUUAGCAAAAUAGUAAACGCAUCUGCAAGCACAAACGUUAGUAUAAAGACAACCCUAUGGCUCCUGCCGGUUGCCGUACCAUCGACAUGCAAGUCGAUAUUUCUAUUACAACAUGAUCAUCUCAUAGAUCCAAUAUAUCACAUCACAUCGUUGGCCAUAUCACAUCACAAUCAUACCCUGCAAAAACAAGUUAGACGUCCUCUAAUUUUGUUGUUGCAUGUUUUACGUGGUGACCAAGGGUAUCUAGUAGGAUCGCAUCUUACUUACGCAAACACCACAACGGAGAUAUAUGAGUUGCUAUUUAACCUCAUCCAAGGACCUCCUCGGUCAAAUCCGAUUCAACUAAAGUUGGAGAAACCGUCACUUGCAGUCAUCUUUGAGCAAAGGGGGUUACUCGUAACGAUGAAUCCAGUCUCUCGUAAGCGUACGAGUAAUGUCGGUCCAAGCCGCUUCAAUCCAACAAUACCGCGGAAUCAAGAAAAGACUAAGGAGGGCAGCAAAGCGCACAUCACCGCCCACAAAACCUUUUGUGUUCUACUCGAGAAGACAUCUACGCAUGAACCUAGCUCAUGAUGCCACUGUUGGAGAACGUCGCAUGGGAAACAAAAAAUUUCCUACGCGCACGAAGACCUAUCAUGGUGAUGUCCAUCUACGAGAGGGGAUGAGUGAUCUACGUACCCUUGUAGAUCGUACAGCAGAAGCGUUAGAGAACGCGGUUGAUGUAGUGGAACGUCCUCACGUCCCUCGAUCCACCCCGCGAACAAUCCCGCGAUCAGUCCCACGAUCUAGUACCGAACGGACGGCACCUCCGCGUUCAGCACACGUACAGCUCGACGAUGAUCUCGGCCUUCUUGAUCCAGCAAGAGAGACGAAGAGGUAGAAGAGUUCUCCGGCAGCGUGACGGCGCUCCGGAGGUUGGUGAUGACCUUGUCUCAGCAGGGCUCCGCCCGAGCUCCGCAGAAACGCGAUCUAGAGGAAAAAACCGUGGAGGUAUGUGGUCGGGCAGCCGUGAGAAAGUCGUCUCAAAUCAGCCCUAAUUGCUCCAUAUAUAUAGGAGGAGGGAGGGGGGCCUUKGCCGUUUGGGGGGGUACCCAAACGGGACCCCCCCCAAGGGAGGUCGGCCGGAGCCCGAAGGGGGGGGAGGACCUCCCCCCCCGAAACCCGAGUUGGACUUGGUUUGGUGGGAGGGAGUCCCCCUCCCGUUCCCACCUCCUUCCUUUUUUUCCUUUCCUUCCUUGUACUUUUUCUUUCUUCUUGGUCGUCACUUGGGUCUACCUUGUGGCUGUCCACCANNNNNNNNNNNNNNNNNNNNNNNNNNNNNNNNNNNNNNNNNNNNNNNNNNNNNNNNNNNNNNNNNNNNNNNNNNNNNNNNNNNNNNNNNNNNNNNNNNNNGUAUAGGAUGACCUCAUUGAUUACCGGAAGGUUUCGGAGUUACCGGAAUGUAUCGGAAUGACGAUGGUCGGAGUCACCGGGGGGGGGCACCACCGGGAAGCCCAUAGGCAUUGGGGAGCCACACCAGCCCUUAGUGGGCUGGUGGGACAGCCCACAAGUGCCCAAUGCACCAAGAGAAGAAAAAUCAAGAGGAAAGGAAAAAAAAGGAAGGAGGUGGGAAGGGAGGGGGACUCCUCCCACCAAACCAAGUCCAACUCGGUUUGGGGGGGGRAGUCCUCCCCCCCUUGGCUCGGCCGACUCCUUGGGGGGUCCUUGGACCCCAAGGCAAGGCCCCCUCCCUCCUCCUAUAUAUAUGGAGCAAUUAGGGCUGAUUUGAGACGACUUUCUCACGGCUGCCCGACCACAUACCUCCACGGUUUUUCCUCUAGAUCGCGUUUCUGCGGAGCUCGGGCGGAGCCCUGCUGAGCAAGGUCAUCACCAACCUCCGGAGCGUCGUCACGCUGCCGGAGAACUCUUCUACCUCUCCAUCUCUCUUGCUGGAUCAAGAAGGCCGAGAUCAUCGUCGAGCUGUACGUGUGCUGAACGCGGAGGUGCCGUCCGUUCGGUACUAGAUCGUGGGACUGAUCGCGGGAUUGUUCGCGGGGCGGAUCGAGGGACGUGAGGACGUUCCACUACAUCAACCGCGUUCUCUAACGCUUCUGCUGUACGAUCUACAAGGGUACGUAGAUCACUCAUCCCCUCUCGUAGAUGGACAUCACCAUGAUAGGUCUUCGUGNNNNNNNNNNNNNNNNNNNNNNNNNNNNNNNNNNNNNNNNNNNNNNNNNNNNNNNNNNNNNNNNNNNNNNNNNNNNNNNNNNNNNNNNNNNNNNNNNNNNUGGAACGUCCUCACGUCCCUCGAUCCGCCUCGCGAACCGUCCCGCGAUCAGUCCCACGAUCUAGUGCCGAACGGACGGCACCUCCGCGUUCAGCACACGUACAGCUCGACGAUGAUCUCGGCCUUCUUGAUCCAGCAAGAGAGACAGAGAGGUAGAAGAGUUCUCCGGCAAUGUGACGGCGCUCCGGAGGUUGGUGGUGAUCUUAUCUCAGCAGGGCUCUGCCCGAGCUCCGCAGAAACGCGAUCUAGAGGAAAAACCGUGGAGGUAUGUGGUCGGGCUGCCGUGGAAAAGUCGUCUCAAAUCAGCCCUAAAACCUCCGUAUAUAUAGGGGGAAGAGGGGGAGCCUUGUCUUGGGGUCUAAGGACCCUCAAGGGCUUCGGCCGAGCCAAGGGGGGAAGGUCUCCCCUUCCAAACCGAAUCCAACUUGGUUUGGAAGGUGGAGUCCUUCUUCCCUUUCCCACCUCCUCCUUUUUUUCUUUUCUCUUUGAUUUUCUACCUAUGGCGCAUAGGGCCUUCUUGGGCUAUCCCACCAGCCCACUAAGGGCUGGUGCGCCACCCCCAAGGCCUAUGGGCUUCCCCCGGGGUGGGUUGCCCCCCCGGUGAACACCCGGAACCCAUUCGUCAUUCCCGGUACAUUCCCGGUAACUCCGAAAACCUUCCGGUAAUCAAAUGAGGUCAUCCUAUAUAUCAAUCUUCGUUUCCGUACCAUUCCGGAAACCCUCGUGACGUCCGUGAUCUCAUCUGGGACUCCGAACAACAUUCGGUAACCAACCAUAUAACUCAAAUACGCAUAAAACAACGUCGAACCUUAAGUGUGCAGACCCUGCGGGUUCGAGAACUAUGUAGACAUGACCCGAGAGACUCCUCGGUCAAUAUCCAAUAGCGGGACCUGGAUGCCCAUAUUGGAUCCUACAUAUUCUACGAAGAUCUUAUCGUUUGAACCUCAGUGCCAAGGAUUCGUAUAAUCCCGUAUGUCAUUCCCUUUGUCCUUCGGUAUGUUACUUGCCCGAGAUUCGAUCGUCAGUAUCCGUAUACCUAUUUCAAUCUCGUUUACCGGGAAGUCUCUUUACUCAUUCUGUAAUACAAGAUCCCGCAACUUAGACUAAGUUACAUUGCUUGCAAGGCUUGUGUGUGAUGUUGCAUUACCGAGUGGGCCCCGAGAUACCUCUCCGUCACACAGAGUGACAAAUCCCAGUCUUGAUCCAUACUAACUCAACUAACACCUUCGGAGAUACCUGUAGAGUAUCUUUAUAGUCACCCAGUUACGUUGCGACGUUUGAUACACACAAAGUAUUCCUCCGGUGUCAGUAAGUUAUAUGAUCUCAUGGUCAUAGGAAUAAAUACUUGACACGCAGAAAACAGUAGCAACAAAAUGACACGAUCAACAUGCUACGUCUAUUAGUUUGGGUCUAGUCCAUCACGCGAUUCUCCCAAUGACGUGAUCCAGUUAUCAAGCAACAACACCUUGUUCAUAAUCAGAAGACACUGACUAUCAUUGAUCAGCUGGCUAGCCAACUAGAGGCAUGCUAGGGACAGUGUUUUGUCUAUGUAUCCACACAUGUAAAUGAGUCUUCAUUCAAUACAAUUAUAGCAUGGAUAAUAAACUAUUAUCUUGAUACAGGAAUUAUAAUUAUAACUAUACAUUUAUUAUUGUCUCUAGGGCAUAAUUCCAACAAGAAGUGUCAAGCAUGGUACGAUCUUCAUGAGAAAGCCGAGCAUAAAAGUUUUGAGUGAUGAUUUAUCUUGAGAGCUCAUGAUUGGGGCAUGAAUAUAGCAUUGAUUUAAGCCUCCCCCAAGCUUGAGCUAUGCUUUCCCUGUCACGAGGCCAAAAGUUAUAAAUAAAGUUCCGAUCACGCUGUACUAAAUGCAUAGGAUAGAACUUUUGAUGAAAGUCCAAUUUCAACCGAUUGUAGCCCCAUGAUCCAGUGUCAUCACAUAGCCUAUACCAUGUCAACGCCUUAUCCUUCAAAGAUAAAGGAAAGACUUUCUUCUUUACCUCAUCCUCGGGCAAACCUGCAAGCUUAAAUAAACCACAAACUUCAUCUACAUAGAUUAGAUGCAAGUCUGGAUGUGAAGAUCCAUCUCCUGUGAAAGGAUUAGCGAGCAGUUUCUCAAGCAUACCCGAAGGAAUUUCAUAAAAGAUAUUUUCAGUAGGUACCUCAGGUUGAGGAACAAAUCCUCGUGCUUCCAUUCAUGGUGAAGAUACCCCGAACAAACUCCUUAAAGGAACAGUUUCCAUAGUGACAAGUGACAAUAAAUUUCAGCACAAUAUAUAAAUGUUUCCUUACCAAUUUCCACUUACCAAAGGCACUUCACUCCCCGGCAACGGCGCCAGAAAAGAGUAUUGAUGACCCACAAGUACAGGGGAUCAAUUGUAGUCCUUUAGAUAAGUAAGAGUGUCGAACCCAACGAGGAGCAGAAGGCUCUGAUAAACGGACUUCAGCAAGGUAACAACUGCAAGCACUGAAAGUAGCGGUAACAAGUGAUGGUAUAGUGAGGUGAAACGUAGCAAGUGAAAAGUAACAAGUAGUAGCAACGGUGCAGCAAGUGGCCCAAUCCCUUUUGUAGCAAGGGACAAGCCUGAACAAAGUCUUAUCGGAGGAAAAACGCUCCCGAGGUCACACGGGAAUUUCUGUCAUGCUAGUUUAAUCAUGUUCAUAUGAUUCGCGUUUGUUACUUUGAUAGUUUGAUAUGUGGGUGGACCGGCGCUUGGGUACUACCCUUACUUGGACAAGCAUCCCACUUAUGAUUAACCUCUCUCGCAAGCAUCCGCAACUACAAAAGAAGAAUUAAGACAAAGUCUAACCAUAGCAUUAAACUAGUGGAUCCAAAUCAGCCCCUCACGAAGCAACGCAUAGACUCGGGUUUAAGCUUCUAUCACUCCAGCAACCCAUCAUCUACUUACUACUUCCCAAUGCCUUCCUCUAGGCCCAAAUAUGGUGAAGUGUUAUGUAGUCGACGUUCACAUAACACCACUAGAGGAAAAGACAACAUACAUCAUAUCAAAAUACCGAACGAAUAUCAAAUUCACAUGACUAUUAUUAACAUGACUUAUCCCAUGUCCUCAGGAACAAAAGUAACUACUCACAAAACAUAAUCAUAAUCAUGAUCAGAGGCGUAAUGAAUAGCAUCAAGGAUCUGAACAUAAACUCUUCCACCAAGUAAUCCAACUAGCAUCAACUACAAAGAGUAAUCAACACUACUAGCAACCUUACAAGUACCAAUCGGAGUUGCGAGACGAAGAUUGGUUNNNNNNNNNNNNNNNNNNNNNNNNNNNNNNNNNNNNNNNNNNNNNNNNNNNNNNNNNNNNNNNNNNNNNNNNNNNNNNNNNNNNNNNNNNNNNNNNNNNNUGUUCUGUUUUUUUUUGUCUUUGAUCUCUCGACGGUUUUCCAAAAUAGACCAACUUAUCUCAAAUUUGAUGAACUUUUUUUUCAUAUUCGAUGAACUUUUUUAAAAAUUUAUGAACAUUCUCCUCAUAUUGAUGAACUUUUUUCAAACUUGAUGACCAAUUUUUAAUAUUUGUGAACUAUUACAAAGUUUGAUGAACUUUUUUUUCAAAUUAUAUGUUUUUUUUAAUUUGAUGUUUUUUUGAAAAUUUGUGAACCUUUUCCAAAAUUGGUGAACUAUUUUUCAAAUUCGUUAAACCUUUUUUCAAAUUUUUUGAUUUUUUUCCUCAAAAAAGAUGAUUAUUUAUAAAUUGAUGAACAUUCUUAAAAAAUAAUGAAGUUUUUCAUUUUUUAUAGAAAAAACUAAAUCGAUGAACUUUAAAAAAAAUUAUGAACUAUUUUUAUAUUUUAUGAACUUUUUCAAAUUUGAUGAAUAUUUUUUGAAAGUAGAUUACCUCUUUUUAAAAUUGGAUGAUUUUUUUUCAAAUUUGUUGAACUAUUUUUAUAUUUUAUCAAUUUUUCAAAUUUUAACGAACAUUUAUUGAAAAUCCAUUAACCUUUUUUUACAUUCGAUGAAUGUUUUACAAAUUCGCUGAAUUUGUUUUCAAAUUUGACAAACCUUUCGCAAAUUCGAUGAACGUUUUUCAGAUUUGAUGAAUUUUCUUUUCAAAAUCUAUUAACUUGAAUAUCAAUGGUCUUUUUCAGGCUCGUGAACUUUUCUUCCUGAAUGAAGAUUUUUUUUCAAAAUCACUAAUUUUCCCAAAUAAUUCAAUUUCUUUUUAAGUGUACGAUAGAUGAAUGGUUCUAUGCAAUAAAAUAGCGCUGUUACAUUAUUACUAUGCUUUUGCCGCUAUUGAAAAUCUUCAAACGCUAUUAGCUUGACCGGCUGGUUGCAUUGUAUCUGAAGUAGAUGUGGCGAACCAGAAGUGAGUAAUAAUUUUUGCGGCUUUUUGGGAGCUUUUGCGUUCACUGCUCCGCCCGUUUCAUGGGCCCGCCCACUCGCGUCGUUUUCGAGCAUCAGAAGCUUGAACGAGGUUUGGAAGCAACUAUGCUUUCUCAGAAACCUUCCAGCGAUCGCUCCCGCGCGCCGUCACUUGACGUGUUCCUAUCCGUCGCGCGUGUUGUCGCGUUCUGAGCGCUUCCUUCGAAUUUUGUUAUUUCUAUUUUUUCGCAUGCGUUUUUUGCCYUUUUUGAGGUGGGGGUUUUCCGGUAUUUUUUUGGUGUUCCGGUUUUUCACCAGUCUUUCGUACUUUCGGGCAAGGAAAAACAAAUUAUUUUUUUUUGUGUGAAAAAAAACGCGUUUUCUGUUUUUUUACGCGAAAAAACAUGUUUUUUUUACGAGAGACACGGUUCUGCCUUCGCGAGAGGUACUGCCAUGCGUCUCGGAAAGGGAAAAAAACGUGUUUUCUCUCUUUUUUUGCGAGAGGCACGGUUUUGCUUCCGUCGAAAGGUCACUAGUUUUGACUUACGCAACAGGCACUGGCCGUGCYUUCGAAAGGAAACUGUUUCUGCUUUUUUAGCGAGUAUAGGUCACCGGGUUUCUCCUUUCCUUGGUCGUAAAGGGCUACGGUUUUNNNNNNNNNNNNNNNNNNNNNNNNNNNNNNNNNNNNNNNNNNNNNNNNNNNNNNNNNNNNNNNNNNNNNNNNNNNNNNNNNNNNNNNNNNNNNNNNNNNNUCAGCCCUAAAACCUCCGUAUAUAUAGGGGGAAGAGGGGGAGCCUUGUCUUGGGGUCUAAGGACCCUCAAGGGCUUCGGCCGAGCCAAGGGGGGAAGGUCUCCCCUUCCAAACCGAAUCCAACUUGGUUUGGAAGGUGGAGUCCUUCUUCCCUUUCCCACCUCCUCCUUUUUUCUUUCUCUUUGAUUUUCUACCUAUGGCGCAUAGGGCCUUCUUGGGCUAUCCCACCAGCCCACUAAGGGCUGGUGCGCCACCCCCAAGGCCUAUGGGCUUCCCCGGGGUGGGUUGCCCCCCGGUGAACACCCGGAACCCAUUCGUCAUUCCCGGUACAUUCCGGUAACUCCGAAAACCUUCCGGUAAUCAAAUGAGGUCAUCCUAUAUAUCAAUCUUCGUUUCCGUACCAUUCCGGAAACCCUCGUGACGUCCGUGAUCUCAUCUGGGACUCCGAACAACAUUCGGUAACCAACCAUAUAACUCAAAUACGCAUAAAACAACGUCGAACCUUAAGUGUGCAGACCCUGCGGGUUCGAGAACUAUGCAGACAUGACCCGAGAGACUCCUCGGUCAAUAUCCAAUAGCGGGACCUGGAUGCCCAUAUUGGAUCCUACAUAUUCUACGAAGAUCUUAUCGUUUGAACCUCAGUGCCAAGGAUUCAUAUAAUCCCGUAUGUCAUUCCCUUUGUCCUUCGGUAUGUUACUUGCCCGAGAUUCGAUCGUCAGUAUCCGCAUACCUAUUUCAAUCUUGUUUACCGGCAAGUCUCUUUACUCGUUCCGUAAUACAAGAUCCCGCAACUUACACUAAGUCACAUUGCUUGCAAGGCUUGUGUGUGAUGUUGUAUUACCGAGUGGGCCCCGAGAUACCUCUCCGUCACACGGAGUGACAAAUCCCAGUCUCGAUCCAUACUAACUCAACUAACACCUUCGGAGAUACCUGUAGAGCAUCUUUAUAGUCACCCAGUUACGUUGCGACGUUUGAUACACACAAAGCAUUCCUCCGGUGUCAGUGAUUUAUAUGAUCUCAUGGUCAUAGGAACAAAUACUUGACACGCAGAAAACAGUAGCAACAAAAUGACACGAUCAACAUGCUACGUCUAUUAGUUUGGGUCUAGUCCAUCACAUGAUUCUCCUAAUGAUGUGAUCCCGUUAUCAAGUAACAACACUUGCCUAUGGCCAGGAAACCUUGGCCAUCUUUGAUCAACGAGCUAGUCAACUAGAGGCUUACUAGGGACAGUGUUUUGUCUAUGUAUCCACACAAGUAUUGUGUUUCCAAUCAAUACAAUUAUAGCAUGGAUAAUAAACGAUUAUCAUGAACAAAGAAAUAUAAUAAUAACUAAUUUAUUAUUGCCUCUAGGGCAUAUUUCCAACAGUCUCCCACUUGCACUAGAGUCAAUAAUCUAGUUCACAUCACCAUGUGUUUCCAACGAAUCCAACACCCAUAUAGUUAUGGGGUCUGAUCACGUCUUGCUCAUGAGAGAGGUUUUAGUCAACGGUUCUGAAAUUUUCAGAUCCGUGUGUUCUUUACAAAUCUUUAUGUCAUCUUAUAGAUGCUGCUACUAUGUGCUAUUCGGAAAUACUCCAAAUAUCUACUCUACUAUACAAAUCCGUUUCACUACUAAUAGUUAUUCGGAUUAGUGUCAAAGCUUGCAUGCNNNNNNNNNNNNNNNNNNNNNNNNNNNNNNNNNNNNNNNNNNNNNNNNNNNNNNNNNNNNNNNNNNNNNNNNNNNNNNNNNNNNNNNNNNNNNNNNNNNNCUAGUUGACUAGCUCGUUGAUCAAAGAUGCAGUUCUGCAUAGGCAAGUGUUGUUACUUGAUAACGGGAUCACAUCAUUAGGAGAAUCAUGUGAUGGACUAGACCCAAACUAAUAGACGUAGCAUGUUGAUCGUGUCAUUUUGUUGCUACUGUUUUCUGCGUGUCAAGUAUUUGUUCCUAUGACCAUGAGAUCAUAUAAAUCACUGACACCGGAGGAAUGCUUUGUGUGUAUCAAACGUCGCAACGUAACUGGGUGACUAUAAAGAUGCUCUACAGGUAUCUCCGAAGGUGUUAGUUGAGUUAGUAUGGAUCGAGACUGGGAUUUGUCACUCCGUGUGACGGAGAGGUAUCUCGGGGCCCACUCGGUAAUACAACAUCACACACAAGCCUUGCAAGCAAUGUGACUUAGUGUAAGUUGCGGGAUCUUGUAUUACGGAACGAGUAAAGAGACUUGCCGGUAAACAAGAUUGAAAUAGGUAUGCGGAUACUGACGAUCGAAUCUCGGGCAAGUAACAUACCGAAGGACAAAGGGAAUGACAUACGGGAUUAUAUGAAUCCUUGGCACUGAGGUUCAAACGAUAAGAUCUUCGUAGAAUAUGUAGGAUCCAAUAUGGGCAUCCAGGUCCCGCUAUUGGAUAUUGACCGAGGAGUCUCUCGGGUCAUGUCUGCAUAGUUCUCGAACCCGCAGGGUCUGCACACUUAAGGUUCGACGUUGUUUUAUGCGUAUUUGAGUUAUAUGGUUGGUUACCGAAUGGUUGUUCGGGAGGUCCCAGAUGAGAUCACGGACGUCACGAGGGUUUCCGGAAUGGUACGGAAACGAAGUAUUGAUAUAUAGAUGACCUCUAUUUGACGUUAACCGGGUAAAGGGUUUUUUCCGGGUACGGUUUAACCGGGGGUAAAUUCGGGUUAAACCCGGGGAAAGUUCGGGAAACCGUAAAGGUUCGGGGGGUUUUCCCGGGGGUUGUUUACCCGGGUACCCGGGGGGGGGGGNNNNNNNNNNNNNNNNNNNNNNNNNNNNNNNNNNNNNNNNNNNNNNNNNNNNNNNNNNNNNNNNNNNNNNNNNNNNNNNNNNNNNNNNNNNNNNNNNNNNAAAAGAUUUAACGCAAUCAAACUGGAAAUUCAUACCUGACUCCUUACCUUCCUCCAGCUCCCAAUCUUCAGAGUUGCUUUUGAUUCUCUCCUAUAAAUUCCACUUGUGAUCAAUAUCCUUCUUCAUAAAAGAACCGACACAAGAAGUGUUGGGGAACGUCGCAUGGGAAACAAAAAUUUUCCUACGCGCACGAAGACCUAUCAUGGUGAUGUCCAUCUACGAGAGGGGAUGAGUGAUCUACGUACCCUUGUAGAUCGUACAGCAGAAGCGUUAGAGAACGCGGUUGAUGUAGUGGAACGUCCUCACGUCCCUCGAUCCGCCCCGCGAACAAUCCCGCGAUCAGUCCCACGAUCUAGUACCGAACGGACGGCACCUCCGCGUUCAGCACACGCACAACUCGACGAUGAUCUCGGCCUUCUUGAUCCAGCAAGAGAGACGGAGAGGUAGAAGAGUUCUCCGGCAGCGUCACGGCGCUCCGGAGGUUGGUGAUGACCUUGUCUCAGCAGGGCUCCGCCCGAGCUCCGCAGAAUCGCGAUCUAGAGGAAAAACCGUUGGAGGUAAUGUUGGUCGGGCACCCAUGAGAAAGUCGUCUCAAAUCAGCCCUAAUUGCGCCAUAUAUAUAGGAGGAGGAGGGGGCCUUGCCUUGGGUCCAAGGACCCCAAGGACGUUCGGCCCGUAGCCCAAGGGGGGGGAGACUCCCCCCAAACCCGNGUUGGACUUGGUUUCGGGUGGGAGGUACGGUCCCCCCGUUUCCCUUCCCGACCUCCCUUCCUUUUUUUUUUCCUUCCUUCCUUNNNNNNNNNNNNNNNNNNNNNNNNNNNNNNNNNNNNNNNNNNNNNNNNNNNNNNNNNNNNNNNNNNNNNNNNNNNNNNNNNNNNNNNNNNNNNNNNNNNNUAGGACGCGAUGAGGCACUGCUCUGUUCUCUCUGCUAUCCUACCAGGAAGACUACCUUGAAGGAAAGGAAGAAGAUGGAGGGGGAGGGAAGGAGGAUGGCGGCGGCAGGAGGGAGGCCCUAGGCGAGGGAGGGCGUCGGACGCCCACGCUAAAUAAGGGCCGUCGACGUUGUUGCCACGGCACCGUCACUCCCUCUCUCUCUCUCUCUCUCGUUCUGACGAAAAGGAGAAACGCGGGGGGAGGAGUGACGGCGUCAGGAAGGAGGAGGGGCUCGCUCGCAUGGGCUCCUAGCACCGGGAGGAAGAUAAAUGGGCCAGCAAGUGGAAGGAAGCCCACAGGCGACCACUAUAAGAAAGGCCCCAGUGGCCUUUCCCGAAUAAAAGAAAAACCAAGAAGGAAAAGAAAUAAAACAAAUAAUCUGGUGGGAAUAAACUUAAAAGGAAAAAUACUCCUGGUCAUAGAAAAAUAUGACCUAAAAUAAAAAAMUAAAGAACAAGAUUUUUAAAGUAUGCAAAUAUUUUUACAAAACCAGCAAUUAAAGUUUGCUGUUUUGUGCCAUUGCCACCUGUAUAAAACACUCUCAAAAUCACCAAACUAGCAUGUCUACACACUCACCUUAAUCCCUAAACACAAGACAUUUAGAACCACUUUGGGAAGAUGAAAUUUGAAACAAUGAGAUAAAAGAAAGGAAAGGUUAGAAAUAGACAAGGAACUUGUAAAAUACUUAGCACUCACUCCUACCAACAUACCCAACAUCACAUGCAUCACNNNNNNNNNNNNNNNNNNNNNNNNNNNNNNNNNNNNNNNNNNNNNNNNNNNNNNNNNNNNNNNNNNNNNNNNNNNNNNNNNNNNNNNNNNNNNNNNNNNNAUACUUGAAGCUGUAAAAAUCACAAGAUAUCCGGUUUUGACUUUUUUGACAUGGUAGGUUCUCACAAUGACAUCAACGUGCUUCAGCGCUCCCCGGUCUUCUCGAGGGUUUCGGAUGGCAAUUCUGAGAGGUUAACUAUGAGAUCAAUGGUCACUCGUAAAACAAGGGAUACUACCUAACUGAUGAGAUCUACAUGGUCUACAUUUGUGGAGACAUUCUCCGAUCUGGAGGACACAAGAAGGCGAGGUUUGCCAAAGAACAAGAAAGUGCUAGGAAGGAUGUGGAGCGUGUUUUUGGUGUGCUCCAGUCAUAGUUUAAAAAACCAAACCAAAAAGGAUGUCGGUUCAGGUUUUUACUGGUCAGACCACCGGUUCACUCGUUCGAUUGUCGCUUUUUUAAGCAAUAGAAUAAUAUAUGUUGAGUAAUAUAUGCGCUAAUAUAGUGUGAAACAAUGGUCAAAUAAAAUCAUUUUUAUGUGGUGGACAACAAAGUAGCACAUCCGAGUUGGUUAUUGGACCGUGGACAGGCGGCACGUACUGCUCGCACGACGUGGGAUUGAAUCCCACUUCUCCCAAUUUCCAUUAAAAUAUUUUCUUGGUUUAUUCUGGUUCAGUAUCCCGGUUUUUUUCUACUGGUUUUUCGUUUAGAAAAACCGGACCCCGGGUUCCGUAACUGGUUUUCGUUUCGGUUCCGGACUUGUCAGAAUGGUCGUUAUUAGCUUAGUAAAAAUAACGAUGAGGCCGUCCGGUUCUUGGUUUUUUCCGGUUUUNNNNNNNNNNNNNNNNNNNNNNNNNNNNNNNNNNNNNNNNNNNNNNNNNNNNNNNNNNNNNNNNNNNNNNNNNNNNNNNNNNNNNNNNNNNNNNNNNNNNGUUAAACAUUUCAUUGGCUAGUUAGAACCAGUGUCAUCCACUUACAAUUCACCUUGGUUGAUGAGAUUUCAGAUUUAAACCCUAUAAACCGAAAAGGAGGGAGUAGAAGUUAUUAAAUGGACUAGAGACCAUGUUAUCACUAGUAAUGUAGUACUAGAAGUUAUUAAAUGUCAUGCUAAAAGUAGGUGUACUGUUAGAAAAAAUGACAAAAAAGUUUCAAGAAGACUCUUUUAUAGGGACUUCUUUCUUUAGUUUCAAAUACCGUUUAAUUCCUAAAAAAUCUUCUUGUUUGUUUCUACAUCGGACUAAAAAUGGUUUUUUAGUUCCUACACCAAAAAAUGCCUGAAAACAAACACCCACAAUACCAUCAUGUGUUUAGCGGUUGGCACGGCGCUACCAAGGCAUGGAGUACACCACUAACCUAGUGCCCAAGACAGACCCCCUAGCUAGUGGAGCUCAGGGGAAGCUACUAGUUCGCGAGGAGAAGCGAUCGACCCAGCGNNNNNNNNNNNNNNNNNNNNNNNNNNNNNNNNNNNNNNNNNNNNNNNNNNNNNNNNNNNNNNNNNNNNNNNNNNNNNNNNNNNNNNNNNNNNNNNNNNNNAUUAGCUUAAAAAGAUCGAUGAGACCGCCGGUUCUGGUUUUUUCGGUUUCGGUACCGUCCGGUCUGGUCUAUUUUUUUAACUUUUAACGGGUACGGGUCCCUACCCUACGUUGGUAGUAAUUACCCCGUCCCCCCGUUAACUUUAAAGGUACGGACUAGUAGUAAGUAACGUAACCUUACCUACUAAUUACUAACUAAAAGGUAAAAAGGUUUAAACUUUUUCCUUUUUUCCGUUUUACGGGAAGGGACGUCCUACUUACUUUAAAACGUAAAAAACGUAACCCUAAACCGUUAAAAAGGUUUAAGGUUGGUCGUUAACCUUUUAACGGUUAGGGACGAACUUUUAAAGGUUUUAAGGUAGGUAGGUAGUAGUACUAACUUAACGGUUAACGGGUUAAGGUUCGUCCCCUUCCCGGUUGGGUCGGCCGACCGAACGGUAGGUAGGAAAGUAAAAAGUUAAAAGUUAGGUAGGGGAAAAGGGAAACGUAACGUAAGGUUAGGUUAGUACUUACUUAGUAGGAACCGAACCGUACGUUACGUAAGUAGUCCGACCCCAACCGGAAGGUAAAGUUAAAGUCCGGACCGUNNNNNNNNNNNNNNNNNNNNNNNNNNNNNNNNNNNNNNNNNNNNNNNNNNNNNNNNNNNNNNNNNNNNNNNNNNNNNNNNNNNNNNNNNNNNNNNNNNNNGGGAAGGGAAAUCACCAUUGGUCUCCAUUAAUGGCGGCACGGGAUCGACGGCCUCGUCGCCUCGAAUCAGGCACGGGACUGCAGGAGCCGCGACAUUGUUCCUCAUCUGGACUCUGGAGGCGAGGCGACCGUAGGAGGCGAGGCGACGAGAGUGCUAACAGGCUCGCUAGUCGCUAGGUGCCACGGUGCUGGGCCGGGCCCCUACCUCCGAAGGGCCCAGGGCGGGCGCCCAUUGCCCGGCCUGUGGGUCGGCCCUGUUUUCAAGGACCGCUUGUUCCAAAACCGAGCAGGACCACGAACAAUGGCAAACCUAGAUUGCAAAACCCCAAAUGGUCUUUCAUUGUCUUUUCGGGCUGCCUCUAGCACAAUUGUUGCAUCACGAGACUUGCCACAGUACAUUCUAUGUCAUGCUUUUGGGCAAUUUUUCCAAGUCCAAUGCACACAAUCUAUGCUUCCUAGCAUGCCAAACCAACCUCUUCUUUCAUUAAAUGCCAUCAAUUUUUUUGNGUCUUCCUUGUUCGGUGUCCGAAGAUAUUUCAGGACCAAAGACAUGGACGAUCACUUUGGCAAACAUAUGCAUUGACUCAAUUGUACUAUCUUUUCCGAUGCAAAGGUACUCAUCGGUAUAGUCAGCUGGAACGCCGUAUGAAAUUUNNNNNNNNNNNNNNNNNNNNNNNNNNNNNNNNNNNNNNNNNNNNNNNNNNNNNNNNNNNNNNNNNNNNNNNNNNNNNNNNNNNNNNNNNNNNNNNNNNNNAAUAGACGUAGCAUGUUGAUCGUGUCUAUUUGUUGCUWYKGUUYCUUGCGUCGUCAAGUAUUUAUUCCUAGUGACCAUGAGAUCAUAUAACUCACUGAACACCGGAGGAAUGCUUUGUGUGUAUCAAACGUCGCAACGUAACUGGGUGACUAUAAAGAUGCUCUACAGGUAUCUCCGAAGGUGUUAGUUGAGUUAGUAUGGAUCAAGACUGGGAUUUGUCACUCCGUGUGACGGAGAGGUAUCUCGGGGCCCACUCGGUAAUACAACAUCACACACAAGCCUUGCAAGCAAUGUAACUUAGUGUAAGUUGCGGGAUCUUGUAUUACGGAACGAGUAAAGAGACUUGCCGGUAAAACGAGAUUGAAAUAGGUAUGCGGAUACUGACGAUCAAAUCUCGGGCAAGUAACAUACCGAAGGACAAAGGGAAUGACAUACGGGAUUAUACGAAUCCUUGGCACUGAGGUUCAAACGAUAAGAUCUUCGUAGAAUAUGUAGGAUCCAAUAUGGGCAUCCAGGUCCCGCUAUUGGAUAUUGACCGAGGAGUCUCUCGGGUCAUGUCUACAUAGUUCUCGAACCCGCAGGGUCUGCACACUUAAGGUUCGACGUUGUUUUAUGCGUAUUUGANNNNNNNNNNNNNNNNNNNNNNNNNNNNNNNNNNNNNNNNNNNNNNNNNNNNNNNNNNNNNNNNNNNNNNNNNNNNNNNNNNNNNNNNNNNNNNNNNNNNAGCACAACACUCCAAACACCACACACGAUGCAAGAUGCCUUCCGCUCGUCCUCGCCCCUCCCUCCUGCUUCCUGGCCGCUUUGAUGAGAGCCCUCGUCGCCGGCGACCCUCGCGACCUCCGCCAGGGUUCCCCUCACCGCACUGCCGUGGGGCCUAGCCGGACUGAGCCGCGCGCCCCCAUCGCACCCAGGUCCCGCGCCGGCCCGAGGUCGUCCCUGCCGUAGCACCUUCAGCGCCGCCCCGUGCCUUCCCUGGCGACGCCGGGCUCCUCUCGGCCCUCUCGGCUCCUCCCGAUGCGCCGCGCCCUUGGCCUCCCGCGUGGCCCUACGCUCCAUGGAUCUCCUCCAUGCUACUGCUGCCGAUGUGUGAUGCUGGCUCCCGUUGUUUGCUGUUGCUGUUGGCUGUGCCGUGCUAGCUGCCGCUGCUGUUGCCUGUUGCUGCCGGUUAUUCCUGUUGUCGUGGCUGUUUUUGCCUUUGCUUGUGCUGGUUCCUGCUACCGUUGUUGCUGCAUUUGCUGUUGCAUGUUGUUGUAUGCCGCUGCUGCCUGCGCAGGUGUGUUGGUUGCUGCUGCUGCUAGUGUAGCCUGAAGCAGAUGUAGAUGUUGUGGUUGAUGUGGUUUGCCGCUAUAGUUGUUGCUAGUUGCUGCUUAGCUGCUGCGUGCGGAUGCUUGAUGCCGUCGUCGCUGUGGUCCGCUGGUUGCUACAUGUCGUUGCUUGCUGGUGUUGCUUGCUUGUGCCGCCGCUUGCGUUCCUAUAAUAUGGCCACCGUUGCCCACGCAUUGUUGUUGUUGCUGUUCAUGCUGCUAGGCUGCUUCGUGUUGUAGCUUGCUGCUGCCGUUAGUUGCUAGCUGCUACUAGUGCUUNNNNNNNNNNNNNNNNNNNNNNNNNNNNNNNNNNNNNNNNNNNNNNNNNNNNNNNNNNNNNNNNNNNNNNNNNNNNNNNNNNNNNNNNNNNNNNNNNNNNUUCAGGAUGACACUCGCGUGAGCCAUGAUCUACAACACAAAUAUAUUCAAAGUGGACUUAGACUAUGUUCAAGAUAAUUAGAGUUCAACUUAAUCAAAUUAUAUGCUAAACUCCCACUCAAAAAAUACAUCUCUCUAGUCAUUUGAGUGGUUCAUGAUUCACUUACACUAUCCCAAGUCCGAUCAUCACGUGAGUUGAGCUUAGUUUCAGUGGUAAGCAUCCCUAUGCUAAUCAUAUCAACUAUAUGAUUCAUGAUCGACCUUUCGGUCUCAUGUGUUCCGAGGCCAUGUCUGCACAUGCUAGGCUCGUCAAGCUUAACCCGAGUGUUCUGCGUGCGCAACUGUUUUGCACCCGUUGUAUGUGAACGUUGAGUCUAUCACACCCGAUCAUCACGUGGUGUCUCGAAACGAAGAACUGUCGCAACGGUGCACAGUCGGGGAGAGCACGAUUUCAUCUUGAAAUUUUAGUGAGAGAUCACCUCAUAAUGCUACCGUCGUUCUAAGCAAGAUAAGGUGCAAAAAACGAUUAACAUCACAUGCAAUUCAUAAGUGACAUGAUAUGGCCAUCAUCACGUGCUUCUUGAUCUCCAUCACCAAAGCACCGGCACGAUCUUCUUGUCACCGGCGUCACACCAUGAUCUCCAUCAUCAUGAUCUCCAUCAACGUGUCGCCAUCGGGGUUGUCGUGCUACUCAUGCUAUUACUACUAAAACUACAUCCUAGCAAAAUAGUAAACGCAUNNNNNNNNNNNNNNNNNNNNNNNNNNNNNNNNNNNNNNNNNNNNNNNNNNNNNNNNNNNNNNNNNNNNNNNNNNNNNNNNNNNNNNNNNNNNNNNNNNNNUAUGGUUGGUUACCGAAUGUUGUUCGGAGUCCCGGAUGAGAUCACGGAUGUCACGAGGGUUUACGGAAUGGUCCGGAAACGAAGAUUGAUAUAUAGGAUGACCUCAUUUGAUUACCGGAAGGUUUUCGGAGUUACCGGGAAUGUACCGGGAAUGACGAAUGGGUUCCGGGAGUUCACCGGGGGGGCAACCCACCCCGGGGAAGCCUAUAGGCAUUGGGGGAGCCACACCAGCCCUUAGUGGGCUGGUGGGACAGCCCACAAGUGCCCAAUGCGCCAAGAGAAGAAAAAUCAAGAGGAAAGGAAAAAAAAGGAAGGAGGUGGGAAGGGAGGGGGACUCCUCCCACCAAACCAAGUCCAACUCGGUUUGGGGGGGGAGUCCUCCCCCCCUUGGCUCGGCCGACUCCUUGGGGGGUCCUUGGACCCCAAGGCAAGGCCCCCUCCCUCCUCCUAUAUAUAUGGAGCAAUUAGGGCUGAUUUGAGACGACUUUCUCACGGCUGCCCGACCACAUACCUCCACGGUUUUUCCUCUAGAUCGCGUUUCUGCGGAGCUCGGGCGGAGCCCUGCUGAGCAAGGUCAUCACCAACCUCCGGAGCGUCGUCACGCUGCCGGAGAACUCUUCUACCUCUCCAUCUCUCUUGCUGGAUCAAGAAGGCCGAGAUCAUCGUCGAGCUGUACGUGUGCUGAACGCGGAGGUGCCGUCCGUUCGGUACUAGAUCGUGGGACUGAUCGCGGGAUUGUUCGCGGGGCGGAUCGAGGGACGUGAGGACGUUCCACUACAUCAACCNNNNNNNNNNNNNNNNNNNNNNNNNNNNNNNNNNNNNNNNNNNNNNNNNNNNNNNNNNNNNNNNNNNNNNNNNNNNNNNNNNNNNNNNNNNNNNNNNNNNNNNNNNNNNNNNNNNNNNNNNNNNNNNNNNNNNNNNNNNNNNNNNNNNNNNNNNNNNNNNNNNNNNNNNNNNNNNNNNNNNNNNNNNNNNNNNNNNNNNNNNNNNNNNNNNNUUCUUGUGUCGGUUCUUUUAUGAAGAAGGAUAUUGAUCACAAGUGGAAUUUAUAGGAGAGAAUCAAAAGCAACUCUGAAGAUUGGGAGCUGGAGGAAGGUAAGGAGUCAGGUAUGAAUUUCCAGUUUGAUUGCGUUAAAUCUUUUGUUGAGACAAACACUUCUAGAGAUUUUAGCGCUAAGUAUGGACUUGACUCUGAGAUAGUAGCUUCUCUAUGUGAAUCUUUUGCUGCUCAUGUUGAUCUUCCCAAAGAGAAUUGGUUUAAAUAUCAUCCUCCUGUAGAAAGCAACAUAGCCAAAACCAAUCUAGUUGACGAGAAAGUCAUUGCUUUUAGUGAUCCUAUUGUUCCUUGUGCUUACACUGAGAAACCACCAUACCCUGCUAGGAUAAAGAAUUAUUCUAAAGCUCCAACUGUGAUACAUAGGGGUUACAUUAGACCACUUGCACCCCUGAAGAGAUUAGAGUUGAACCUAGUGUUGCUAUUAUCAAAGAUCUCUUAGCCAAAGACAUAGAUGGGCAUGUUAUCAAAUUCUGUGAGGACCCCGCUAGAAUUGCUAAACCUCACACGAAAGACAAACACAUACCUGUAGUUGGCCUGCCCGUUGUUUCUAUUAAGAUAGGAGAUCACUGUUACCAUGGUUUAUGAGAUAUGGGAGCUAGUGUUAGUGCAAUACCCCGUUCUCUAUAUGAUGAAAUCAAAGAUGAGAUUGCACCUGCUGAGUUAGAACCCAUUGAUGUCACUAUCACGUUAGCUAAUAGAGACACUAUCUUCCCUUUGGGAAUUGUGAGAGACGUAGAAGUCCUGUGUGGUAAGACGAAGUAUCCUACUGAUUUCCUCGUCCUUGGUACUCCACAAGAUAGCUUUUGUCCCAUCAUAUUUGGUAGACCCUUCCUCAACAUUGUCAAUGCUCACAUUGAUUGCAUUGAGCAGACCGUCACUGUUAGUUUCGAGGGUGUGUCUCAUGAAUUUAACUUCUCCAAGUUUGGAAGACAACCCCAUGAAAGAGAGUCGUCUGGUAGGGAUUAAAUCAUUGCUCUUGCCUCUAUUGUCGUACCUCCUACGGAUCCUUUAGAGCAAUAUCUUCUUGAGCAUGAAAAUGAUAUGCGUAUGGAGGAGAGAGAUGAGAUAGAUAAAAUUGUCUUAGAACAAUUUCCUAUUCUCAAGAAUCGUCUGCCUGUUGAACUGCUUGGGGAUCCCCCCCCCCACCAAAGGGUGAUCCUGUGUUCGAGCUUAAACAGUUGCCUGAUACUCUUAAGUAUGCCUAUCUUGAUGAGAAGGAGAUAUAUCCUGUCAUUAUUAGUGCUCUCCUCUCAAAUCACGAAGAGAAGAAGUUAUUAAAAACUCUGAAGAAGCACCGCGCUGCUAUUGGAUAUACUCUUGAUGAUCUUAAGGGUAUUAGUCCUACUCUAUGUCAGCACAAGAUUAAAACCGAUCCUGACUUUAAACCAGUUGUUGAUCAUCAAAGGAGAUUAAAUCCUAAGAUGAAAGAAGUAGUGAGAAAAGAAAUACUAAAGCUCCUGGAAGCAGGUAUUAUCUAUCCUGUUGCUCAUAGUGAUUGGGUGAGUCCGGUGCAUUGCGUCCCUAAGAAGGGAGGCAUUACCGUUGUCCCUAAUGAUAAGGNNNNNNNNNNNNNNNNNNNNNNNNNNNNNNNNNNNNNNNNNNNNNNNNNNNNNNNNNNNNNNNNNNNNNNNNNNNNNNNNNNNNNNNNNNNNNNNNNNNNGGGGGCCGUAGUGUUUACUAGUGGCUUCUCUCAUGAAAGCAGGUAGACAGUGGGUGAACAAAUUACUGUCGAGCAAUAGAUAGAAUCGCGCAAAGUCGUGACGAUAUCUAUGCAAUGAUUAUAUCUAUAGGCAUCACGUCCAAAACAAGUAGACCGAUACUUUCUGCAUCUACUACUAUUACUCCACACGUCAACCUCUAUCCGGCAUGCAUCUAGUGUAUUAAGUCCAUAAGAACAGAGUAACGCCUUAAGCAAGAUGACAUGAUCUAGAGGGAUAAUCUCAAACCAAUGAUAAAAACCCCAUCUUUUUACCCUUGAUGGCAACUACUUGAUGUGUGCCUUGCUGCCCCUACNNNNNNNNNNAGGGGGCGUAGUGUUUACUAGUGGCUUCUCUCAUGAAAGCAGGUAGACGGUGGGUGAACAAAUUACUGUCGAGCAAUUAAUAGAACCAUAGAAAGUCGUGACGAUAUCUAUGCAAUGAUUAUAUAUAUAGGCAUCACGUCCAAAACAAGUAGACCGAUACUUUCUGCAUCUACUACUAUUACUCCACACGUCGACCGCUAUCCAGCAUGCAUCUAGUGUAUUAAGUCCAUAAGAACAGAGUAAUGCCUUAAGCAAGAUGACAUGAUGUAGAGGGAUAAUCUCAAACCAAUGAUAAAAACCCCAUAUUUUUACCCUUGAUGGCAACUACUUGAUGUGUGCCUUGCUGCCCCUACUAUCAUUGGGAAAGGUCACCACAUGGUAGAACCCAAAACCAAGCACUUCUCCCAUUGCAAGAAUCAUAGAUCUAGUUGGCCAAACAAAACACAAGACUCAGAGAGACUUACAAGGAUAUCAAAUCAUGCAUAUAAGAAAUGAGAAAAGACUCAAAUAUAUAUCGUAGAUAAUCUAAUCACAAAUCCACAAUUCAUCGGAUCUCGACAAACACACCGCCAAAGAACAUUACAUCGGAUAGAUCUCCAUGAAGAUCAUGAAGAACUUUGUAUUGAAGAUCCAAGAGAGAGAAGAAGCCAUCUAGCUACNNNNNNNNNNUGAAGUGAACUACUCACGAGUCAUUGGAGGGGUGAUGAUGAUGAUGAAGAAGCCCUCCAACUCCAAAGUCCCCUCCGGUAGGGCGCCGGGAAAGGUCUCCAGAUGAGAUCUCGCGGAAACGUAAGCUUGCGGUGGCGAAAAAGUAUUUUCGAGGCUCCCCUGAUUUUUUACGGAAUAUUUGGGAAUAUAUAGGCCAAGGAUCUAGGUCAGGGGGCGGCCAGGGAGGCCACAAGCCUGCCCAACGCCGCCUCCCCCUGGUGGCGGAGUGGGGGCUUGUGGGCUCCCUGGAGCCCACCUAGCUUGGCCCAAAGGCCCCCUGAUCUUCUUUCGUUCGGGGAAAAAUCAUUUCGGGGUUUUUCUUCCGUUUGGACUCCGUUCCAAAAUCAGAUCUGAAAAGAGUCAAAAACACGGAAAAAAACAGGAACUGGCACUUGGCACUGAUUAAUAAGUUAGUCCCAAAAAAUAUAUAAAAGGUACAUAAAACAACCAAAGAAGACAAGAUAACAGCGUGAAACCAUAAAAAAUUAUAGAUACGUUUGAGACGUAUCAAGUAUCCCCAUGCUUAACUCCUGCUCGUCCUCGAGUAGAGAAGUGAUAAAGAAUGAUUUUUUGAUGCUUUCAUGUUGCCUAGCAUAGUUGUCCUUUGUAAUUCCUCUUAUGUGACGUGAAUGUUCAGAUCCAUUAGAUUCAAAACAAUAGUUUGCUAUUGACGUGGAAACAAUAAUAAUUCAAGCAAACUAGCAAGGUAAUCAUGAACUUUCAAAAUAACAAGGCCAAAAGAAAGUUAUCCCUACAAAAGCAUAUAGUGUGGCUAUGCUCUAUCAUCAUUGCACAACGAAUUUAAAUCAUNNNNNNNNNNNNNNNNNNNNNNNNNNNNNNNNNNNNNNNNNNNNNNNNNNNNNNNNNNNNNNNNNNNNNNNNNNNNNNNNNNNNNNNNNNNNNNNNNNNNCUGCUUCCCUCUGCGAAGGGCCUAUCUUGUACCUUUACUUUUUUCCCUUGAAAGAGUCAUGGUGAUCUUCACCAAUUCCUUGUUUCGCCUUUAUCUUGGCUAACGUCAUAUGCUAGGGAAAGAUCUAUAUUCAUAUGUCAACUUGGAAGUAAGUAUUCAUGAAUUAUUAUUGUUGACAUUACCCUUGAGGUAAGCAGUUGUGUGACACCCCGAGACCGACGUUCCAGAAGAUUCCCCCUUUUAUUUCCGUUUCCGUCGUGUGAUUAGUUUUAUUUGUUGCAUCGUCAUUUAGUUGCAUCGUCGCAUCAUGCAUGGCAUCUUGCAUCGUGUGUGGUGUUUGGAGUGUUGUGCUUCGAGUGAUCACAGAGUCUAGUGCGAUAGGAACUCCCCCUCUCUCCCCCUCUUAUUUCGAUUUUUGUGGUUUUUGCUAAAGAUCAGUUUUAACCCCGUCAAAAGAUUCGUCUUCUUUUAAAAGAUCCUUUUAUUAAAUGUGGGGGCAACCUUGGGUUUUUCUUUUGUUUCUCCUUUUUUUUAAACAGUCUCAUUUCCUUUUCUUCUUUAAAGAGCUUUUAUUUUACUCUUUAGAUAAAAGAGGGUUUAUUUUAUUCUCUUGUAAAAAGGUUUUAUUUUAAUUCGUCAAAAGGUUUUAAUGUAUUCUUUAAAAGAGGUUUUUAUUUUUUUAUUUUUUUUAUUCGUUUAAAAAAAUGCCCAAACUAUUUCUAUAGUUGCGGUAUAUUUUAUUUUCAAGAAGCCAAAAGCAUUUAUUUAUUUUAUUUUUGUUUAAACCUUUUUCAUUUUGUGGAGUUUUCUGUUUUUAAAAGGGGGAGAAAACCAAAUAGGAAGAGGGAGCCUGCCCAGGCCAGUCGGCCCAGGCCCAGUAGCCUCCCGUGCCCUAGCGCACGCAGCCCCUCCAUCCCUCGUCUCCUCCCCAUCUCUUUCCCCCGUUCCUUCCUCCCCCCGAUCCCGUGCUUCUCCCCAUGCCCGAUCCCUCCAGGUCCCUUCGAUCCCGCUCGUCGCCCGGUGCCCUGUAGCCGCGUGCACCCCCCCNNNNNNNNNNNNNNNNNNNNNNNNNNNNNNNNNNNNNNNNNNNNNNNNNNNNNNNNNNNNNNNNNNNNNNNNNNNNNNNNNNNNNNNNNNNNNNNNNNNNUAAAGCUGGUCUGGCAAGGCCCAACUUUGGUACUACAUUUUCCUAAACACCUAAUAAAAUUGCAUAGGGACUUUCCGGACCCCGAGGAUAAUUUAAUCAACCCCCGGGCCAGUGCUCCUCAUGAGUGUUGGUCCCACCUGAGCGAUGUCCGGCGCCCCUCUGGUCACCCGGAGGUUUAGCGAUCCCGAUGUCUAGCUCAUCCGCCGUGUCCUGAGAACGAGGUACGCGACUCCUAUCGGGAUCGUCGACACGUCGAGCGGCCUUGCUGGAUUAGUUUUACCUUUGACGAGAUAUCUUGUGCAUCGAGAUUCCGGUGAUGCUUUGGGUAAUCUCAGAGUUGAGGUUUUCCACUAGGGAAUCCGAUGAGAUCGCGAGCUUCGUGAUUGAGGAUUUCUAUGCGGCUUGUGGUAAUUUGUGAUGGACUAGUUGGAGCACCCCUGCAGGGUUAAAUCUUUCGGAAAGCCGUGCCCGCGGUUAUGUGGCAACGUGGAAACUUUGUUUAACACUGGUUCUAGAUAACUUGAAGUUAACUUAAUUAAAAUAUGCCAACUGUGUGCAUAACCGUGACUGUCUCUUUCGUGAGUUCUUUCUCCGAUCGAGGACACGGUGGGGUUAUGUCUGUAGUAGGUAGGUGUUCAGGAUCAUUCAUUUGAUCAUCAGUAGUUCACGUCCUCUAUGCGUAGAUCUUCCCCCUCUUAUUUCUUGGACUCGUAAGUUUAGCCACCAAACAUAUGCUUAGCCGCUGCUGCAACCUCACCACUUAACCAUGCCUCACCCAUUAAGCUUUGCUAGUCUUGAUACCUUUGGAAAUGAGAUUGUUGAGUCCCCUGUGGCUCACAAUUACUACAACACCAGUUGCAGGUACAGGUAAAGGUUACUCGACGCGAGCGCGUUGGUUGUUCAUUUGGAGUUGCUUCUUCUUCUUCUUCUUCUUCAUCGAUCUAGGAUGGGUUCCAGGCCGGCAGCCUGGGAUAGCAAGGAUGGACGUCGUUCUUCUUUUGUCAUUUGUUUUCGUCCGUAGUCGGACCCUGCUCUUACUCUUGAUGAUUAUGUAAUGUACUGAUGUGACUCUGAUGUAGCUUGUGGCGAGUGUAAGCCAAUUCUAUAUAUACCUCUUAUUUUCAGUACAUGUACUUGUAAUGAUAUCCAUUCUUGCGACACGACGAGAUGCGCUUCUAUCUCUGACGAGGCCUUCGUGCCAAAUUGAGUAUAGGGUCGCAUCUUGGGCGUGACAAGUUGGGAGGCAAAACUAUAAGCCCCUAUAUUUCUCUGUGUUCAGCUGAAACUUUGAUCUCAUGAGUACCACGUGAGUUGUAGCAAUUGUAGAGAACGAAAAGAUGAUUGACUAUGUGGAUUUGCUUUACAAGCUCUUAUUUGACUCUUUCUGAUGUUGUGAUAAAUUGCAAUUNNNNNNNNNNAAGGCUAUCGGUUGUUAAUUCUCGGUAAGGUUCUUGAUCCAUACUUUACUUUGUGAAGGAUUUGUCACUUUAGCAUAAGAGCUUAUAUGUUGGUAUUGUUGUUCUAAUCAUGAUCAUGAUGCCUGCAUGUUCGUAUCUUGUUUUGUCGACACCUCUCUCUAAACAUGUGGUCAUGUUUAUUGAUCUAGGCUUUCGCUUGAGGACAAGCGAGGUCUAAGCUUGGGGGAGUUGAUACGUCCAUUUUGCAUCAUGCUUUCAUGUUGAUAUUUAUCACUUUUUGGGCUAUUAUUUCACUUCACGAUACAAUACUUAUGUCUUUUCUCUCUUAUUUUGCAAGGUUUACAUGAAGAGGGAGAAUGCCGUCAGGUGGAAUUCUGGCCUAAAAAAGGAGCAAGUUUGAGAUGCCUAUUCUGCGCAACUCCAAAAGCCAUGAAAAUCACCAUGGAUUUUUUUUGGGAUUUAUAAAAAAUAUUGGGCCGAAGAAGUGCCAGAGGGGCGCCACUAGGUGGCCACAAGCCUGCUAGGCGUGGCCACCCCCCUGGUCACGCCUAGGGGGCUUGUGGGCUCCCUGCUAGCCUAUUGGCCCCCCUCUUUUGCUAUAAGAAGGGUUUCGGUCUGGAAAAAAUCGAGAAGAGGCUUUUCGGAGGAUUCGCCGCUGCCACGAGGCGGAACUUGAGCAGAACCAAUCUAGAGCUCCGGCAGGACGAUCCUGCCGGGGAAACUCCCCUCCCGAAGGGGGAAAUCGUCACCGUCGUCAUCACCAACACUCCUCUCAUCAAAGGGGACUCAUCACCAUCAACAUCUUCAUCAGCACCAUCUAAUCUCCAAACCCUAGUUCAUCACUUAUAACCAAUCUCCGUCUCACGACUCCGAUUGGUACUUGUAAGGUUGCUAGUAGUGUUAAUUACUCUUUGUAGUUGAUGCUAGUUGGAUUACUUGGUGGGAGAGUUUAUGUUCAGAUCCUUGAUGCUACUCAUUACCUCUCUAGUCAUGAAUAUGAUUAUGCUUUGUGAGUAGUUACUUUUGUUCCUGAGGACAUGAGAUAAGUCAUGCUUUGUGAGUAGUUACUUUCGUUCGAUAUUUUGAUGUGUUGUAUGUUGUUUUUCCUCUAGUGGUGUUAUGUGAACGUCGACUACAUAACACUUCACGAUUAUUUGGGCCUAGAGGAAGGCAUUGGGAAGUGGUAAGCAGAUGAUGGGUUGCUAGAGUGACAGAAGCUUAAACCCUAGUUUAUGCGUUGCUUCGUAAGGGGCUGAUUUGGAUCCACUAGUUUACUGCUAUGGUUAGACUUUCUCUUAAUUCUUCUUUCGUAGUUGCAUAUGCUUGCGAGAGGGGUUAAUCAUAAGUGAGAUUCUUGUCCAAGUAAGGGCAGUACCCAAGCGUCGGUCCACCCACAUAUCAAAUUAUCAAAGUAACAAACGUGAAUCAUAUGAACAUGAUGAAAACUAGCAUGACAGAAAUUCCCGUGUGUCCUCGGGAGCGUUUUUCCUCCUAUAAGACUUUGUCCAAGCUUGUCCCUUGCUACAAAAGGGAUUGGAACACUUUUUUGCACCGUUGUUACUUUUGUUACUUGUUGCUCGCUACAAAUCAUCUCACCACACAACUACUUGUUACCGAUAAUUUCAGUGCUUGCAGAUAUUACCUUGCUGAAAACCACUUGUCAGGUCCUUCUGCUCCUCGUUGGGUUCGACACUCUUACUUAUCGAAAGGACUAUGAUAGAUCCCCUAUACUUGUGGGUCAUCACCGUCCUCCUCGCCGGCACCGGACCUCCUCGCAUGCCCUCCUCCCCGUCGCCGAGCCUGCUCCUCGUUGUCGCCAACCUCCAAGCUCCAUCCCCGGGCCCGUGAGCUCCUCCUGUCGAUCGCCACCGUCGCGCCCACACCAUCGUCCACCUUUUGCCCCCAUCGUCGUUGCGGGACCCGUGCCAUCGUCGUCGUGCUCUCCCCCGAGCCUCCUCAUCGUCGCCGCACCCCCUCUCCGAUUUAGUUUUCAUGAGAUAUUGUACAUUUUCAAUAUUUGUAUUGCCAAAAGUUGUUUACGAUUCUUGUAGGCUUCUCUCCUCAUCCAUGAAUAUUUGUCUUAAAUUUUGUUUAGGAUUCUUAAACUUUUUCAAUAUUUGUCUUGCUCAUUGAGAUGAACAUUUUGUUUAGGAUUCUUAAUUUUUUUUAUAGUUGAUACAAAACAAUUUUAUUUGGUGCGACCAUUUUUAGAAUUAAAGUAAAUAAUUUAUUUGACAUGUAUACACACUUUAUAAUACAAACAUGACAUUCUUAAAUAUUGCACUGUUUCUAGCUUGCGGGGAAAACAAGUAUAUGGUUCACAAACAUGACACACUCGAUAUUUUGAUGUAUAUAAGCAGGAUUUUUAGUUGUUUAGUUAAUUAAGUUUUUUAUGUUUAAUUAAUUUGCAGAUACUAUGGAUCCAAUAUAUGACAGAGACGAAUAUCAGAAACACAUGAUGCAUGGUGUCAUCCGCAGGGAUGAUUUUAUUGUUGGCGAUGUCACCGAUCAGUUUCUGAACGAGUCCGGCGAGGGAGAUGAGUCCCUCAACACAGGAGGUAGAAGCUCCGAUGAGGUAGAUGCCCACGGCUCGGGCGAGGUGCAUAUAUAUAUUAAUAAAUUAAUCCUCUGUUGUCUAUAUACAUAUAUUAACGUUCUUUCUUCUUUUAGCCCUCCGGAUCGAGAAAAACUUCAGUACGGACGAAAUGAGGCCAACCAAGAAGAUGGAUGACGGUGAGAGGUACAUGAUCGAAAGAGUCUCAAAAUGCGGGCAACCGAUUACUCCCGCGGAUGUAAAGAAGAAAAUUGUGAUGGCAUGCGGAGUUGUUGUUAGGGACCACAUCUCUAUCACCACUCUAUAAUGGCUAAAGCCAAGGGCGGAAUGAGUCUCGUAUCUCGGCACAUUAGCCAAAGAAUACCUUUGGAGAAAGCUCAUCCUUCAUUUCACCCUACCGGCGCCAAAGGUGGAUCCAGAUGAGUAGGAGCCAAAUGAGGAGGAAAUGAAGAGGCGAAAAGGGGCCCUAGAGAAAAAAAGUCAAGGAGUAUGCUCUUAAGAAGAUGGGCGAUCUAUUCAGGGGCUGGAAGAAAAUAUGCACCAGGAUUUUAUCUUGCAAGAUAAGACUCCAGAUUUCGAUAACAGCUAUGAGAAGAUAAAAGACUACUGGACCGAAUCUGUGGUGUGCAAGAAAUCGGAGGACGCCUUGAAAAAGUCUGCAACAAAUAAGAGGAAUGCAUGUAUGAAGAAGUACCACCAUAUUAUGGGGCCUGCUGGCUACGCCGGUAACAUGGUUAUGUGGGACGCACUUGAGGCACCAUUUCUGGCUAACAAUAUCACUCCAGAGCCCUUAACAUGGAUCGAACGGUCAAGAAACUGGUUUUACGGGCAUGUGGGAAUGUUGAACGUGUUGGAAAUAUGCCCUAGAGGCAAUAAUAAAUUAGUUAUUAUUAUAUUUCUUUGUUCAUGAUAAUCGUUUAUUAUCCAUGCUAUAAUUGUAUUGAUUGGAAACACAGUGCAUGUGUGGAUACAUAGACAAAACACUGUCCCUAGUAAGCCUCUAGUUGACUAGCUCGUUGAUCAAAGAUGGCCAAGGUUUCCUGGCCAUAGGCAAGUGUUGUUACUUGAUAACGGGAUCACAUCAUUAGGAGAAUCAUGUGAUGGACUAGACCCAAACUAAUAGACGUAGCAUGUUGAUCGUGUCAUUUUGUUGCUACUGUUUUCUGCGUGUCAAGUAUUUGUUCCUAUGACCAUGAGAUCAUAUAACUCACUGACACCGGAGGAAUGCUUUUUGUGUAUCAAACAUCACAACGUAACUGGGUGACUAUAAAGAUGCUCUACAGGUAUCUCUGAAGGUGUUGGUUGAGUUAGUAUGGAUCGAGACUGGGAUUUGUCACUCCGUGUGACGGAGAGGUAUCUCGGGGCCCACUCGGUAAUACAACAUCACACACAAGCNNNNNNNNNNUGUGUGACGGAGAGGUAUCUCGGGGCCCACUCGGUAAUGCAACAUCACACACAAGCCUUGCAAGCAAUGUAACUUAGUCUAAGUUGCGGGAUCUUGUAUUACAGAAUGAGUAAAGAGACUUCCCGGUAAACGAGAUUGAAAUAGGUAUACGGAUACUGACGAUCGAAUCUCGGGCAAGUAACAUACCGAAGGACAAAGGGAAUGACAUACGGGAUUAUACGAAUCCUUGGCACUGAGGUUCAAACGAUAAGAUCUUCGUAGAAUAUGUAGGAUCCAAUAUGGGCAUCCAGGUCCCGCUAUUGGAUAUUNNNNNNNNNNGCAACGUAACUGGGUGACUAUAAAGAUGCUCUACAGGUAUCUCCGAAGGUGUUCAAUGAUUUAGUAUGGAUCGAGACUGGGAUUUGUCACUCCGUGUGAUGGAGAGGUAUCUCGGGGCCCACUCGGUAAUACAACAUCACACACAAGCCUUGCAAGCAAUGUGACUUAGUGUAAGUUGCGGGAUCUUGUAUUACGGAAUGAGUAAAGAGACUUGCCGGUAAACGAGAUUGAAAUAGGUAUGCGGAUACCGACGAUCGAAUCUCNNNNNNNNNNNNNNNNNNNNNNNNNNNNNNNNNNNNNNNNNNNNNNNNNNNNNNNNNNNNNNNNNNNNNNNNNNNNNNNNNNNNNNNNNNNNNNNNNNNNGCAUUCGCCCGUCGGCCCCGAGGUACGCGCGCACGAGGCUGCUUGUCCCUCCCCCCAGCGAUUUCUCCCGCUUAAAUCCGACGCAGGGGCCGGCCCUCGCGGCCUCCGUGGGCGCGCGCGCGCGCCGUCUAGAUCCGCGUCCGCUGGCCUCCUCGCCGGCGGGCGCGGAGCCGCGCCGUCGAUCGGGCUCCCCUCUCGCCCCGCUUUCCCGCGCGGUUUCGCCGCGCUCGAGGUUUAUGGGGUGGGUGGGAGAGGGUUUUGCGGUUUCGUGCGCGCGGGUUCGCUCGUCCCCCUGUUCUGGCCAUGGUUUUUUCUCGCGUUCUACCUAGGUCCUCCGAUCCGCUCCGCUCCGGGUCCUCCGUCCAUGGCGCGCUCGGUCUCGGAGGCUGCCGCCCUGGCGGCCGCGCCUCUGCUCUUGUGGCUGGAAUGCUUCGCUGGUUUUGGUCCUAGUGGUGCGUUCGCGUCGGCCGCGGUUGGCCACCGUUUACAACCUGCUGUUCUGCGUACGAUAAGGGGGUGUGCUAUCCUGUUUCACGUUUCUCUACUUAGAGGUCGAAUUCGUUGAUGAAUCAUGGUUAUGUUGUGCAUCCGUAAUAAUUGUUUAUUCUGUACUGAUUGGGUUGAGGAUAUAGUGGAUGUUCCCGUGCUUUUGUUAACAACUUGAGAUGUGGUGGUCGGUGUAAGACAGUCCAUCAGCGGCUUGUAAUGUUGUGCUGUGCCCCUGUGCUUUGAUAGUUUUCGUAGUAAGUGAUUGUUUGAUCUGCAUUUGGAGUCUCUGAGCAUUCUGAGCAAGGACAAGCAGUAUUGGUCUCUGUGCUGCACAUGAGAGAAGUAUUUUACAGGGCUUACUGGCCAAACAUGCGUAGGUGGCUUGUGCCACAGUCACAAUAGAAUUAUGCACUGUCCAUAGCCCAUCUUAUUUUCAGACAGUAGGCAGCCUCAGGCAAUUCUCCAAAGCUAUUGUUCCUAGCAGUAUGUGAGUAAAUUACCAAUGUUAGUCCCUUGCUGUCAUUGCGUUUUCCUAUGGAUAAGAUGAUGUGUUCCUCCUAUUUUGUUGGUUUACAUUUUAACGACAUGGUAGUUUGUUUGUGUGUCGUUCUGAAGUAAGAAAGGUGCAGUGCAUGUUGGUUUUAUUUUGCUCUGCUUUCAUCUCUGGUUCAUGUUCUGGUAUCUCAGUUUGUCAUUGGUAACCUUCACCAAACAUAUACCCGUUUCCACCUGUAAGGUGCACGAGCUACUGGCAGAAUGCUGGCCUUUUCAGUUAGAAUGCAAUGUAUUUUAUUUAUGUGGAGUAUAGAUUUUCUGAAUUUCGAAAUGAAUUCAACUCACUCUUGGAUAAAAUCUGACUUGCAUUUACCUUUUUUGUGUUAGCCGAGGUUUUGGUAUUUUAGAACUCUUGAACUAGAAAGAUGGUACUGUCCCCAAUAAAAGCCGCUCGAAGUAAGGUCACAGAACUGACAGAUGAUACCAAGUAUGAUUCCUUGAAUCUGGAGCAGAAGAAAAAAAUGUGGCCUAUUGAACGGCACAGAUCUGCUGAAGUGAGUCAAGCAUUCUUAUCUAAGAUAGAGCAUGAUGGUUUUCAACUUUGUCAUCAGCCCCAAAUCUUGGAGAUCGUUAAAGGUGGUUGUACACCAAGAUCUUCAUCUGAUCCUCCUGGAGAAUCCACUGCAGACAGCAAUGGAAUGCACAGGCACACAAUCACAGAUGCUGCUUGGGAAGCCCUAAAGCAAUCAAUAGUUUACUUCAAAGAUCAGCCAAUUGGGACUCUUGCUGCAAUAGACAAGUCUCAGGCAGAACUCAACUAUGACCAGGUUACCUUUUCCUUCCCAGUUGAACCAUCGUUUCUUUCUUCCUUGGUAGUUAUGAACACCCCUUACUCUAUUCUAGUAUUUGUUAGAGCAAAAUUCUCGAAUAGCGAACAUUGAUGCUUUUAGUUAUUCUGUCUCUUGUGUAAAGCACCUACUGUGUGUCUCAUGAAGAAACUUAUAAAUCUCCUUGUACCCUACAUACAUUAUUAUCAACAGCGAUGAAAUUCUUGCCAUAUCCUGGAACAGGUUUUCAUGAGGGAUUUCGUUCCUAGUGCCUUGGCUUUCUUGAUGAAAGGGGAACCAAUGAUAGUGAAGAAUUUCCUGGUAGAGACUGCUCGCCUUCAAUCAAGAGAGAAGAUGGUUGAUCUUUUUAAGCUUGGACAGGGUGUGAUGCCAGCAAGCUUCAAGGUGCACCAUUCCCACCCUACGAAGAAGACUGAAACUCUGCUUGCUGAUUUUGGUGAAAUUGCUAUCGGGCGAGUUGCUCCUGUGGAUUCUGGCCUAUGGUGGAUUUUUCUUCUUCGUGCUUACACCAAAUAUACAAGAGACAGUUCUCUGGCUGAAAGUCCUCAUUGCCAAAGGGCCAUGCGCCUUAUUCUCAAGCUGUGGCUCUCUGAAGGGUUUGAUACAUCUCCAGCAUUACUUUGCGCUGACGGCUGCUCCAUGAUAGACCGUAGAAUGGUAAGCCACUCAUAGACACCACUAAAGAAAUGUGUUCUGUUAUUAUGGUUCACAUUUUAUCUUGUGCCUGUUUGCUUAUCAUCAAAAUUGAAAUUGUCCCAUUAUCCCAUUAGUUCUAUUACAAAGUAACUGUCCAGGCACAUUCUUACAAAUGCACUAUUGAGUCUUGAUCAAAAUCGAAAUUGCAUUAAGCUCAUUAGGAUCAUGUGAGUGCUUAUAAGGAUAUUCUAUGUAGGGAAAAACCACUGAUGCAUGAUAUACUACGAAUGAGAUAAGGAAUCUGAAAUGUGAUCAGUCUGAACAUUAGGAAUCAUACAUUACACAAUAAUGCAGAAGUUUUGAAAGUAUGAGCAUUUUGUAGUUAUGAACAGCAUACUUUCAGAUAAGCGAAUGCCAUCAAUCAAAGUGUUGAAGGGAUAAGGCGAUUCGUUUUAGUCACGUAUCACGGCUCUUAUUGAGAUUGGGACUGGAAACAAUGUUCACAUUAGAUUGCAUAAUAAUGUUGUACACGGUCAAGUAAAUAGCACAGGCCAUCUUAUGAACUUUGGAUGGGGAACUAUCUGAAUGUAUAUCUUAAGCAUUUGUUCAUGGCCAUAUUUUCUCUUGCUUAUAGUAAUUAAAAUGCAUGCAGGGUAUAUAUGGCUAUCCGCUUGAAAUCCAGGCACUCUUCUUCAUGGCUCUGAGGUGUGCCUUAAGUUUGCUGAAAGACUCUAAUGACGACUUUGUGUACCAAAUAACAAAGAGGAUCAAAGCUUUGAGCUACCAUCUGCACAGUUACUACUGGCUUGACUUCCAAAGACUCAAUGACAUCUAUCGCUACAAGACAGAAGAGUACUCACAGACAGCUCUGAACAAGUUCAACGUGAUCCCUGAAUCGAUCCCUGACUGGAUAUUUGACUUCAUGCCUAGCCGUGGUGGCUACUUCAUUGGAAAUGUCAGUCCUGCAAGGAUGGACUUCCGCUGGUUCUGCUUGGGCAACUUCAUUGCGAUCCUGUCAUCUUUGGCAACUGGAGAACAAGCUGAGGCCAUAUUGGAUCUCGUGGAGGAACGCUGGGAAGAGCUUAUUGGAGAGAUGCCCUUGAAGAUCUGUUACCCUGCAAUGGAAAACCAGGAAUGGCAGAUAGUCACUGGAUGCGACCCAAAGAACACCAGAUGGAGCUACCACAAUGGAGGGUCAUGGCCAGGUAAGUCUGAAAAUACUUGGAUUAACACCUGAUAGUUCAAAUGUUAUGCUGGUCUGGGAGUAAUGUUGAUCUGUUUUAGUUACCUCUUCUGUCAAUGAUUGGUUGAUGCAUCUUGUAUGAUUCCUUGGUGAAGUUAGAAUCUUGGUACGAUAGCUCUUACAAAGUAAACAAAUACCUGUCUAGCACACUCGUAUUGUGUUUGAUGUAGAUUUUUAAGGCAUUUGUCUAAAGAAAAGGGUUGUGCACAGUAUCAGUAUUUCCAGGAAUAUGAUGAUGACACCUUGCCCUAUCNAAAACACAUGAGUUUGUUUUACUUUUCCCCUGUCAUGGUUCUGCAGAAGUGUUACGUGUUACUCCCUGAGUAUGUAGUACUCCCUCCGUCUGAAAAUAUUUGUUGGAAAAAUUAAUAAAAAUGGAUGUAUGUAGAACUAAAAUACAUGUAGAUACAUUCAUUUCUCCGACAAGUAUUUCCGGACGAGGGAAUAGUAUUUACUUUUCUGUUCUGCUCUAUACCUGUGCAUGGUCUACUAGUUCAUGACUUGAGGACACACUUGUGUUGUGUGGUGGCAUUUUACUUUUCUGUUUGGUUUUAUACCUGUCCAUGGUGUAUAUAUGAAUGUCCUGAAAUCAAAUAACCCUCAUAGGAGAUUGGUAGUUUAUCCCAUAAAGAUGAUCUUAUAGUGAACAGUUCCAGAUGUUUGAUGCAUGUCGCUGCUGUUUGUUUAUCGCCACAUCUAUGUUCAUUCAGUAUUAGCUCCUUGGAUCUGUGCCCAUUCCCCAUGCAUUGUAUUCUCUUCUUUCCAUAUAUGCACUGCAUUUCUAUAUGCCAAUAAUGUGCUGACCCUCUGUUGUCCUGUUCGUUUCCGGGGCGCGCUUAAACUGCAGUGCUGCUGUGGCUCCUGGUGGCGGUGAGCGUGAAGCUGGGGCGGCCCCACAUCGCCCGUAACGCGGUGGAGCUGAUGGAGAAGCGUCUGGCCAAGGACGACUUCCCCGAAUACUACGACGGCAAGACGGGGCGGUACAUCGGGAAGCAGUCGCGCAAGUUCCAGACGUGGUCCGUGGCGGGGUACCUGGUGGCCAAGAUGCUCCUGGACGACCCCUCCAACCUCCGCGCGGUCUCCCUGGAGGACGACGGCCACAUCCGGGAGCCCGUCCUCAAGCGCAGCAACUCCUGCCCAGGCCCGCACGUCUCAAACUGGCAGUAGAGGUUCUCACUCACUCGGUUCCCAUGGCGAGGAGCACAUACGAUACGAACAUCGCGAUGGAUGGUGGCUGCUAAGUUGGCGUACGUGACACUUUGACAGGUUUGUAGAGGGAACUCGUUUUUUCCUUGGUCUCGCUGCUGUCACUCGUUACUUACGGUAGGAAGGAGCAUUGGUACUCUAAUAGGUAGGAUCGAUGGGACGGUGAGGAGCAAGUGGUAGAGAAGAUAACUGGUGAUUUGCUUGUGCAUGCGCUGGUUCGCCGGAUGUCCAGGCCGGUGAAAGGAGGUUUUGGUACGUAGUACUAGCUCUCAUGUUUUUCGCGUGCACAGAUUUUGGGUCAUGGAAUUGUCGAGUGGUCAAGUACCGAUGGAAUGAUGUUUGAUGGAUGAUGCCGAGUGUUCCUGCAUGACCGACGGUGAUGGUACACUGUUGGCUUUUGUCUGCGUUACACUGUUGGCUUUUGUCUGCGUUUGCAGUCAUGAGAAAUGGUUGGGCUGGUGAUGGUGAUGGUGAUGCGUGGUUUAACCCGCUGUACUUGCUCGCCGAUCAGUCGUUUUUCUCCCUCGCUACUGCUAUCUAGCUAGCCUUCGGUUCUUUUACUGCCCUUCCGUUGGCAUGUCGCUGCCACUUGCAUAGCGCCACUGCCAGUCGAUGCUGACUGCUAUCGGGGGUGGAUGGAUUCGGUUGGACGGACAGGGUUAGCCCAUCCUGCUGCUCCAUUUGCCGUUCAGGAAGUAUGGUUGAAACUAAGUGAGAUGGCCCAACGGACCAGCCCAUUUGUUAUCACAAUGCUGUGCGCGAGCACGUCAUCUUCCUUCGAGAAGAACUCUCCACAUCAGGAUGCAUGUACUUUCACGCCCCACAAAAAGGUUCAGGAAGCAAGUAAUUAGAGCAACUCUAACGUGGUGAUGCAUUUCGUUCACGUGUAUUUGAUUGAGCCCGUGGACAAGAAACAUAGUCUAACACAGGGACUCAAUUUCAUUUUAUGUCCGUUCCGAUCCAUUUUCAUCCUAAAAUUGAAUCACAUUUGGAUCGGAGGAGUAUACAAAGCGGACGUUUUCUGUGUCCGACCUUAGACCACCUUUCACCCACCAAUCUCUUUCUCCUUAUUUUAUUCGUUGGCCUAGCCCUCAUCCUGCUCCUCUCCUGUUCUUCUCCUACCGCGAUGCAGUGGCGGAACCACCUCCCGGCUAUCCGGGGCAGCUGCCCCGGCUCAACCAUGGAUUCACGUUUGAAUAAUUGCAGCAAAUGAAAAGCUAAUUACCAAUUUUUAGGGGCAAACAACUGAUAGACAUCAGCUCGUGUACUUUGCCCCGGCUCCCGGGAUGAGCUGGCUCCGCCACUGCCGCGAUGGGUGCCCGAGGUAGCAGCUCCAGGGGCGGCGACACUCUCACCGUCGCCGCUCAAGGCCGUUGGUCGUUCUCUCUCCCGCAAGUUGUUGCCGUCGUACCGUUGAACCUUGUCGUCGAAACUCGAUGUCGUCGAAGUUCCCUGCUACCCUGCUCCUCCGCCUUUCCUUCCUUCUCAGGCCAUGAAGCGGAUGUCCGACGAUGUGAGCGGGCGAGGUGGGCAUCCUGAAGCACGUGAACCACUCCAGUCUUGUCCGCCUCUUCGGUCUCUGCAUUCACCAUGGCGACACCUACCUCGCUUUGACUUCGUCGAGAAUGGCACGCUUAGCGAUUGGCUCCAUGACGGCGGUGCCACCCUCGCGUGGAAGCAACACGUGAAGGCGGCCUUCGACAUUGUCGAUGGCCACGUUCGCGAGAAGGCCUGCGGCAUAGGAGCCCGGGGCAGUUCAAGGAAGGACUCUCACUAGGUGUUCCACGGAAUGUCAGGGCCAACAUGUCAUAAAAUGUGUGUGUUUCUGUUAGACGCACUGUUGAUCCAAAUAAAAAGCAAACACGACCAAGCGGGUGGACUAUCCAAAUAAAUAAAAAGACGAACAAAAUCGACGUUCGUUUAAAGAGUUGCUCUUAGCCUUCACCCGUUACACUUUGUUUGUGCCCAGUGUGUCAUCUCCGCCGCCACGGGCCAAUGUCGACACAACUAGCACCAUCCACACCAUCCACGCACGAGCCACGCGGGCAUCAUGCCAGCAAAAAAGACAAACAAUAAGACACACAGUCAGCAAAAUUCGCAAAUUUGACCUACGGACAAAAGUAUUUCACAAACUGAAUCACGUUUGAAGAAAUUUCACGUAGCUGAUCUUUUUUUAUAACGUUCGACAGUUAGGCGUCACACCACAUUGUAUGACGCAUUUGCCUUAGGCGCGAGACAGUGUAGUGUGACGUCUAUGCCUUAGACGUCACACUAGGUCUCGGAUGCCACACAACGUAGUAUCGGACAUCACACAAUGCAGUGUGGCGUCUAAGAUAAAGACGAUCAGACAAAUGAAUUUUUUUGACGGAGAGUUUAUUUUGUGAAUUAGUUUGAUUUUUGGGUUAAAAAUUUCCAUUUUGCCACACGCAGUCCCACCCCGCACUGCCCUGCCCUGCCCAAAGAAGCCCCUCGCUCGCUCUAUCCUCAAAAGGGGAAGAAAGGAUAGAGAGUGAGGAGCGGAGCUCAGCUCAGCUCACUUCAGCAGCUCCCCCACAUGGCCAUGGCGACCUCCACCUUCUCCCCGCACCCACUCUCGCUCAAGCCCCAGCUCGGCCCCAAGCCCCACCGCCUGCACCUCGCCCCCUUCCCGCGCCUCCGCGCCCUCCGCCGCCUCGCCGCCGCCGCCGGGGAGGCCCCCGUCGAGGCGCCGCCCAAGCCGGCGGAGGCGGAUCCCUCCCCCNNNNNN
rnacentral:lncRNA from 1 species